rnacentral:lncRNA from 1 species
GGAAUUUGGCCUUGGAUGUAAGGCCCAAUUCCCCAAAUUCCAUAGGGUUAUGGAUCCACCCUCUAUAAAAGGGGUUUCUCCAUUGUAUUCACUAGCUUUUUACUCAUUAAUUAUAUAGUGCACUUUUAUUUCAUCAUCUUUCCUUAUUUGUGCUUUGCUAGAGUUUGCUAGAAUAUUCCUUUAGAUCUAGUAGGACCUUAAUUAGCACGAGAUAUUUUUACAAGCUAGUUUGAAAUGCUUGAUAGCAAAGGUUUGGUUUUUAUAACUUUUGACUAAGUUUUGAGUGAGAAAAAUCCUAUCUUCGAUGUUUGAAGUUUCUGCCACGUGAUGUUCUUGGGGUUGAGAUUUUUCCAACUCUGUUCUAAGUGUUAUUAAGUGUUUUUUUUUUUUUUUUGAAAACAGAACAAGUAAUCUAUUAAAAGAGAGAAAAGAACAUGGGAACAAGACUCUCCCAAGUAAGUCAACUGAUAAAACAAAAAAGAAAACAGAUAAAAACCAUGGAGAUGAGCCAAACCUAAAACAAACCAAAAAGAGCCCUAACGCUAAAACAUCAAGAACACAAAUCAGGGGAAAAAGCAUAGGAGCCAAAAGCUAAAAAUCUCCGGGACUGUACAACACAAAAACACAACUCGAGAGGCCAACAAAUGGAGCAAAAAAAACACAGAAGCAUGGAGCAUCAAAACCCCUUAGAAUUGAAAGAAAGCUCCAGGGACAAAAAUCACGCCACCUGCAUGUUGUUUAAUAGCUUCGAAUUUUUACAUGUUAAAAAUAGCUUCGAAAGUGGUUUUAGGAAAAUGGUAAAAUUGGUUGUGUUUUGUGGAGUAUGGCCGAGACUAUGACUAGGGUAUAAGGUCAAGUUUUGUUGUUUAAUUUGGAACUUGCUAAGUGGUGAUGCAUGAGUUCUAGGACUAAGACUAUGUGCUACAAAAGUUUGGGCUGAAAAUGCAAGCUUUGAUAAGUUUGGUGACCAAUAUUUAGUUUAUAAAAACCGAAGGAUUUUUUUGUAAAUAUUUAUGUGUUGAGGACUAAAAAUUAAUUACUUAAAAGUUCAGGGAUCUUUUAAUGAUCAUGUGAUUUCUCCAAGGACUUGUUCGUAAAUCUUAGAACUUGUAUUCAACUCCAACGUUAGUCCCUUUUUAGUGAUGCAUGUGCAUAUAGUCUAGAGAGUUAGAAGAACUAGCUAAGUUUGACUUGAAACAUAAAUCUUAGAAACUAAGGUUAGAAUAGAAUAUAUGUAUGUACAUGUUAAGGUUCAGAGCACACUUCGGACUAAGAAGCUGACACUAGGAAAGAUAGCUCAUAAGGUAAGGGCACUUCUAGUUUCUGAACUUUAGUGUGCAACUUGUUUAUUAGCUAUAGGAAUCUUGGGUUGGUUUAAUGAUGUUGAGGAUGGGAUUAACAUGUGAACUCAUAUUUGAGAUUAUAUUAUUGUUCCUUUAGUUGAUUGUCUACAUUUUAGCUAAGUAUGUUUGUGUGCCAAGAUGUCGGACAAGUUGUUGUAACAUCGUGCUAUGAGAUGUGUCCAUGGGAAACGUUCUGUAACUUGGCUGAUCAGUUGUGAAGCUUUAAGUUGAUUACUUUGUGAUCAAGUUAGGUUAUUGUGGGAAGCUUCUGUGCGCCGUCAAGGAAUAUUCUAUGUGUAAUCAAACCCGGUUCAAGGGGGUUUGAUUUUGGAAGUUGAAAUCUGCACUUUUAUUGAUUACCCGAAGAUCAAGUGCAGAAUUGUUGCCUGUUUGUUUCUAAUAACAACUUCCUGAUUGUGUGUGUGGACUCUGUGAUCUUUCAAGCCCAACGAAGACAAGGCCUGGAAGACUAUUACUUAUGAAGACCCAAGACCUAGUUUGCUAGGGAUCGAGAGAGACUAUUGUAUUAUGGUUUUAUUGAGUUCAUACUGUUCUUGUUCUCUUAGCAGAUUUAUGUAAUUGUUGUGAGCUAAGAGUUGUGUGUUUACUAUGUGAUCUUGAGAUCUGUCUUUGUAACUCGUGUUUGAGUUCAAUCACUGUGGCAAUGAUUGUGUAAGAGAGAGUGAGAGGGAGGUCUCAUACUUAGGGGGAGACCUAAGUAAUAUUCCACGGGUAGAGUUAGGUAGAAAAGGUAGUUGAACUGGGGCAGUUCUUGUGAGACCUUUUGUGUAUAAUUUCUCUAUAAUAGUGGAUUAUCUCUCUUGGGUGAAAACCCUCCAGACGUAGGUGAUAUUGCACCGAACUGGGUUAACAAUCUCUUGUGUGGUUUUAGUUUUUCUGUCAUUUAUCUUGCUGCAAUAUUUACUGUGUUUUGAGUAAUGUUAUACAAGAUGUCUUAGACAUCUGGUAGAACAUCUGUCCUACAAUUGCCAGAAUUUCAGAAAUGAUAUAUGAGAUUGUGGUACAUUAAUAUGUAAGGUCAACAUGCUCAACAAGUUGAAGCCCACAAAGCAUCAUCUGAAGACUCCAUAAUUCAACAAGCAAAGCUCAGCGUCCAAAAAGAAGAAGCGUCAAAGAGAAGAACUAAAGAAAGCAAGAAACAGUCUUGUCCAUCCAAAGAAUGCUACAAGACUUGCAUCAAUAUGAAAGCAACAAUUCAACUCAAUCAGACAUCGUCACUCAAAGCAUCAAAUAUCCACUCCAUCUAGAAGAACAAAGAUUGCUGAUGAGAGAGAUGAAUGAUGCAAAAGGAAAUACUAUGAGACUAUGUCAUUCCAACAAGCACUAAAAUUCAACUGUGUAUAUACAUUCAUAGUCUGAUAAGUUGAAGUGCUCAAAGCCAAGACAAUGUGCAAAGGUCUUGCACAAGUUUCUACUAACGUCUGAUCUCCCAAGUCCAGUAAGACAAAGCUUAAAGCUCAGAUCGUCCAAAACUCAGUCUUACUAAUUCAUAAUACAUUACUACGAUUUCUGUGCAAAGAAAAUGUAUUCAAAGGAGAAGAAUAGUCAUGAUGACUAAAGCAUCCAGAAGAGGAACAAGUCUCCUAAGGAAGUAAUGGGAAUCAAGCAUCGCUUCUAAGCAAGCAACUAGAACUAAGUAACCAAAGUCAAAUAUUGUGCUUGUUCACACGUGACUAGUUGAGCCUAACACACAGUACUAAUCAAGGCACAUAGUUGUCACUUCCACAAAAUCUAUGAGGAACGCAUAUGAGCCGAAAGAAAAUAUGUCUUAUCAAGCACAAGCUUCAAUGACCUAUCGGCUACAUAGAUUCAAACUACACUCUGACAUGAUGCGUUGAGACAACCAAGCAUAUCUUAUAGCUAUCAUAGACGCUGAAGACUUGUGCACAAGCGUACUUCAACAUCGUCAAAAGUAUUCAUCCUUCUGAAACAGAGCAGAGAAGCUGUCAACAUGACCUGUGAACAAAACGACUAUUUUCUACUCUCCAAUGUCCAUUGCAUAAACUCAGUAAGUUACACUAUAACGAUCAUAUUUCCAAGACUUGGUAUAAAUAGUAAAUGUAGUUGAAAGGGUAAAGGUUUUCGUUGUAGAUCGAACUAAUGGAGAGAUUAGUGAAUUGCUUAGAAGCAAUCAAACACAUCUUAGAUGAGAAUAUGAGCUUAAGAGUCAAUACUGAGAGAAAAGAAGAGAUGAAAAGAAAGAAGAGAAAAAUAUGAACUAAAGUGUCAUAUCUAAACAUGCUUUUGAGAGAUAGAGCUUCAAAGUCAUAUGCAUCUUGUUGACAAGAUGAAGAUGAAGAAGGGGAAGAAGAAGAGAUAGAAUGCACUGAUUGAGGGGAAACAUUUCCAAUCUAUUGAGUAGUGAAUCUUCUACAUGAAUUCUCACAUGCAAAAUUGAUUGAUUCAUUCAAUCAAAAAGCUAUGUAGCAAGAAGAAAAAGAAGAUCGUUGAUGUUGAUGUUCUAGUUCUACACUCCUACUUUCAGAAGACCACAAAUACAAGAGAAACAACACGAUGAAGAAUAACAAGGCUGAGCUAAUUCAAGGAUAACAUCCAUGCCUAUGCUAGACAGAAGAAUGAUCUUGAUCAAGAGUGCCCAGUGUCAACUAAACAAGGAGAUCAUGUCAAUUCCAUAAAGUACUGAGACCACUUCAUUGUAUAUUAGCUCUAUCCUAUACAACUAGAGAUAAAUUGAUUGUAUUGCGUACUUGUAUACAUCUCAUAAGUCUGUAUGAACAACACUCUCGAUUGUAAUUACUUCAUAUAUGCCUGAAGACGCAUGGAAAAGAAUAUGUGUAAUGCCUAAAGAGGUAGGAGAAAGAAUACUCAACAAUGCGUGGAGAGGCGUGAUAAAGAAUAUUUGUUUACCUGGAGAGGCAAUGUAUAAAAGAAUACUCGUUUUCCUAGAGACGCAGUGUAUAAAAGAAUACUCCUUUGCCUAGAGAGGCAGUAUAUAAAAGAAUAUUCAUUUUCCAGAAGAGGUAGUGCGGAAAAGAAUACUCUUUGAACCUGAAGAGGCUCGUACAAGAAUACUCAACAAUGCUUGGAGAGGUAGUGGCUAAAGAAUACUCAAUGUUCCUGAAGAGGCAUGUACAAUAAUGUAAGGAGAAGUCUCCGAUACUUGAUAGUGAAAAUCUUGGUUGUUGUCAAGGACUGGACGUAGCCCAUCGAUAUAGGGUGAAUCAAACACUACUUGAUAUGGACGAUGACGAACGCACUGUCGCGGGUGCGUGUCAAAGUAUUCUGCUUUGAAUGCAGUACAAGGUGUUGAACACCAGGAUCGAUCUCACAAGGACUCAGUGAAGUAUUAAUUGAUAUUAGAGUAAAACAAAAGAAAAUUAAAAAGGGGGUUUGGUUGAAUUGAUUGAAAAGUAAGCAAACAAAAAUUAAAAGAGAUUUAAAUCAAAUAAAAGAAAGUGUUAGUCAUCGGAUUAUAACAUUCAAGUGCAACAAACCUUCAUCGGUGACAAAAGAUUAAUUCUUCCUUAUUUUUUCCCUAAUUCGUGAGAGUUGAUUAACUAAGCGAAAAUCAAUUCACAGUUUCCUAAACUAAGCGAUUAAGAAACAGUUACGAACUAACAUGAACUAAGCGAACAUGCAUCAACUCUUAUUUCUAAAACUACGGAAUUAAGCAAACCCUAGAUCAGAAAUAGAGAUGAAGAGAAUUAAUAAAGAAGAAAUUUGCAUUAAGAACAGAACCUCAAGUUUGUAAACACAAGAAUAUUAAAAAUCCUAAGACUAACUAGGGAGUUUAGCAACUCAUACUAGAAAAGAUGGAGAGAGAUAUUAGGAGAAGGUGGAGGAGGUGAUGGUGAGAUGUGGUGAGGUGGUGAGGUCUAAAAAAAGCCUAAACUCACUUAUUUAUACUAAUAAAUAAACUUGUUCAUCAAGUAACAAUCUUUGUUAUCUAAAUCUUUUCUAAAUCUUCACAAAAUCGGGCCCACAUAAAGGAGUAAGCUGCUGAACAAUCAGGCAUUCGCGGGUCUCACAACAAGUUUGAAUCUUCAAUCGAGGUAAACAUGAGAGUUAUAGCUCUUUAAGUCAGCUUCGCGGGCCUUCAAUCGGAUCCUAAUUCGGAGUUCAGUAGCCCAAGAUAUGAUCAUUUUAGUGCAGACUGUUCCAGACUCGCAGGAUUAGCGACAGCAACUUUGCAAGGCCAUUUUGACCAUGUUAGAGGCUUGUUCUGCAAUUGUGCUGAACAUGAAAGUUGUAGGGCUUCGAGCUAGCUUUCCAAUGACAUAUUAUGGGCCUUAUUUAGAUAUUGCUAGCUCCAUAUUCAAUCUGUUCUAGCAAAACAAUCAUAGAAACUAAAAGUGUAGAAUUAAGCUCUUUUCCAAGAAUAAUCCAAAUAAACACUAAUGGUCAAAACAUGGCUAAGUCAUAACAAUUAAGCACAAAAAUGUAUAUAAUGAAGCUUAGAAAGACACACGUAAAGUGCAUCAAUUAUGCGCUUAUCAGACGACGACAAGGCUUGGGAGAUCAACCACGUGACUGGUGGUUCAUGUAUGGUUCGACAAGAGCAGAUGAUGUGGAAUGAUGUGUUGCGAGACAUGGAGGAGGCCUUGGGGAAACGUGAACUAUGAGUCGGUUUUGGGGUGUGAUAAUUGAUAAUUAAGUCUGUUCUUGGGGGUGAGCUAAGUUUGUUUGUAGGGUUCAAACCUAAACUAGAGGUCUUCUUGUUGUGUUGGUUUGGGAGCGGUCGAACACUAGUUUAAUAAUUAUGUUUUAAUUUCAAAGAAUCAUUGUACGCUUCUAAUGCUUUAUUAUUAAUAAAUGAGUUUAUUAUGUUAUUCCUUUUAAUGUUAGGUUUCUGUUUAAUAAAGUUUUAAUUUUCGGCAAAAAAUCACCCACGUUUUUGGAAAGAUUACUAAAGUGACAUUCGAGAAAUCAAGGCGUUACAAGUACAAAGAAUGCAAAGCCCCAAAAAAAACAAAAGAGGCCAUCAUACCUACCAAGACCAGCACAAAACCCCCGAAACCGACCCAAAAAAACAACUAAAGAAGACACCCAUCAUACAAGAUCGGGAAGAUUUUCUUUAAGUGAGCUUUUAACCCCUUGAUCAUCACCUCCUCAUGGCCUUUAUACGAGAGAGACAAUUCCUUCCCUAAGUUCUAUGUCCUUUAAGCUCUUGCCCUCACCCGAGCGAUCCUUCCCUUGAUUCAUAUGACACCACAAGAGGCAGAGAUUUCUUGUUGCAACUACCUUUCGGUAUGCCCCUCCCUUGUUUUACACCUUAAUCGGACUAGAACCACCGACAUUGACCAACUAAUUUUAGGAAAUUUAUUUUGCUUUCAAAUUUUAUUUAAAUUUAGCCGUAUUUUUAAUUAAAUACGACAUAAGGAGGUUUCUAAGAAUAGUAUGGAAUAGAGAAAAAGUCAAGAAAGGAAUUUCGGCGGGGGUGAUGUGUGUUAGGACUUGUCCAUUUUUUUCUUUUAAAGUAGUUUUUUAGUAUAAGAUUUGUCAGAAUAACUAUUACUCAUAAGUCUUUCCAAAUCAUAUAUAUAUAUAUAGUAUUAAAAUUAUGGGUCUAAUACAUUCUUAUUCUUGUGUAUCCAAAUAAUCAUUACUCAUAAGUUAAAUAUAUAAUAAAAAAGUACAAAUUAUUAAAAAUAUUUAAGUAAUAGUGUCACUGCAGGUGUACUUCGAAAGGUGUAACCACAUAUAAAUUUAUGAAAGUUUAUCUUCGUGCUCUAAAUAAUAUAUAUAACUUUGCCUAUAAUAAGACAACAUCUAUAAUAAGACAACAUCUAUAAUGGCACAAUGGUUUUUUUAUAAGCCAUGAAGAAUAUAGUGGCACAGUGGUAGCAGCAACUUUUUGCUUCCUUCACGUCCUGGUUUCGAACCUACUUGGCUACCUUUUUUAAUUUUUUUUUACAAUAACUACAAACUGGCCGGUACUAAGUCGGUCUGAUUCUGGCCGAUUUUCCCAGUUCUUAACCGGUUUAGCAGCUCUUUCUCCGGUUCUGUGAGUGUCCGAUUUAAUAUGUCAACUGAACCAGCCAUACUUCCGGCUCUCGAUUAAACGGUCGGACCGUCUGGUCCGAUCUGAUUUUCUGAACACUGAAAAAUAGUAUAUAGAAUAUGAUUUUCCCCAAAAAAAAAAUAGAUAAUAUCCUUAUCAUAAAACAUUCCUAAUAUCAUGAGUAUAUAUAUCAUACUUAUUUUACAAACAAUGUCUUUUUUUUUUGUUGCAAUGAGGGGAGAGAACCCCAAGAAAACACAAAGAAACUAGCUAAGGCCUACAGGGGGGCCAAGGACAGGGAACAUAUCCUGCUGCAAAAUGCUAUGGCACUCCCCAGAAGGGGAAUCAAAGUAAUGGUAACCAUAUGGAAGAUCGAGGCCUAUGCGAGCCAGAUAAUCAGCUAGGGAGUUAGCUGAUCUCGAAGUGUGCUGGAACAGAAGGGAGCUGUGGGCACUCUGUAAGUGAAGGAUAUGAAGAAUAAUCUGCUCAAACCGAUGGGAGCCAACCGCUGAACUAAGCACACUAAUAGCAUCCAUGGAGUCUGUUUCUAUAAUCACAUGAGAAAGAUCAAAACCCAUAGCAAGCUCGACCCCUGUUUUAACUGCUACAAAUUCAGUAAGGAAAACAUUGGCUGAUGAAAAAACACCCAAGUUCCUGCUAAUUUUUUAAAAAUAAAAAUUUAAACUUAGGUAUGAUUUAAAAAAUAACUCUUUUUAGUGUUAAAAAUAUGGGAAAAUAUAAUUGAAAAAGAGUUUAAUGAUUUUUACACUCAUAUUCAAUUACAAUAUGUCAUGUAUGAGAAAUAGUUACAUUCGUUUUAAUUUUACUUUUAUUAAAAAAAAUUAAUUUUAUCUAAAAUUAAUUGGAUGUUUGUAUAAACAAAACUGACAAGUGACAACCGUCAAUGAAAUUCUAUUGUUAGAAAAAUGUGUAGAAGGUACUCAUGCAUGUCACAUGAAAAUGUAAUUUUUACAGGUCCAAUCAUUUAGAAAUUCAAGUCUUAACCUUCUUUUGUUAACCUUUGUAAUUACUCCAACGUGACGAUUUAUAUUGAUUGGUUAUUGGCAGAUACAAUUUAUAGCUCACAUCUUGAAGUGAUGUUUAUUUUUUUUCUGUGUUGGAGGCAAGCUAAGUACAAAAUUAAUGUAUAAGAAGACAUUUAAAAUGCAAGGUUGACAGUUGACACAUUUGAUAAUCAUGCUAUACAUUGUUGCUAUAUGUGACUGGACUCACUAUGGGACCAUUGGCUAUGCCAUGUCAAUAGCAAUAGUAUGGCAAAUAUAAUGAUAAUUUUGACAUGUGCGAAUUCUUUUAUUAUUUUAAAAUUAUGGGCGAUUUAAAUGGUGAAUAUUUUUCUUUAAUUAAAUAAACCCCUCAUACUAAGGAUGUGUUUCGUUUGAGAGAAGGAAAGAGAAAUGAAUGGAAAAUAAAAAAUUCGAGAAAUGAAUUUAGACUACACCUUAAUCUAAAAUCAUUCCUCGGUUUCUGUGUUUUCUUUCCUUCCUCCUUUCCCUCCAUCCAAACAAAUAUAUUGUAAGAGAAAAUGUGAGAUGUGAUAGAUGAUAAGAAGGGAGAGAUAGAAACAAAAAUAGGUGAAAAUGAAGUGUUUAAAAAAUGAGGUUUGUAUAUAUCAUCAUUGGAAUGAAUGUGUUUGACAUGUAAUUAUUUCCAAUAGGUUUAUUUUACUGGAUUAAAUCAUAUUUAACUAGUUUAAAGUUAAGGCUCUUUAAUUUUAUUUUUUGUUAAAUUGACUUAUUUCAGUAGCUGAAUUGUUUUUUAAUAAACUAACUCGGUUAGCUUAUAGUGUAAAUCUAUUUAUUCUCAUUUUAAUCAUUAAUAUUUUAUUAAAAUUCCAUCCUUGCCUUUUUUAUAUUUAUAAAACCACUAAAUCCUAAUUAAUUUUAUUUUGAAAUAAUUACUAUUCAAAUUUUGAUAUAAAUACUUAAAUUAUUUUCUUAAUUUAGACAAAUAUAAGCUAAUUUUAUUAAAUUAAAAUAUUAAUUUAUUUGUUUUACUCUAUUUAAUUUAAUAUAAAUAUGAACAUAAAAAUAAAUUUAAAACUAAUAUUAUAUUUUAGAGAUGAUAAAUAUUUUGAACUAAAUUAAAAUAUUUAUAGUUGUAGUUAUUUUAAUAUAUAUGUAUAUAAAAAAAUUAAUAUAAAAAAUAAAAAGAACUAUUCAAGUAUGUUAUAAUUUUACGAUUUCAGCUUGUUUAACAGAUAUUUUUGUCAAACACAUUUUUAAUCAUGUAGCUUUUCAACUUCCAACUAUCAACUUUUCGCUCUCUUAUAAUUUUUCCAGCUAUACACUAGCUUAUAAACAUUCAACUAAUUUUUCAACUGUCAGCUAACAUAUCAUUUAGGCGUGUCAAACAUUACAUAGGUGAGUGAUGUACUAUAAUUUUUAAUUAUAAAAUAACUAAUUUUUUAAAAUUAAAAAUACCUAUAAUUUUUUCUUGAAAAAAAACUAUUUUAAAUGUUAAAGAUAUGCGAAAAAUAUAAUAGAAAAAGAAUUUAAUGGAUAUAUAAUCACAAUAUGUCAUUUAGGAUGAGAAUUUAAUGGAUAUAUAAUCACAAUAUGUCAUUUAGGAUGAAUACUUACAUUUGUUCUAAUUUUACUUAAAAUAAAAAUUUAAUUUUAAAGUUGCAGGAAAUCAAUUAAAUGUUUGUUUAAACAAAAUUAAAACAAACAAUCGUCAACGAAAUCCAUUUUAUUCAUUGUUAAGCUUCAUUUAUUAACUUUCAAAAAAAAAAGGUUCAUUUAUUAAAUUAGACUAAGACCUGCUCAAUGCAAUUUUGCAAAACAAUUAUUAGCGCCUUAUAUGCGCCCACUAGCAUGGUCCAAACUCCAAUCUGCAACAAUAUUUUAAGCCCCAACGCAGAGACACAUUUAAUGUGAAGCAGCAGCUUGAAACCUAUCCCUUUCAUUUCUUAUCACGAAUAUUUUGCUUUUGUUUCGUAGCGAGCUAGUACAAACAGUCCUGACUAUGCCAUGUGAAUUAAUUGAUCAUCAUCAUACACAGUCUCUUGAAAUAAUUGAAGAAAGAAGGAUAAGUGCUUGGCUUGAAGCUAGCCUCGUUGUGAAUUGAACGUGUGGUCCAAUCUCACAGCACGUACUUAACGGAGAGACAAAGAGACCCACAUUAUAUACAAAGAGACCCAACAUAUGGUCCAAAUAUGUGGAGCUUGGUGCAACUUCAUUCCUUAUAAUCACGACACUCAAGGUUGGAGGAGACCAUUAUGUGGAGCAUGGUGCAACUGCCAAUCUUGUUGCUACAUAUCACGGACCGCCUAUGGGGACCCCUGACAAUCUGAUCGACCUGGAAUUUUCACAUGUGCUAGUUCUUUUAUUAUGAUAUCAAGCAGCACCCACCCACAUACGUACACAAAACAGCUAGUAUCGGAUCUCUUUUGAUUAUCUUUUCUGAUUCAUGAUUGUGUGGUGACAUUGUUGCUACAUGUGACGGACUCACUAUGGGACCCCUGACAAAUGACAAUUUUGACAUGUGCGAGUUCUUUUAUUAUUUCGAGAAUAUGUGCGAUGGUGAAUAUUUUUCUUUAAUUAAAUAGGCCCCUCAUAUUAUACAAAUUUGAUAUAGGGGGUAAUAAAUAGGUCACUCACACCAAGUGAGAUAUAUGGAUAGAUAUAAGAGAAAUGAGAGAUAUAAUAGAUUCUUUGAUAAAAAGAUCUAAUAUAAAAAAUAAGUGAGUGAAUUAAAAUGGAAAAAAAUAGAGUAUGAAUGAGUAAUUAACAAUUCUCAAAAGAGUGCGAAAUGAGUCAAAUGACACAUUCCACUAGGGAUGUAAGCGAGUAUAUAUGGUCCGAUCCGAACACAUUACAGUGUGUUGGAUUGAAUCAUUGGUUUGGUUCAGAUUUGUUUUACUAAAUCCGAUCACCAUCGGUUCGGGUAUCGGAUUUGAGGAUUGAAAAACCAAUCAAUCUGAACCAACUCAAUGAAUUGAGAAUGUUCUUACAUUAAACUCAAACAUUUUCAGCCCAUUACAUUACAUAUUUAUAUUUGUAUUAUAGAUGUUAGUUUUAUUUGGAUUAUAUGAAUUAUGUAAUUAUUGAAUGUUAUGUUCUUUUAAAAUGUUGGAUUUUUCUAUUUUUUUUUUAAUUUUUCAAGUUUUAAGAAAAAAAUUCGUUCAUAUUUUCAAGUAAUAUUUUUUUUAUUUCAAACCCGACCAUGAACCGAACCAAUCCGAUUGAGAUCGGGUUGGUUUGGUUCGGUUUUAAAAGUAAAAAUCAUGAAAUCCGAACCAACCCAAACCGAACAUGUUUAAUUGAUUCAGACAUUUAAACACCCUAAAUCCGAACCAAUCCGAUCCGAUUACACCCGUACAUUCCACAAUUUAGUUUAAUUUCUCUUAGCGGUACAUUUCUUACAUACUUAAUGCAUAAUUUUGCCUGAGUGUGAAAAAAUUAGGAAAAUUAUACCCACUAAUUCUUAUUUUCGUAACACCUGCAUAAAAUGUAGUAUUAACUCUAUUCCUAAUUAAUGGUAAGAAAUACAAAUAUUAAAAAGUGCAAUUAAUUUUAUUAAUUUUUAUAAAAUUAUAAUUCUUUCCUAUAUUACUUUAUAUAAUGCAUUUUAUCUUUUCUAAUUUAUUGUUCUCACUUCUCACAGUGAUAUUAUUUAGAAAUAUAUCAUUUAAUGAUAUUUUAAAAUGCUAAUGAACAAAUAUAUAGAAAUAUUGUUUUUCUUUCUAAAUAGAACUGUAGGAGAUAGUAAAUAAUAAAAAUUUGUUAAAAAAUAUAUUAAAAGCCACGCUGUUGGCAUUUUUUAAAGAAAAAUGUUGGGUAAGCCACUCAAUAAUUGUAGACAAUUUUUUUUUUUUGAAAUCAUUGUAGACAAUCAUAUGAAUAUGAUAUAUACAUUCAAGUCUUGAUCCUCUUUUCUUUAUUUUUUAAAUAGUCCCACGCUACAAAUGCAAAUCUUGAAUAUAUUUGAAAUAGGUAAUUGUUAUUUUCACUCUCUUAAAAUGGCGAAGAGACAAAGUUUCUAUUAAUAAAAAAGCAAAACUACAAAAAUGUCAUUAGUGAAAAAAAAAACAUUACAACUCUUCACCCCAUCCUCACAUCCUCUCUCCUCUUUCUCUUUCUUCCCUCACCAACACCACUCAUCUUCAUCUCAUCCUCAUUCAUACUCAUCUCCAAACACAAUCUUCAUUUUCUUUUCUUUCAUUUUUUUGUCGUCGCUGUUGCCUAUUCCCAUUUGUCCAUCGUCGCCGUCGCCCCCAUCAUUGGUCGUCGUUGUUAGAGUCAUCAUUUUCAUAUUUUUUUCUGCAACUAAAAACACUUUAAAGUGCGUAACCUACGAACUUUAAAGUGCGUGACUCUCAUGCAAUUUAAAGUGUGUUUAGCUGUAAAUUUAAAGAGCGUUUAGCUGCAAAUUUUAACAUAACUAAUAUCAGAUGAUUUUAAAAAUUAUGAGACCACCACAAUAAAUCAAGAUAGGAUAUUUGGAGAUUUAUGGUGAAAUAAUUUUUUUCGAAAUUCAAAAUAAAAUAUCAGAUGUAGGAAUUUGGAUAAAUUCCACAAACCUUAGGACUGCAUGUGCUAAUGGACCAAUUACGUUAUUUUUCUCUUCAACUUUGUAGUUCACUCCGUCUUGAUCCAAGACUGAAAAAAAUUCAGUUUUUGGGACUGAAACGCUGAAAUUUGCAAUUUUCAUACUUUAAAGUGUGACCCUAUCACCCUAUAAAAGGAAUACCAUACAAAUGGAGAAAAUAAGAACUUGGUCCAUCAUCUAAGCUUUGAAGCCAGAAACUAAAAGAAAGUUCUUCACAACAUAUCAUAGCACUUUGAGCGCCAUGUUCUCUCUGAAAUACUCUGAAAAAGCCUAGUAAAAUCAAAUAAAAGCAGUCGUGAAAGAGUAACCUAAGCUUACAAAAUAUUUACAUCACUCUUAAGCAAGAGAACCAAAGUAGAACAUUAAUCUUGUUGGGUUUAGGAGAAGUCUUGUAGAAUAAUUGUUGGGAGAAGUCAUGUCGAAUACUUGUAGGGAGAAGUCCUGUCGAAUACUGGGAGAAAACAUGUUUAAUACUUAGUGAAAAUCUUGGUCAAAGCCAAGUUCAGAACGUAGCCCGCCGAUAUUGGGUGAUCCAGGAUAAAAAUCUAUGUGUUCCCUCCUUGUUUACUGUUUUCAUUCCUUAGUCAAAACCGUUCAACACUAUUCGCAGCACAAAACUCUUUCAAAAAGAUUUCUAAACCAGAAAUUUCACAAGCAUAAAUCUUUGAAAAGCUCGUAUUCUCUAACACAAAAUUCAAACUCCCCUUUCUUAUGUGAUUUUUAUUAUUAUCAAGAUGUUGAUGGUUGGUAAAGAGUUGGGUCGCGUUUGGGAGGACGCUUAUGAGGAGGCCACUGAGGAAUGUGUGCAACAUCUCAAACGUACCCACCCCAAUAAGUAUGGGGCCUCUUGAGGCAAAAAUUUUUAGUGGUUUAAGUUAUUUUUCCUUUCGUUGUUUGUUCCGUUGUUGCUUUUAGGGUUGCACUUUUUUGUUUAUUUUGGUAGAUUUGAUUUGCAUCGUUCACCCAUAUGAGAGGGUUGGUCUCAUAGCUGUUAUUUUCAUGAAAUAAAGUUGUACUUUUAAAAAAUAAAUUUUAAUAAAGGUUUUAUUUUGAUAUAUUGGUCAUAAUUGAGAAAAAGUGAAGGUAUAAAGUACGGGAAAUAAUUGUUAUACUACAUAAAAUAUUGAUAAUAUAGAUAUAACUAGUUUUUGCACUAUCCAGGACUUAAAGGGUUUUGAACACAUUAAUUAUUUUCCUAUUGUAGAUUUUUUAAGGCUAAGUUUAAUUGAGAUCUCAACAUUGCAUAAUAUUUAUUGUUUGUAGUCGUUGUUUGUAAUUGUUGUUUGCGUCGUUGUAAUUUUUCAUAAUCGAGAGGAUUUGAAUCUCAACUUUUUUUUAAUAAAAUUUUUGCUUUAAAAAAUUAGUGUGACUGAAUAUUUGAAGGAUCACCUACUUCGGAACGACCAUGUAUAGUUUGGAAUUUGGGACUUUAAUAGGCCAAGGUAAGAGCACUAGGUCUAGAGGUCUUGACCUCUUUUCGCAUGCCUUAUGAUUAUUGUUGAUUGUGAUUGACAACAUAAAUAAUUUUUAUAUUGUUGAUAUGGUUUAUUGUAUGCUUUGAUUGCUAACAUGCUAUAUUUGUUGUUGUAAUUAUUGUUGAGAUCUUGAUAUUUUGAUACAUUGAAAAUAUUGAGCUAUUUUAAGAAGCUUACUUGGACUUCGGAAUAUUAAAAAUUUGACUAACUUUAUGGCAGUUUCAUCUUGAUUGGUUAAGGGGAUGAACCUUAAUCAUAUUUAAUUUGAUCGUCUAGGGAGUUGGCCCUAUUCGUGUGCGGGUUCAAUCAAAAGAUUGAUUCCCCUUUUGUUGUUGCCUUUACAGCUACCCGAAUCAUUUGCUUUUUGAAGGAGACAAACCUUAAUUGUGCACUCAUACCUAGACUAACUCUAGGCGAUACUUGACUAGAGCUUUUGACUAGGAUUGUAUAAUGAACUAUGUUCCCUUACCUAUUUGUUAUGACAUGCUCUGUUUAAGUCUUAUUUGCUGGAGUUGACCUUACUUGCUUGUACAACUUGUUGUUUGGGAGCUGAACACGUUUCUGUUUGGUAAUUGUUCUUGGGCGCUUAACGCAAUUUUUAGAUGCUGGAGAACUAGUUGGUGAGAUUUGAGAACAAGGAGUCCAACGCGUGGACCUUUGAUGUGGUGACGCGGAGAACUACAUAUUGAAGUAUGGCUAGGCGUAGAGAAGCUUGAAGCGGCGAUGAUGAGGGUAUAUUUUUGCACGCGUUGUUAUUUUUCUUAAUUUCUAGAUAUAUUAUAUAACUAUUGGGUAUUAUUUAAAUAUUAUGAUAUAGAUAAGAGUUUGAAAAUCUUAAAUUCAAUUGGAAAUAUUUUACAAAGCGAGAGUUUAAAGAUAUACUCAUUUGAAUUUAAAUAACACUCUUAGGUUGUCUUAUCUAUGAAAAAUGAUUUUUAAUCAAGCAUUGUGUUGUACCUUACUUUCUUGAAAACUUCUCAGAUUGUUGCUUGGAUGAUGGUGGGCUUGUUUUAAAAAAUAACAUCACCUUUUUGAAGAAAAAAAUUCGAGCUAGUCCCUAGACUUGUUGGGUUACUAAUGUGAUCCAUGGUUGAUAAAUUGGAGCGCUACAUCACCUGCUCCUCUGGAUAAUGUGUCAUUCCAUCCUGAAGCAAGUGUUCAGAAGUGGAAAUUAUGUUUGUCAGGAAAAUAUUGCAUGUGAGAAAGAGUGUUGCCAAGAAGCUAUGGAGUGCAAGGAUAUCAUGGACUUUCUUGCUGAUGUUGGGUUGUCAUAACUCUAUGACUAUUUGUUAUGUGCACUUUGACUGCCUACAAUUAGGGGUGAGAAUAGGUCAGACCGUUCGUAGGGGCCUAUGGCCUAGCCUACCAUAGGCCCAGGCCAGGCCGGGCCAAAUUGUUGAAUAGGCAAGGCUUAGGCUUUUUGAAAAGCCUAUUUAAAAAGGUCAGGCUCAGGUCAUUCAACAAGCCUUGUAAGCCUUACAGGCUAGCCUAUUUAAGUAAAUAUGAUUAGUAUUUUUUUGGUAAAUUGUAAAUAUGAUAAGUAUAAAUAUAUUUUACUCUUGAUGAUGUCUAUAUAUUAGAAAUUUAAAAUAAUAUCUUGAUAUUAUAUACUUAUUGAGAUUCUUAUAUAUUUAAGCAAAUUGACUUAUAUAACGAUUCAAAGAUAUAAGUCUUUUUAAAAAUAAAUAUAUGACGUAUUUAAAUAUCUUAAUAUGACGUGUGAUUUUAAAUUGGCUCUCCAACUCUAAGAAACCAACAUAAUCUCCUUUAGUUUCAUCACUACCUAUUAGCUAAUAAUAUUAUAAGUUUGAUUGUUGAAAAAAUUAUUUUAGUAUAAUUUAAUCCGUUAGCCUAUAAGUUUGAUAGCUUCUUUACAGAUAAAUUUGUUAACAAACGUAAAACUUUUGUUGUGAAACGGGUCUUUAAACAGGCUACCAGGCCAAGCCAGGCUUUCGGAAGGCUCAAGCCAGACUCGAAAAAAAGCCCUUGAUAGGUCAUAGGCCAGGCUUAUGCCUUAAAAUUUUUAAACAGGCCAGGCCUAUUUAAGCAAAGUCUACCUAGGCCCAGCCUAUUCCCACCCCUACCUACAAUGGACAUCUUUGGUAAGCAUUUGUGGAUUUAGUCUCAACAUGUUUCCUGGUUUCAUCUAGCUACCUUUGCCAAAUUGUGCUAAUAAGGGGCAGUAAUAGUAUGUGUAGUUUCUGCUGCUGUGUUUGUGGUUUUGGUAGCAUCUUGCUACUGUGAAGAGGUUAGCUGGUUAGUUGUGGUUGUUUUCGAGCAGCAUCUUGCUGCUUAUGAUGUGUUAAGUGUGUGAUAUGUUGUGCUGAACUCUGAUCUAGUUGUUACUGCAUUUGGAUGAGUAUCUGCAGUAUGGUUGAGAGAUUGGUUUUGUACAUAGCUGCUGAAAAUAGCUAUGUUAAACGUGUUCGUUUGUGUAAGCUACCUUGAUAAAUUUUAUUUGCUCUGAUCUGAUAUUUCAAGCUGCAAGUUUUUCUGAAGAGCUUUAUGGUAAUGGAUUGUAUUAGCUAAAAUUUGACAAAGGGGGAGAUUGUUGUUGCUUUGUUAUGAUUGUCUACAUUUUAGCUAAUGUAUGCUGUGUGCCAACAUGUCGGACAUGAUGUAGAGGAUUGCAUUAGCUAAAAUUUGACAAAGGGGGAGAUUGUUGUUCCUUUGUUAUGAUUGUCUACAUUUUAGCUAAUGUAUGUUGUGUGCCAACAUGUCGGACACGAUGUUGUAACAUCUUGACUAUGACAUGUGUCCCUGCGGAUCUUAUAUGAGUUGGCUAAGUUAUCUGUGAAGCUUUGUUUUGAUUACAUGGUAAUCAAGUUAGGGUUUUGUUGGAAGCUUAUGUGCGCCGUUCAAGGAAUAUAUCAAGUGUGAUCAAAUCAGUUUUAGGGAUUUGACAUGAGAUAUUUAUGGAAGUUUUCAUCUGCAACUGAAACGCAUCUUUGAAGAUUUUCUGCAGAUUUGUUUCAUUAAUAACUUCAUGUUUUGUGUGAACUCUUUGCUGGCCCAAACUCAUCAAAGACAAGGCUUAGACAACUGCUACUUAAGAAGACCUAGACCUAGUUGCUAGGCGGUGCUUCUUGUUGAGAAAAUUAGGGUUUACUCUUGUUUUGUUCAAACUUGGUGUUCUCUCAGCAGCUCUAUGUUUUUACUGUAAGCUGAGAGUUGUUGUGUUAGUUGUUUGAUCUUGAGAUCGUCUUUACUCUUGUUGUAAGAGAUUAAUCACUGUGGCAGUGAUUGUGAGAGAGGGUUCUCAUACUUAGGGGGAGACCUAAGUAAUAAACCACAUGUAGGAAUGAUGACCCGGGUUUAUAUGAUGUUUUUAUGGUUUUUCCUUGUAGGUUUUGAGUCUUUUUCUUGUGUCUCAUGUAGUGUUUCAUGCAUUCUCAUGCAUUUUUACUUUUAUUUGUGCAUUUGCAUUAGUUUAGUAAUUAUGUAGUUUUAUAAGGACUUUAGUUGCAUUUUAGUAUAGUUUUGAGUCUUUUGUUAAUUGUCAUUAGUUUUUGAGUCCCUUGUGCAAUUAAAUGGUUGGUAUUCUUGAUGUUUUUCCUUGAGCUUUGAUGAGAGUAAUCAGGUCCGAAACUGAAGAAGAAGGAAGGUCAAGAAGCUUGGUGAAUUGAAGGGAAGCUUAAAGAGGCAUAAAGAGGAGUUAAAAUGAAGAUCAAGGGACUUUCCAGCGAGUCUGAGCGCCUAGGCAUGCUCCAUUGGCGCCUAGGCGCCAAUUGCCCUGUUCCAGAAAUUGGAAUUGGCGCCUAGGCACUCUGAAUUGGCGCUCAGGCGCUUUGAAUUGGCGCCUGAGCGCCCGGAACAGCCCAAACUCGUGAUUUUUGCCUAUAAAUAGGAUUUUAGUCAUUUUCUUUUGGGGAGUUGGAUAUCUUUUCAUACUUUGUAAAAUUCAGAGGUAGAGGAUCAUCUAGGAUAGUGAGAGAAGGCUUCCAAGCUUGUGUUCAAGGUUCUUAGCCAAGCAUGGCUCUUGCCAUGCUUCGCUAAUCUCUCUUCUUUUACUUUGGUUUUCUUGUAAGACUUUUCCUUUUAAGUUAUAAUCUUAAGUUCUUUCCCACAUGUUCUUCUUCUUUCCUUGAAUCCCAUAUCCAUGCUUUAUGUUUCAAGUUAGAACAUGUGCUAGCUUUAUGCUUUUGUAUAAUAGAACGGAAGUUUGUUAUAGAUUAGGGACUUGUUAUGGGAUUACCUCUUCUAUACUUGCUACUAGGAAUAGAGGAAGGGUUGGGGUUUGUUGGCCUGAACUUUAUAAUCUUUAUGCUUCAAACAAAUGUUUAAGUACACAAGGAAUUGGGCUUAUCUUUUGGUUUGAAUGAAUUAUCUAUGCGAGGCAUCGAUAGGUAGUUGCUUAGGCUAUAACAUCAAGGAGAGAUUCAUGAGAACAUGUGCUUAGAAUGAUGUGCUUGAAUUGAUUAGUUAAGCAAGAACCCAAAGUAAAUCACUCUUUCUUUUCAUUCUCUAUUUCAUUUCUGAAUUUAUAUUUUCUUUUUCCUUAUUACUACUUCGUCAUAUGUUUGCCUCAAUAAAACAAACCUUCAAACUCAAAGCUUGAACCGAAUCUAUUCACUCACAAUCCCUGUGGUUCGAUAUUUAAAACCGGGUGAACUUUAUAAUCUUUAUGCUUCAAACAAAUGUUUAAGUACACAAGGAAUUGGGCUUAUCUUUUGGUUUGAAUGAAUUAUCUAUGCGAGACAUCGAUAGGUAGUUGCUUAGGCUAUAACAUCAAGGAGAGAUUCAUGAGAACAUGUGCUUAGAAUGAUGUGCUUGAAUUGAUUAGUUGAGAAAGAACCCAAAGUAAAUCACUCUUUCUUUUCAUUCUCUGUUUCAUUUCUGAAUUUAUAUUUUCUUUUUCCUUAUUACUACUCCGUCAUAUGUUUGCCUCAAUAAAACAAACCUUCAAACUCAAAGCUUGAACCGAAUCUAUUCACUCACAAUCCCUGUGGUUCGAUAUUUAAAACCGGGUGGAUUCGUACACUUGCGGAUUUACCAACAAGGAAUAAGUAGGAAAGGCUGUGAACAGGGGCUGUUCAAUUUAGACCUUUUGUGUACUUGAUUCUCUAUAAUAAUGAAUUAUCUUUCUUGGGCUGAAGCCCUCCAGAUGUAGGUGAUGUUGCACCAAACUGGGUUAACAAUUCUCUGUGUUCUUUAUUGUUUUUUGUUGAUCUAAUACUAUGUUUCACUUCUGUUGUUAUCUGCUGUACGUUGUGCCAUAUGUCCUAGACAUUUGGUUCGACAUCUUUCCUGUGUGUGAACCAGAAUUUCAACCUAGUUUAUUAUAUUAAUUAAAUAAUAUUAAGUAAUAUUUUAUGUGAAUCAUGUGUGAUAUAUGGUGCAGUUAUUACCAGAGAUGCCUUAGCACGGUAAAUUGUUUGACAUAGGUGACAUUAGACACUAGUAAUAUCUGAACAAGAUGUACACCAUAUUACGACUGCUUUGACUGUAAUACUGAUAAUAUAAUAUUACAGUGACUUUUAGGGCAUAAAAUGUCUCAACUGUGUCGAUGAGUUAGUAGGUUCCGACGAUGUGGAAGAUUUUGUGGACCACACCAUGUGCCAUGAGUGGGGUGUGAAAAUAGAGGAUAUUCCAUGGGGAAUAUCCCAUUUUUCCUUUGGGAGAAUUUAUUUGAAUAAAAUGGAUAUUAUUUAAAUGGUAAAAGUUAUUUAAUUAUUUUUAUUCAAAGUUCUAUUACAUAAAUGUAUUGAAAAAAUAUUUUUGGGUAUUGAUGAAAGCCUUGGUCCAAUGUUUUGGGGGGAAAGGAAGAAAAAUUCUCAAAUUUAAAUUUAAAUAUUAAUUCUUGCAUUAAGUGUUAAUUAGGAGGCGAUUCGAGGGAAUGUUCAUUGACUUUCAUUAUGAAGGGUGCCACAAUUUGAAUGUGAAGAUUUUUCAAGGACCUUUUUGAAAGGAAAAUAAUUUUCUUUAAGUCACGAGGGCUGAUUUAAAGUCUUAAGGAGUUAAGGUUUUAAUUGGAUUUUUAAAAUAGAAUUAAAACACAAAGUCAAACCAAGUUUUGGGACCAAAUCAAGAGAAGGACUUUUUUGUGAAAACCCUAGGUUGAGCUUGGUGUAGUCGCGUUGCUUGUCGUUGAUUUCAAUCUUGGCGUUCUACGUUGUCCUUUAUCAGGGGGACUUGUUCUUGACACCUUGUUCAUUCAAUAAAUCUUUUGCUUUCGAAAAAAAUGCAGCAUGUACAAUUCAUACUUUAUUAUUCGCUCCACUAUUUUUUUUUGUCUUUGAUGAAUGUCUCCACCCAUUCGAGAAACUAUAGUUGUAUAUUCCCCCUUCCUUAUAUAGAGUUUUGGUAUUUGAUUGUGCAAGUCUUAUCGCACAAUGUGAAUUUUAUCACCAAAACAUUGGACACGUAUUUGGCUUAAUAGCAUUUUUUGUCCCUCACAUAUCACGAUUUGACAGUUUUAGUCAAUUAAGGUAUAUUAUAGUAAUUAUUUUAUCUCUUAGUAUUUUAAAUAAAUAUUCUAAAUAUUAUUUUAAUCAGAAUUACCAAAAUUAUAGUUCAGAAACUCUAAGGGGACUAAAAUGUAAAAAAAAUCUUUGAGGACUUAACUAUAAAACCUUCACUAUUCACGUUCACAUCAUCAUUAUAAUACUCUACGAAUUCAGGAGGUGGUGCUAUGCUUGCAUGAAUUUUUGAAGUAGAAAAUCAUACACUAAAAAUACACGUUUUUUAAUAACACUUUUGGUCUCUCAUUUAUCACGAUUUGACAGUUUUGGUCCCUUAUAAAAUUUAUUAGCCUACAACAUCCCUCACAUUUACUAAAUGUUACAGUUUUCAUUUUUCGUCAACUUUCAUCCAAUAUAUAAUGUUUUUUAAUUUAAAAAUCAAUUAAAAACAAGGCUUGAAGAACACUUUAAUCUUCUAUGUCUUCUAUGAUUAACAAUUUUAUGGUUUAUGGUUUUUUUAAGUGAUUUUUUGAUGAAAAACCGUUAAAUAUUGAAUGGAAGUUGGCAGAAAAUCAAAACUGCAAUAAUUAGUAAACGUGAGAGGAACGUUGUAGACUAAAAAAUUUAUGAGGAACAAAAACUCUCAAAUCGUUAUAAGUGAGGACAAAAAAUGCUAUUAAAGAAACGUAUUUUUAGUGUAUGAUUUUCUACUGGAAAACUUCAUGCAAGCACAGCACCACCUCCUGAAUUCUUAGAGGAAUAUUAUAAUGAUGAUGUGAACGUGAAUAGUGAAGGUUUUGAAGGCUUUAUGUUUAAGUCCUCAAAGAUUCUUUUCAAUUUUAGUCCCUUAGAGUUUCUGAACUAUAAUUUUGGUAAUUCUGAUUAAAAUAAUAUUUAUAAUAUUUAUUUAAAAUACUAAGAGAUAAUUUGAUUUUGUAAAUAAUUACUAUAAUAUAUCUUAAACUGAUACAUGUAUAUACACAUACCCAUAUAUAUAAUCUAUUUACAUUACAUUAAGCUAACAGGUUGUCAGUGGGAUGUUACAAAAUCGAUAUUGGUUCACUAUGAUUGUUAUGUUUUGUUGCUCCCAAAGUUAUUAUGUUUAAUUCUAGGGGUUGUCUAAAUGACUCAUGUGUGUUACUAAUUUAACAAUCAAUAGACCAAUAUGAUUUUUUAUAACUAAAUUAAUAAAUAAAAUAUAGAAAUUUCAACUCAUUUAUCUUCAAUGUAAUUGGGUGAUGAGUUAUUUAACCCAAACUUUCUCAUGGGUCAUUUAGACAACCCCUUAAUUCUAUCUACUAUUUGAUCAGCAUUGUGGUUUAUGUUCACCCAGACAGGAUUCUCCAGGUAGCUUCUGAGGAACAUUGUUUCCCCCCUCAUUCAGUUGGUUUCGAACUAGCCCUAAUGGCACUUGAUUCAUUUGGUUCAAUUGGGGCUGAUCUUUUUGGGGUACCACACUUAUCCUUAAUUUGGUUAGCAUUGUUUUGAAACUCAUUGUUGUAAAGGUUACCCACAUGGUCAUUUGUAACAUUUAAUGCAUUAGCAAUUAUACCCAUCUGCGGACUUGCCUAGUCAGUUACUAAAAAGUAUUAUUUGUGUUCUGAAGCAAUGGGUUAAACACAGUGCCAAUAUGUUGGGCUAACAUAUUGACCAUCUCAUGAUUGCUAACAUCCAUUUGUUGCCUUAAGACCCGUACAAUAACAUUUGUUAAAGAAUUCACUGGAAUAGACAUACCACCCCAGUCACCCCUGGGGGAUAAGAGCCGUUUCGACCCAUGUCGAAGCCAAAACCUGAAACGGAUUCCUAGGGGAACCUAUUAAAACCAAAUUAGCCGAGUAAAUGGAUUAAGGACGUGGGCAUGCCAUAUGGAGGGUCCCUUAUAUGAAUGGUUAACUUAGGUUGAAUGACACUCAUAACUGCUUGUGAGACUACCAGUGUGGUAGCCUGGUAGGACUAGGCAUAGUAACCACGACUGAAACCGAAAUUUCGGCUACACCGAUUGUAGUACCCGCUAGCUCCAUGUUAGCAUUAACCACAUUGCCAUUGUUAUUAACUGCAUUCUCACAAUUAUCGUCAAUUGUCCCUGAUUAACCACAUUUUGGUUAUUGCUCGGGCCAAGAUGGCAUGCGGACAAAUUAUUGUUUCUUGAUUUAGUAUUUUCCAUACAUAUUAACUUCCCACUUCUCAAACGCAUAAAACGUAAUAGAGAAGAACAUAAUUGACAAACUUAUAAAAAUAUUUUCACAAAAGAGUCUCAUGGGUGUGCCAAUUCUCUUACGCUGAUUUUUGGUAAAUAAAUAAGAGAAUCCAAAGAUCAAUCUGGGGACUGAAUUCAAAUCUUCUUGAUAUCUUUGGUAAAAAUAGUAUAAGGGUCAAUUAUAAAUAUAAGAAUAAAAAGUGAUUUAAAAUUGCAAAUAGUGACAAAUUAAGUAAUUUAAAAACAAAUGAAUCAAAAGAUAAAGAAAAUAUUUGGAUAAUCUUCAAAUAAGCAAUAUAAUACAUAAGAGUUUCAAAAGAUUUAUACUUUUUUCCUCCUUAAACUUUUGUUGCCUUCAUUUUCGACUUAAGUAUUUUAGAGUUAAUUAUAGCAAAAUAAUUUGUGAACCCUAAAUAUAACUUGAAAACACCUAAUUAUAGGCUAAAAUCCUAACUACCAUCUGUUUACGGCGGUUUUUGGUAAACAAAUAUCCUCUUAGUUCGACUAAAGGAAGUUUAGAUUCGGGGUCCUUUUGGGAAAACGUCUUGCCAAAGUGUUGUGUGUGAGUUGAUAUUUUUCGACAACAAUGCACGAUUCAAAAGAAAUUGGAUUUCAUUAAACACGGGUCAAUUACAUGAAGAUCAAAGUGCAACAAAGUGAAAAGAAAACUGCAGGGAACGUAAAUUUCGACAAGAAAUUAAGCAACAGGACUAGUAAAAUUAACAAGCGACGCUACAAACUUAAAUGCAAGAAAGAUAAACAUUUGGUUCUGCAACAUACUCCUCCAUCAUCACGUCUUGCUCCUUGAGUCUCAUUGAUGCAGACAUUAGAGCUUUUUAGUGAAUUUUUCAGAGUUGAGCUGGGAACCCUUUUUUCUGACUUGAAUUCUCCCAUUUAUAGAGCAUAUCCUUGGCGGUUUUCUUCUUCUUCUUGGAUGGGUUAGUCGGUCUAAUCCCCUCUUCCCACGAUCUGGAGUUGGUUUUGGAAGUUCCUUGUGCGGUGGUGGAGAUUGUGUGCCUCAACUGCUUCAACCGCUUCUUGGCCACGUAUUCAACCAACGUGGUGAGAAUCCGACUUGGUCAAUGCUGCACAUGUUAAAUGUGCCCCUGUUUGUAGCAGUAGUUCCCAUUGUCGAAUUCGACUGCUCCUUUAACUUGGUGCAUUUUUCCUUUCCCUUCUUUAGUCUAAAUUCGACCACCUUGUGUGCUUUGGGCCGAAUGCGUUUUUUCUUUUCUUUUUUGGGCCAAAAUAUUGGGCCAACACCAUCCAACGGAAAAAUAACUAUAACAAAACAUGUAUUCUUUGACUUGAUUUGAGUUCUACACGCGUCCUUAAAAACUAUAACUUCCAAAACCUUCAUCCCAGUUGCGUCAAAGAAUGAAGUUUUCCGAUUUCAAAUAAUGAUAUUUUCGACCUUGGAUUCAGCAAGAACGCAAUCUUACUUUGUUUUAACUCCAUCUUUAUGUUGCCUCGAGCUCUGAUAAAAAAAACAUGCCUACAACACUGUUUACGAUGAUAUUUGGUAAACAAACAUUCUCCAAUUCGACUGGAAAAAGUUAAAGUUAAGGGUUUUUUUGGGAAAACGUCUUGCCAAAGUGUUGUGUGCAAAGGGUGUGUUUUUCGACUGGAGCAAAGUUGUAAGGGAAAUCAGCGAUUUACAAGAAUUAAAACUUGAAUUGCAUUAAACUUGAGUAAAGUGCAGAGUACAAAAAGAGAAAUUCGAAAAGCAAAGAUUACAUCAAGUAAAGAACUCGAUAGGAAUUCAAACUAAACUUAAACACAAAGCAAAGUGUCAAGGCAUUAAUCAUAAAUCGUUGGUUCUGCAACAUACUCGUUCAUCAUCACGUUAGGCUCUUGAAGUUUCUUUGAUGUGGACAUGUGAGCUUUUUAGUGAGUUUUUAGAGUCCAGUUGGGAACCCUUUUUUCUGAAUGAUCUUCUCCUAUUUAUAGUGCUCUAUUGAUUCACACGUCCUUGGCGAUUUUUUCCUUUGCUGAAUGGGUUAGUGGGCUUGAGAAUCGGUGCUAUGCUCCAUGAUCUCUUGCUUAUUCUGGAAGCUUCUUGCAUCAUGGGGGAAGGCCUCCAUUUCUAACUGCCCACUUGCAUCGUGGGGGAAGGCAUGUGCUCUCAACAGCUCUUAACUGCCCACUCUUUCUGUAACCGUUUUAUGCGUUUAGCUGCAGGUCCCUUUUGUGGCCGAACUCCACAGCUAUGACUCAUUCUGCCAUUUAACUUAGCGUUUUUCAUGGCUGCCUCUUUUAUCAAAUUUCGACUAAAGUCGAUAAACCUUCUUUUGACGAAAUGAUGUCGACGAGCCUUCCCUUGGUGAAACUUUGAGCUAACAAACACUCAACUUAAUCUUCUAAUGUCAAAACCUAAAUAUUCAGUCGAAGCUUCUCUUCCAAUCCAAUUGGAAUUCGACUAAAAUUUCCAGCUUAACAAACAGUUUGUACAUCUGAACAUUAUAACUUAAAUCGGUCACAAUAUGAUUAAAUUGGAUCAAUUGUUCUGAUGCAGGUAAAUCACCACUGAAUUGUCUGUGAAUAUAAAUUAAGUGGUACACUAAUAGAGUUGGGGGUGCAAGAGAAACAUGUACCAGCAACGGGUCAAAGUUAGCCUCAAACAUGUACUUCCGUGUCUUAAAAAUUUCCAUCAGGAAGCUUCCCUUCCUCACAUUCAUUCUCAUCUUCUGAUAAAAAGCUUCAGCAUCCACAUUAUACUUCGUUGUGUUCAUGAACACCAUCACCUACGUUAACUUAAGAGUGCCACGUGACUCAUAAUUCACCUCAUAGUUUUAUGGUUGCAAAGGAUUCACUUCAUUUGAGGUGAAUUCUAAAAUCAAGCUUUAUCACAUGGCCAAAAGUAUCACAUUUUGGUAAAUAUUUUCCUACUAAAAUAUUUUUCAAUAUUUAAGAAAAACCAGAAGAAAAAAAGUGUGAAAAUUGAAAAAACGUGAUUCCUUUCCCUCAGCGUGGCAUAUUUUUUUUUGCUAUAUCGGAAAAUUGACAACAAAAACGAAAAAACUAAGCUACAAAAAGGGAGUCCCUAAGAAGGAUGAGUUGCAGCUCCUGCUCCAGCUGGUGAAUAGCCUGAGUGCUCGGAGAGGAGAGAUUAUAACCCUGCUUAGAAAGCCAGUCUGCAGCAGAAUUACCAUCUCUAUGUAUCCAACUAAUACUCACACGCCAGUUACGCGCCAUGAGCUGCAUGAUUUCUUUGAGGAUUGCAACUUGAGGAUGAUGGUGCACACGCUCCAAGUGCCCUUCUUCCAAUAAGAUUACCAGAUUGUCACAGUCAAUGUCACAUGAGAUGUUCCUAUGCCCUGAAUUCCAAGCCAUGAGAAGACCCUCCUUCAACCCUAAUGCCUCUGCCACAAAAGGAUCUCCACCAUGAGCCAGUGACGUAAAUCCUGCAAUCCAGCAUCCAGCCUUAUCACGAAGAAUACCGCCACCACCCAUGCAAUUUUUCGGUUCUCGAAAGCUUCCAUCGGUAUUAAGCUUGACAAAAUUCUCCUGAGGUGGCCUCCAUACAUUUUUUCUAAGACCCGCACCAAUACAUAUCAGAUCUGGUUGCAACGCAUGCAGAAAAUCAUCAUGGUCCCGAACCAGAUUACUCCAAGCAACAUGGAGGGGCCAAGGACUAUCGCCAAGCACCAUAUUAUUUCUCCACUUCCAAACACCCCAUAAGCCAGCCACGAAUUUAGUUGCGUUUGUACCUCUAGCUUGGAAAGAAAUCCAAACUGGCAGCUCCAGGGAAGAAAAGUUUGGCCAAGACCACGCUCCUAACUUCGCCCAAAGCUCCCUAGAAUGGGGACAGUCUCGCAAGCAAUGCAAACAAUCCUCUCUGGCUGAGGAGCAUCUAGAACAGCUCUCAGAAUGCGUCAGAUGGCAUUUGAAACGAUUUGAAUUUACCGGUAAGGCCUGGUGUAGAGUCAGCCAGAGAAAAACCUUUACUUUCUCUGGAACUUUAAUUUUCCAGAUCCAGCCCCAAUCUGCUGCAGGAAUUGAGGGCUGAUUGGUAUCUCUAAGCCAAGUAUAGCCCUCCUUCGAUGAGUAGUAGUCUGGGUUCCCAGGAUCCCAACACCAGCGGUCCUCUUCGUCUUGAAUACACUUUGGCAGCACCUUGUUGAAAAGCGCCAAAACCUGCUCAGACAUCAUGGUGCUGCAACGCUGAAGAGUCCAUUCUCCAUUCACCACGAGAUCCAACAGGCGCAUAGCCGAAUCAGAAAUGUGAACAAAAGGAACUUGGAGAGCAAGAGGGCCUUCUCCAGACCAGUCCUUGAACCACACCGAAGUGUUACCAUUGCCCAGCCGAAACCGAUAACCACCCUUUAGUUUGUCACGCGCCUUGAGGAUCCCUUUCCAAACUGGUGAUGCGUUAAGUCUCACCUUUUCCUCUAGAAUUGAUCUGCCCUGUAAGUAACGAUGCUCCAGAACUCGAAAACAAAGUUUAUUAGAGUUCUGAGCCAGAGCUCAUACUACUUUUCCCAUGAACGACGUGUUAAAAUCUCCCAUCUCUUUAAGUCCCAGGCCUCCAUCUUUUCUAGGCAGAGUCACGGUAUCCCACUUAAUGAGGUGCCAUCCUCGUUGCCCACUGUUUUUUGACCAGAUGAAGCUCCUCAUUAUUUGAUUAAUUCUAUGGAUUAUACUCCUUGGCAGCCAGAAGACCUGCAUGACAUAAGUUGGUAUCGUUGCAAUGACUGAUCUCGCUAGACAAGCUCUCCCAGCAACAUUUAAGAGGUUGGUUUUCCAAGACUCAAGUUUACGUUGGAUGUUUUCAAGCAGGAAAUUAAACUUGCUUCUCGACGCUCUACCACUACUCAACGUAAAACCGAGAUAGGUUCCAAGAUCACGCACAAAAGGAAUUGGGGCAAUGGCUCGUAUCUCUUCACACACUUCAGGUCGCACUCCAAGGGAGGUAAUAGCUUUUGACUUGUUGAUAUUCACCUUCAUGCCAGAACUCAAUUAGAAGGCUUGCAGCGUAUCUGCUACUAAUUGAACCUGCUCAGUGGAGGCUUUGCAGAAGAGGAGGACAUCGUCUGCAAAAAAUAAAUGAGAGAUAGGGGGUCCUUGGGGGGACACCUGAAUGGAUUUCCAAAGACUUGUACUCACCAAAUGAUCAAUCCUAACAGAUAGCCUCUCCAUACAAAGAACAAAAUGAUAAGGGGACAUAGGAUCACCUUGGCGCAGCCCACGCCCAGGGUGAAAGGAAGGAAGCCGAGAGCCAUUCCAUAAUAUGGACAAGGUGGACGCUGACACACAUCUCAUGAUUAGAUUAAUCAAACCAUUAGGAAAUCCAAACCAGUGAAGAAUGUCUUCAAGGAAAGACCAAGAGACACUAUCAUAUGCCGUCUCUAAGUCGAUUUUGAACGCCAAACUCCCGUUUCUUGCUCUAGAUGAAUUCAUAUAAUGAAUUAUUUCCUGGGCCAAGAAUGCAUUAUCCAUGGUACCUCUGCCAGGUAUGAAACUGUUUUCCAUGGGACCAAUAAGCUUGUUCAAGAAAGGACGAAUUCUAGCCACAAUAAACUUUGUGAUCAAUUUAUAGGUAACAUUACAAAGGCUUAUUGGGCGAAACUCUUUAAUUGACGUGGGAUUGUCCACUUUCGGGAUUAGAACAAUGAGAGUUUCCAAUAGCUUCUCAUCCACUGUGCUAGAAUCAAACGCAUUACAGACCACUCCAUACACAUCAUCUCCCACAAUUUCCCAAUAUUUUUUGAAAAAGAAGGGCUGGAACCCAUCCGGUCCUGGCGCUGUAAAAGACUUCAUGGACAUAAGCGCUUUGUAAACUUCCUCCUUGAGAACUGAGAGGGAGAGGGUGUUCCUAUCACUGAUGGAAAGAGAGGGAAAGUUUUCAUGAUUAAACACUACCUCUCCUGGAUCCCCUUGCACGGUAAACAAGGAUUGGAAAUAACUUUGGACUUCCUCAAUCAGCAUAUUCUUCUCCGUGCACCAAUCGCCAUCUCUCAAUUUCAAUCUAUGUAUCAUAUUGCGUUUCCUUCUAAUUACCGUGUGAGCAUGGAAAUAAGAGGUGUUGCAGUCUCCAAAACGAACCUGAUUGUCCCUCGCCUUCUGAUACCAUAAUAGCUCUUCUUGUUUUAGGAUGGUUCUAUAUUAUGUUUGAAGUGAAUUUCCAAGCCUGGUUAACUCCGAAGAGACCUGCUUGUCUAAUUCACGCUGCACUCCACGAAGGCGACCUUCAACCCAUCGUUUAUGCUGGAAUAUGUUACCAAAUACUUCUUUAUUAAAGACAAUUGAAUCAACCCUGACUUGAUCCAACUUUGACGUAAUACCAUUGUCCACCCGCUGCCAGGCAUGUUCUACUACUGUCUGAUAAUUUUCAUGAUCGACCCAAGAGGCAAUAAAGAGAGGUACCACAGUGUAUUAGCAAGGGACUGUGGUCGGAUGAGAUCCUAUUCAGCGUCUCAACGUAGGCUCCGGGAAAGGCUAUCCUCCAUUCAACAUCCCCCAUGGCUCUAUCAAGGCGUUUAGAAAGAAUAAUCCUAUUGUUUACUUUUCGGAACCACGUAAAAGUUGUGCCCACGAUUCCUAAGUCCACCAUUCGAUAGUCUUCAAGAACUUGGCCAAACCGGGCAGCUCUGGUAGCCAUGAAGUCACCACCCCUAACGUCACUAGGAAGAAGCACUUCAUUCAUGUCGUCGGCGAGCAUCCAAGGCAGCGAAAUACGUUGCCGCAGAUCCAGAAGAUGAUGCCAAAGCACUUCCCUUGUAGCUGGGCUAGGGGACGCGUAAACCGCACUAAAAAUCCAAGACAAAUUGUCCUUCCAAACUUCAAAUGUAAUGGCUUGAGAGUGCAUAUCAACCAACCUGAAGUUUAGGAGAACUUUGGUGUUAUUCAGAACCCAUAUUCCACCACUGAAGCCCCGAGCUUCAGAAAUAAAAGUAGGGGUGAAAUCUAGAGACUCCCAAAAUCUGCGAACUCUGGCAAACUGACAUCUUGUUUCCAUCAGAAUAACUUUUUCUGGUUUUUUAUUCCGAAUAAUGUCCUUGAGAACACGCCUACUAUUCUCAUUCAAGGCUCCCCUCACAUUCCAGGACAAAACUUUUGUUUCUUCAAACCCUAUCAUAAAAAACUAUUAGAUGAAGGGUAACAGACUAUCCCAGGAUAUUAACUUUGGGAUGGAAGAUUGUGAGUAAUUUCUCCCUGGCAACGGUUAGCCAUGAACGUGCCAGUAUGUUGCGAGCAUGCAUCCCUUCCUGUGUCCAGGUUGGUUUCUUGUUGACCCCCCACCUGUAAUGGCCUAUCUCCUGGAUCAAGAGAUUGAUUAGCUACAAAGUGGUCCCCACCUUGCCUAUUUGUUUCCUCAAAGCGAGACCUUUUAUUUCUAUUCCCUUGGACGCUUGGUUCCACACGGCUAGGACUGCCAAAAGUGAACUGGGCCCAAUUGUAGUGGGUUUCACAUUUGCAGUUUUUUCCUCUCUUGAUUUCCUCCCAUUCUUUCCUGGGCACUGAUUUUUCAAUCAUUGGCCCAUUAGACACUGGGCGUUGACCAUUCCCUUUCUGCCCCUGAUCUCUUGGAGUUGAUUUCUUUUUCUUCUUGGAUAAUGUGAUCCAAUCCCCCAAGAUUUCAAAAUUAUCUGCCAGCUUUAAUUGCACGUUUUUCGUGCCACCAAUGAUCACUCCGUUCCCCUGAACAUUCCCCUGACUCUCUCCACUAAUUUCGCCAGUAUCCAUUGAUUCAGUUCUUUCUAUUUCCGGUGCACCCGUUUGAUGUGCCCUAGCCUCCUACGCCGCCACUGCAUUAGGGUUCAGUGUUGCGCCGCCAGAAACUUCUGAUGCUGACACAGGCUGUUGUGCUCCUGUCUCCACCGGUGGUGGCUCAACACAUUCUCUGCUCCGAUGUCCAUAGAACCCACAUUUGGUGCAUAUAACAUGCAGACCCUCGUAUUCAAUAUUGUACCAAUAAUCCUCAAUACACACCUUCCCCACCACCGGGAGUGUUAGAUCCAGUUCCACACAUAUCCUCGCAAAUCUUCCCCUGUCAGCUUUCAGCAUAUUCCAAUCCACCUUAAUAGGCUUACCAAUUGCUCGUGCUAUCGAAAGCAGGUAGCUUUCAUCAUAGAAAACCACAUUCAACCCUGGAAUUCUGAUCCAUGCUAGAGCAUUCGUCACCUUUGCUGCUGGAGAGAUAAAUUUUGGACUCCGUGUUGAGACUGCUAAAUAAUGGUCAAAGACCAUCCAAGGGCCCCCAUUAAUUACCUUAUCCUUGUCUUCCUUAAUAUCAAACUUUACCAUGUAAAAUCCAUUGCCUACAUCAAUCAUAUCAAAAUCUCCAACAAGCCUCCAUAGAGUACCCAACUUUUGUUUCAUGGUGCGGUAUCCCAGUGUUUUCCCCAAGAGACUCACCACCAAAGCUUCUUUCCAUCGUGCACUCAUCUCCUCAACAACUGAGGCCUCUGUUACUAUUUUAGGUAGCAACCUAUUACCAUUUACCAACUGAAUCUUCAUUCGCCCUUGAUCCACUAAGUCUCUCACCUCCUUAGGGCCAUAUGCCUUGGCGCCACCCAUUAGUUUAUCACGGAACGAGGACCGGCCCGAAGUUUUUCCGGCAUCCGGCGGCGUAGAGUCAUCAACCUCCAUCAUAGCGAGCGUACCCUAGCAGAGCGAGCACAAAAUAUCCUUCAGCGUGGCAUAUUAAUAUAGUAGUCACUAUUUAAUCACUUUGUCUGCCAUGAAUAAAAAAAAGGCAUAUUUCUUUAAUUAAUUUAAAAGAUCUUAUCAACACUAAAUAUGAGUUUUACUUUCAAUUUAGGUUAACUCACAUAAAUUUCAACCAUGAGAAAAUGUUGAAAAUAAAGUGAUGAAGUGAUGGAGUGUUACUAGCACUCCGCAAUUAAUUUUAGUAUAUUAUAAGGACUAUAUUGUAAAUACAAUAUAUUAAAUUUUAUUACUAAACACAUGAUUCAUUAGUGAAAUUAGUGAAAUGCUCCCUCUGAUCCUAUAUUCAAUUGAGAGAAGAAACAUACAAAACGAAUGCAAUUAAUUUUAUUGAUUUUUAAGGAGUUUACAAUGAAUCACAUAUCAGUUAUGAUAAGUUGAUAACAACUAAAGCUUUUUUUUUAAAAAGCCAAAAUGAAUUCAUAAGAAGUACAAGAAAUGUUCAACCCUGUUGUUCCUUUGUUGUCAUCAAUUUUGUUAAAAACAACCUGAUGUCCUAGCCGAUGUUGUGACAUUUGCCUUGAUGAAGGCCAGGACAUCCGCCCCUGCUGGCAUGCAAGUGGGUCCCUUGUGGUUAUGCUUUAUGGUAUGAUCUGUGCUUACUUGAAGGUCAAGUAACUGUGUGUUGGGAGCCAGUUGCGGGUUGUUUUUGUUGAAGCAAAUCUGUGAUUAAAAAGAUUUGUUUCUAUUUUUACUUGUUGAUCACUCAUAUCAGAUCUUGAAAGAUUCUCUACUGAUAUGAGUUGGAUCAAAGUGUUCUUCAGCCCAAAUAAACCCUAGCCGCCUCUGCUGAAGUAUAUAUUGACAAAGACCUGAAGCUUGAAGUUGAUGGAGAGAAUCACCUUGAAGUUCAAGUGUUCUUAAGAGUGUAAGUUGUUCUUUGUCUUUGUUAGUUGUGAACUCGUCUUGCUCACUGAUUCUAUAAAGUGAGACUGAGUUCUGUGUUGUGUUUGAGUGUCAAACAAACUCUGUGUUAUUGUUGUUCACCAAUCACUGUGGCAGUGAUUGAGGAAAAGUGAGAGGGGCUCUCAUACUUAGGCUGUGGUUCUAAGUAGAAUACCACUGGGUAGAUUAGGUUAAGAACAAUGAACUUGAUGUGUUCAUGUGUGUCUGUAAUACCUAGUUCUUGAGAUAGUGGAAUUCCUUUUCAUUGGGCGAAAGCUAACCAGACGUAGGUGUAGUUUCACCGAACUGGGUUAACAACUUCCUGUGUCUUGUUUCCUUUUAAUUGUUUGUUGUUUUGUGUUCAGGUCUUUCAGUCGUAUGAUGUUCUAAUCGAUUGUCCCAGCAUCGUGCAGGACAUUUGUUCUAAGGGAUCUAGAAUUUCAAUUGGUAUCAGAGCAGGCACCCCUGUUCUGUGUGGGUGAGCUCCAGGGAGAUAUUUUCUUGAUCUCAUGGACAAUAAGGAGGGAGGAUCGAUCAACAGGCCAUCAAUCCUGGAUGGCUCCAAUUAUGAUUACUGGAAGGUUCGAAUGAUAGCCUUUCUCAAGUCUAUUGAUAUCAAAACUUGGAAGGCUGUUGUCAAAGGCUGGAAGCAUCCUGUCAAAGCUCAAGCAGAAGGAAGUACAUCUACUCCUGAAGAAAAACCUGAGGAUGAAUGGACAAGUGCUGAAGAAGAAGCUUCUCUGGCAAACUCAAAAGCAAUGAAUGCUAUCUUCAAUGCUGUGGACAAAAACAUGUUUAGAUUGAUUAAUACUUGCACUGUUGCCAAAGAUGCUUGGGAGAUUUUGAAAACAGCACAUGAAGGUACAACCAGGGUGAGGAUGUCUAGACUCCAGAUGCUUACUACUCGUUUUGAGAACUUGACAAUGACAGAAGAUGAGACUAUUUCUGAAUAUCACAUGCGUGUGCGUGAUCUGUCAAAUGCUUCAUUUGCUCUGGGAGAACCUAUGUCAGAUGAAAAGCUUGUGAGGAAAAUCUUGAGGUCUGUAACCAGCAAGUUUGCAAUGAAGGUCACUGCUAUUGAAGAAGCUCAAGAUAUCAGCAGUUUGAAAGUGGAUGAGCUGAUUGGUUCUCUGCAGACUUAUGAGUUAAAGUUGGGUGAAAAACCUGAAAAGAAGACCAAAAGCAUUGCUUUUGUAUCCAACACCACUGAAGGAGAUGAUGCUGAUAGUGAAAGUGAGAAUCUAUCUGAAGCUCUGGCCCUUCUUUCUAGAAAAUUCAACAGAGCUCUAAGGAAGAUAGACAAAAGGACUAGGCCAAAUGUCCAGGACAUUAAGUCAGACAACUAUAAAUCCUACAAUUCCCAGCGAAAGGUCAAAGAAGAGGACAAAUCAGGCCAAAACAAGGGUGUUCAGUGUCAUGAAUGUGAGGGUUAUGGUCACAUUAGAUCUGAGUGUGCAACCUACUUGAAGAAACAGAAGAAAGGCAUGGUAGUGACAUGGUCAGAUGAAGAUACUGAGGAUGAGGAAGAAUUAUCUGCCAACAAGGUUAAUGCUUUCUCAGGGGUUGUCAAUGACUCAGAUUCCAGUGGUGAUGAAAUGACAUUUGAGGAUUUGGAAGAGACUUACAAACUCCUACAUGUUAAAUGGAAGGAAACUUGCAAACAUCUGAAGGAGCAAGAAGAUGAGAUGAAACAAGUUAAGACUGAAAAUGAAAACCUAAGGGAGACCAUUGAUAAACUGCAAGAUGAUUUGGAUAAAUGGAACUCAAAAUUAAAGGAUGUUGAAACUGUUGAAAAAGCCAAGCUUCUGUUAACCAUAGCUGAUCUUCAAGAGAAAGUAGCUACAUUGACAGCCAAACUGGAAAAUACCUACAAGUCAGUGCGUAUGCUGAACAGUGGAUCUAAUAUGCUUGAAGAGAUUCUGGAAGAAACAAGCAAGCAAGGAAAGAGUGUUAAAGGCAUUGGUUUCAGUUACCAGUCUGGGAGUAGAGGAAAUCAGAAAGCAUCAAGGAAGUUUGUAAGAGCUAAAGAAAACUCUGAGUUUAAAAACCCAGAGAACUAUCAGAGGUCAAGCCCGAUGUCACAACAUAUGCCUCCACAUCCUACUACUCAGAAGGCUACUGCUCAAAUUCCAUGGAGAUGUCAUUAUUGUGGUAGGUUUGGUCACAUUAAGCCCUACUGCUUCAAGCUAUACGGAUAUCCUCAGAUCCAGAAGGUUCUCAAGACAUCUAAGAGAGCUUGGGUACCCAAAGGAGAAGUUUCAUGUCUUAUAACACACACAUCUUUUAGAGUCUCAUCAAGUGAAGACUGGUAUUUUGAUAGUGGCUGCUCAAAACACAUGACUGGGAAUAAGGAGUAUCUGGAAAAUCUCAAGGAAUACUCCAGUAAAUCAGUCACCUUUGGAGAUGGUGCUAAAGGAAAAAUCAAAGGCAUUGGGAAGUUGGUAAACUCUGGAUCUCCUAGUCUGAACAACGUUCUUCUUGUCAAGGGGUUGGCAGCAAAUCUAAUCAGUAUAAGUCAGUUGUGUGAUCAAGAUCUGGAUGUGAAGUUUAGCAAGACUGAAUGCAUGGUUACCACUAGUGAUCAAGAGAUUGUGAUGAGAGGUGUCAGGUCCAAAGACAAUUGCUACAUGUGGAUUCCACAAAAGAAAGCCCAAGUGUCUAGAUGUUUGAUAUCAAAAGUGGAUGAGUUGAAUCUAUGACACCAACGUUUAGGUCACAUCAAUCUCAAGAGUAUGCAGAAAGUUAUCUCUAAAGAUGCUGUACGAGGGCUACCAAAACUGAAAAUAGAUGAAGAAAAGAUAUGUGGAGAAUGCAAGAUUGGAAAGCUGACCAAAACAUCUCAUGCGAAGCUUCAGCAUCCAACUACAACAAAAGUCCUUGAACUUCUUCACAUGGACUUGAUGGGACCCAUGCAGGUAGAAAGUCUAGGAGGUAAGAAAUAUGUUUAUGUCUGUGUUGAUGAUUAUUCCAGGUUCACUUGGAUUGACUUCAUGAAGGAAAAAUCAGAAACCUUUGACAUAUUCAGAAGGCUAUGUCUGAAACUUCAAACUGAGAAGAAUUGCUCUAUAGUAAGAAUCAGAAGUGAUCAUGGAAGAGAGUUUGAGAACUCCAAAUUCUCUGACUUCUGUGAUUCAGAAGGAAUAAGCCAUGAAUUCUCAGCUCCAAUUACACCUCAGCAGAAUGGAAUUGUUGAAAGGAAAAACAGGACUCUUCAAGAAUCCACCAGGGUUAUGCUUCAUGCAAGGAAGAUUUCCAACAAGUUCUGGGCAGAAGCCAUGAACACAGCCUGUUACAUUCACAAUAGAGUAACCAUUAGAGCUGGAACCACAGUCACUCUAUAUGAACUCUGGAAAGGAAGGAAGCCAACUGUGAAACACUUUCAUAUUUUUGGGAGUAAAUGUUAUAUUCUGGCUGAUCGUGAACAAAGAAGAAAGCUAGAUCCUAAGAGUGAUGAAGGAAUUUUCAUGGGAUACUCUACAAACAGCAAAGCUUACAGAGUGUACAAUUCUCGAACAAAGGUAAUGAUGGAAUCUGUAAAUGUCUCUAUUGAUGAUCAACCAAAUGAAAGAGAAGACACUGGUGCAACUGAAGAUGAUGAUGGUCCACAUGUCACAGCCGAUGUCCCAACUAUUGACCUCGACAUUGAAUCAGAAACCAGUUCUGAUGAGCAAGAUCACCAGAUGACCUCUGCAAAUAAAGCUCCAUCGAUCAGAAUUCAAAAGAAUCAUCCUCAAGAGAACAUCAUUGGUGACCUUAAAGAAGGAGUUACUACCAGGGCUAGAAGCUACAUUGCUCAUGAUUUUUUUAUAUCCAAGUUAGAACCCAAGAAUGUCAAGGAGGCUCUGACGGAUGAAUACUGGAUAAAAGCUAUGCAAGAAGAACUUGAUCAAUUCAGAAGAAAUGAAGUAUGGGAUCUCAUUCCUAGGCCUGAGGGAGUAAACAUCAUAGGAACCAAGUGGAUUUUCAAGAACAAGUCAGAUGAGAAUGGUGUAGUAACUAGAAACAAAGCAAGACUGGUGGCUCAAGGAUAUACUCAGAUUGAAGGAGUAGACUUUGAUGAAACCUUUGCUCCAGUGGCCAGGUUGGAAUCCAUAAGACUUUUGCUUGGUGUUGCUUGUCUUUUGAAGUUCAGAUUAUUCCAAAUGGAUGUCAAAAGUGCUUUUCUAAAUGGUUAUCUGAAUGAGGAAGUUUAUGUUGAACAGCCAAAGGGAUUCACAGACCCACAUCAUCCUGAACAUGUCUACAAACUCAAGAAAGCCUUGUAUGGAUUAAAACAGGCUCCUAGAGCUUGGUAUGAACGUCUUACAGAGUUUCUGGUGAGCAAUGGUUAUUGCAAGGGAGGAAUAGACAAGACAUUAUUUGUGAAAAAUGAAAGAGGAAAACUCAUGAUUGCACAGAUAUAUGUUGAUGAUAUUGUAUUUGGUGGGAUGUCGAACACAAUGGUGGAACAUUUUGUCCAACAAAUGAAGUCAGAGUUUGAGAUGAGCUUAGUUGGUGAAUUGAACUACUUUCUGGGACUUCAGAUCAAACAAAUGGAAGACUCCAUGUUUAUUUCCCAGAGUAAGUAUGCUAGGGGCAUUGUCAAGAAGUUUGGACUUGAAAAAUCUGGACAUAAAAGGACUCCUGCUGCUACACAUAUCAAGCUGUCUAAAGACAAUCAGGGAGGGGAUGUUGAUCAAAGCUUAUAUAGAAGCAUGAUUGGAAGUUUGCUGUACCUCACUGCUAGCAGACCUGAUAUUACCUUUGCUGUUGGUGCUUGUGCAAGAUAUCAAGCUGCUCCAAAGACCAGUCAUCUCUUACAAGUGAAAAGAAUCAUUAAGUACAUAAAUGGUACUUGUGACUAUGGGAUUCUUUAUACAAAUGAUACUAACCCUUCUCUUGUAGGGUAUUGUGAUGCAGAUUGGGCAGGGAGUGCUGAUGAUAGAAAGAGUACAUCUGGAGGGUGUUUCUUCCUUGGAAACAACUUAAUCUCUUGGUUUAGCAAGAAGCAAAACUGUGUGUCUUUAUCCACAGCUGAAGCUGAAUAUAUAGCUGCUGGAAGCAGUUGUACUCAACUUAUUUGGAUGAAGCAGAUGCUCAAGGAAUAUGAAGUUGAGCAAGAUGUCAUGACAUUGUACUGUGACAAUUUGAGUGCUAUCAAUAUUGCCAAGAACCCUAUACAACAUAGCAGAACCAAACACAUCGAUAUCAGACAUCACUUCAUCAGGGAAUUAGUGGAGGAUAAAAUUGUCACUUUGGAACAUGUCUCCACAGAGAGACAAUUGGCUGACAUCUUUACCAAACCCUUAGAUGCUGCUACAUUUGACACAUUAAGAGGAAAUCUUGGGAUUUAACUCUUCGAAGAAGCCUAGCAAUUAAAGGCCCUUUUCUGUCUAACGGCUAGUUUCCUCGUAACUACCAUUAACUGCCGUUGUGACAUCAUUGCUUCCUUCUCACUCAACUACUAUAUAAUCAUCACCAAUGACUUCAUCACAAUCUCACCACAAGUUGCCAAUCUUGCUCUAACAAUUUCUGAUUCUCAUCACUUACAUUUCUCUCAAUUUCUUGUUUUUGUCCGUUUGCUUUACCAGUUCAUCAUGUCUUCAAGCAAGAAAGAGUCUGUGAAAGGAAAGAUAGAGAGAACUGCUGGUGGUGCUAGGGUUAUGGGUUUGCACACAAGUUCUUCCUCUCAAUCUAAGAAGAACUCAAGAACUCCUUCCAAGAAGCACUACAAGUCUCGUGCAACCCCAAUGCAAAACCCAGAAGCCCCUGUGCCUGAGGAAGUCUCCAAUACUUCUGUCUCUGCAAAUGUUGAAGACGAUGUCGCGACAUUGUCUGAUAAGCCUGCCAAGGAAGUUUCACUCUCAAAGGAUUCUUCCUCUUCAUCCAAGAGUUCUGAUUCCAAGGCUGCAAACUCAAUGGAUGUUUUGUCAGAGGAAUCGAUGAAGACCCCUCCUAUUGUUCAUGAUGUCUCUGAUGAUGAAGAUUCAGAGGAUGUGCCUCUGGCGAGUGUUGCUGCCAGAAUGCUUAAGCGAAGAAGAGCAUCUGUUGAAGAAACCCCUGUUGUCAAAAAGAAGAAAACCAAGAUCACUACUGGAUCUUCAAAAUCAAGGGCAACCGAUGCGUCACGGAAAGGCAAGCAGAAUGCUGUGGAAUCAUCAGGGAAGAAAGCCAAGAAGACUACUGGGAAAAAGCAUAAAGUUUCCAGAAUUGAUUUGGAGACUGAAUCAGAUGUUGAAGGCGAUGUCCUGGACAUCACUGCCUCUGAGAAGAAAAUGUUCUCUGGUAAGCGUAUUCCCUCAGAUAUUCCUAAUGUUCCUCUAGAUAAUGUGUCUAUGCAUGCUCCAGAAAAUGCCUUCAAAUGGAAAUAUGUCUAUCAAAGACGUGUUGCCAAAGAAAGGGAGAUUGAUUCUGCUGUGUUAGCCUGCAAAGAGAUCAUUGCCUUGAUAGCAAAAGCAGGGUUGAGGCAGACUGUGAUGAACAUAGGAAAAUGCUAUGACAAGCUUGUGAAGGAAUUUAUUGUCAAUCUCUCUGAUGAUGUUACUAAUUCUGCCAGUCCUGAAUUCAGGAAAGUGUUUGUCAGGGGUAAGUGUGUGAAUUUUUCUCCUGCUAUCAUCAACCAAACCCUUGGAAGAAGUGUGGUUGAAUUUGUUGAAGAAGAACUUUCUCUGGAUACGGUUGCUGAGGAAUUGACUGCUGGAAGAGUCAAGAAGUGGCCUGCUAAGAAGCUUCUAUCAACUGGGGUUCUGAGUGUGAAGUAUGCUAUUUUGAAUAGGAUUGGAGUGGUGAAUUGGGUUCCCUCUAACCAUACUUCUGCUGUUUCUGCUAUGCUUGCCAAGCUUCUCUAUCGCAUUGGGACUGAAAUUGCUUAUGACUUUGGCAACUUUGUGUUUUACCAAACUUUGAAGCAUGCAGAGACAUGUGCUGUGAAACUCCCCAUCUCCUUUCCUUCUUUACUGACUGCUAUCAUUCUGAAACAACAUCCUAAUAUCCUCACUGUUGAUGAUGUUCCUGUGCCUAAAGGCCCUCCCAUCACCUUGGACCAACGGUUGUUCCUGGACCCUCAUGUCCUGGACAUUGAUCUGCCAUCCAGUAGGACAUCUGUUCCUGCCUCUAUGUCUGCCUCAGGCACUCACAGUGUCAUUGCUGAACUUGAGGCCAUUUCCAAGGAACUUCAAGAGACGAUCAGGAUUGCUGCUGCUAGGAAGAUUAAGGUGGAUGCUCUCAUUCAAACUCUCCAGGGGGAAGCUGGUCAAGAGGGUGAGCAUGCCGCUGAUGCUGAGAGGGAAGGAUCUGCAGAAAAUGAUGAGGAACACUCCUCUUCUUCUGGUGUUUAGUGCAUCUCCUAGUUGAUUUUUAGUUGGCCUUGGUUAAAUUCUUUCCAUCUUUGCCAAAUUUGUGCUAAAAAGGGGGAGUAGUAGUAGAGUAGUAGUGUGUUGUGGUUUGUUUUUUUUUUGAAGACUUGGUAUUCUGGUUAUGUUAUGUAAUAAGUAUGCAGCUUUGUCAAGACAAGACCAGUUCAGGAGAUAUUUUAUGUUCAAGUGUUCAAGUGCUACAAGCUAGCUUCUGUUCAAGUAUUACCAAGUGUGCUUGUUGGAGAUAUUUUAUGUUCAAGUGUUCAAGUGCUACAAGCUAGCUUCUGUUCAAGUAUUACCAAGUGUGCUUGUUUAGUUUGUACUAUGUUGCAUAUGGGUUCUAUAUACUUUAUGCAGUGUUUAUUUGGAUGCAUCUUUUGAGGGGGAGUUCCUCCAUGUUUUGGCUGUUGUUGAUGCAUUGGUUUGAGGGGGAGUAUUUCUGCUGCUGACUCUGAUGAUUUUGAUAUUUUUUCCCUCUCUGGUAGUGAAGUUGUUUUUAGUCAAAAUUUGACAAAGGGGGAGAUUGUUGUUCCUUUGUUGUCAUCAAUUUUGUUAAAAACAACCUGAUGUCCUAGCCGAUGUUGUGACAUUUGCCUUGAUGAAGGCCAGGACAUCCGCCCCUGCUGGCAUGCAAGUGGGUCCCUUGUGGUUAUGCUUUAUGGUAUGAUCUGUGCUUACUUGAAGGUCAAGUAACUGUGUGUUGGGAGCCAGUUGCGGGUUGUUUUUGUUGAAGCAAAUCUGUGAUUAAAAAGAUUUGUUUCUAUUUUUACUUGUUGAUCACUCAUAUCAGAUCUUGAAAGAUUCUCUACUGAUAUGAGUUGGAUCAAAGUGUUCUUCAGCCCAAAUAAACCCUAGCCGCCUCUGCUGAAGUAUAUAUUGACAAAGACCUGAAGCUUGAAGUUGAUGGAGAGAAUCACCUUGAAGUUCAAGUGUUCUUAAGAGUGUAAGUUGUUCUUUGUCUUUGUUAGUUGUGAACUCGUCUUGCUCACUGAUUCUAUAAAGUGAGACUGAGUUCUGUGUUGUGUUUGAGUGUCAAACAAACUCUGUGUUAUUGUUGUUCACUAAUCAAUGUGGCAGUGAUUGAGGAAAAGUGAGAGGGGCUCUCAUACUUAGGCUGUGGUUCUAAGUAGAAUACCACUGGGUAGAUUAGGUUAAGAACAAUGAACUUGAUGUGUUCAUGUGUGUCUGUAAUACCUAGUUCUUGAGAUAGUGGAAUUCCUUUUCAUUGGGCGAAAGCUAACCAGACGUAGGUGUAGUUUCACCGAACUGGGUUAACAACUUCCUGUGUCUUGUUUCCUUUUAGUUGUUUGUUGUUUUGUGUUUAGGUCUUUCAGUAGUAUGAUGUUCUAAUCGAUUGUCCCAGCAUCGUGCAGGACAUUUGUUCUAAGGGAUCUAGAAUUUCAAACCCAUUACAAACUGAUAAAGGAACGAGAUUUUUUUACAUGACUAGUGCAACUUUCAAAUAAAUUUACCAAACUAGUGCAACUUUUGAUUUAAUUACAAAAAUAGUGUUAAUCGCCACUUGAAGUGGCGAUAUCUCUUUUUUUUUUUCUUUUUUUUUAUGAAAUCGUCACUAGCAGUGGCGACACAAUUUUUUUUUUUGACUUUGUUUAAUAGUGACGGAAAAUUGUCCGUCACAAGCUCUGUCGCUAAAAUUUUUGUGACGGAAGUAUCUAUACUUCAAUUUCCGUCGCUAAGUUCUUUUUCAUUGUUCACUAGGAUUUUGAGAUGAAAUAUACUUCAUCGCAAACAGAAUUCCGUCGCUAGAAACUUUGUGACGGACGCUAUCUUUCUUCACAUUCCGUCACUAAUAUCUUUUAUAUUAAAUAUUAGGAUUUUGUGACGGAUACGAUUCCGUCACUAACUUAGAAAGUAAAAAAAAAAAUAUAAAUAUAGUGUCGCCACUGUUAGUGAUGAUUUCAUAAAAAAAAAAAAAAGAGAUAUCGCCACUUCAAGUGGCGAUUUACACUAUUUUUGUAAUUAAAUGAAAAGUCGCACUCGUUUGGUAAAAUUUUGUUAAUACUACACUAGCCUUGUAAAAAAGUGAAGGAACGAAGUACAAAACGAAAAACAGAAAGAGGAGUAAUCUAAGAGGCUAUAGAUCAUAAGUAGAGCCAAUGUAUAUGGCAAGAAUUAAUAUGUAGCAAGCCCUUCAUUAUGAGAACAUAUCCACGGGGAUAGUCUAGAGAUUGAUUCAAUUGGAUCAAUUGUUCUAAUAUAGGUCCAAAUUCCUUCCUCUUUGAGCCAGGUGCCACCUCCACUAGCUAAAUAAGUUUCUACUGAAAUAAGUUCUUAUAUGAGAACCUAAGAAUAAAUAAAUAGUGAUUGUUAGGUCUAAUCAUGAAUGGUCAAGAUUAAAAUAAUUUAGUGGUCACACGAUCAUUUAAAAAUAUCAUGUGACUUUUUCAAAAGUCAAAUGUCUUCAUGUUUUAAUCUUAAUCAUUCGUGAUAAGAUUCGAUCAUGAUUUAUUCUUAUAUUCUCACAUAAUAACAUUUCUCUCAUAAGAUACAUCCUCCUAAUGUCAGUACCUAUGCUUUAAGAUGACAAUGCCAGUUGAUACAGCAGCAUCUUACUACGGUUUAAACUCUUGGUGGCAAUUGCAUUUCAGCAUAACAGCCUGCUUCCCCUCGAUCUUAUGCACAAUCCUUACUUCCAAAUUUCAUUUCCUGCUGCUCUGCUUCCCUUACUGUUCAAGCCCCCACCAAUGCCCUAUUACCAUUCUUUGUUUACAAAGGCACAAUUCCAGCCUUCAUGACCUGCAACCACCACAAACACACGCAGCACAUAUCAUAAAACGGCCUUCACUGCAAACAGAACGAGAAACACAAUCAUGCAGUAAAAGACAGAUUCAAAAGAGAGCCUGAGUCUCUGGCUAUGCUCUCUUUUGAAGAUAAGAACAUAUUCCAAAACAUGAAAUUUGGUUUUAAAAUAGAAAGCACAUUGAUAUUCAAGUUUGGAUAUGUUUCAAGAGAAAAAUAUAAAUUGGUCUAACAAGUAGAUCUUUUGCCCCGUGUCAUAAAAAAAAUAAUAAAAAAUCUUGUGCCCUGUUGUUUUGGCCAGUCAAGUACAGAUGAUAUGUUUUCUGUUUUCAAGAAGAUUGGCAAAGUAAAUAUUUUAAUAGAACAUAGCCAGGAAAUUUGGAAAGGUUAUUAUUUGCUAUUAAGGGAAUAUCAAAUUUAUUUCCCUCUGGUCUUCACUGGCAUAUGCCUAUGCCUGAAUGACCUUGCAAAACAAAUCAGCAAACAUCACCUUCAGAGUUUAGACUCAGCUCACCCAAAAAUAACAACCUUCCAAAUAAAGUUAUAAUCUGUACUUGCCUGAAUUUAAAAACAAAAACAAUCCAGAAUAACAAGAGAAAACAAAAAUUAGACUAGAAAUGAAUUCUUAAUCUAAGCAAAUUAUUUUAUAAAACAUCUCAUUAACUUUUUUUUUUGAAUUCACAUCUUAUUAAGACAUUAACUUAAAAAAAAUAAAAAAAAAUUUCCUUGUUGUUACCAAAAAAAAAAAAUAAAGAAACGACAAAUCUGCAAUCUGUUAAACCGUAACCAUGGUUCUGUUUCCCUUUCAAUUUCGUCAUUCCCAGAAAUUUUCUGCCUAUCACUAUCAUUCAUAUAAAGAUCAUCACUGAUAUCAGAUUCAUCACUUGUUUCUCUGAAAUUUGCAUCAUCGUCAUCACGAUAGUUUCUUGCUGUUCAAUCAAGUCUCUUUUUCUGAGGAUCACUUGCUGAAUUUAACUGACCAAAUAGAUCAUAUACAUAUAGAUACAGAUUACAGCAUGUUCUGAUUCAAUAAUGAGAAAAAGAAUUGUGCACCUGAAAGGAUUGAAGAAUACAUGAGUCUGUUGUUUGACCAGAGAAUGAUAGUGGAAAAACACCAGAGGAUGGAACUGCUCUCUGCACCUGGUAAUACAUUCUCUAGAUAAAUUGUCUAAUGGGGAAACAAUUUAUAUAUUACCAGUUGGGACCAGGGUCCCCUCAUUAGACAAAGUUAACUGAUCUAACCCAUCAUAGGACAGUUAAUAACAAAAGUCUAAUCUACCAUCCAUCAUAAUACAUGUAAUUAAAUUAAAUUAAUAAUUCACAUAAUUGAUAUUAAUAACCAAAACAAAAUAUAUCUUAGUUAAUUGAUAAUGUUAACCCACAUAACAAAAGAGAUAGUUAAUUAUAAAUAAAUCUAACAUUCUCCCACUUGGAUUAACAUUUGUCAAUUAAUAUAAAAUAUAUGUAUCAUUAAACGAAAUAUCAAUUAUGACAAAAUACAUGUAAUCCAAAGAAAUAUAAGUUGUGCACCAAAAGUUACUCAACAAAAGAUUAUAUCCGAUAGGGAUAAUAACCAUAUGUAACAAAGUCUUAUAUUUCAUACAAAACAAAGAUGGAUAUAGAAAGCACAGUGAUAACCAGAAGUGCUAUUCCAUAAAAUGACCCAAGCAUCUAAAAUGCUAUAUGAGAUAUGAUAACAAAAGCAACAACAUAUCUCAUAAACUACAAUUCAGACUCCCACUGAUCCUAAACAUCAAAAGACUUUAACCACAUGAGUUAUGUGACUCCAACAAUAAAGUCUUAGAUCAGUGAAUAUACCAUUAUCAAUAAUGUAUUUCAUUAGAGUCUGAAAUUUUAUCACAAGGGGUCUACAAGUUCAUUAGGCACCAUCAAAGCCACAAACAAAAUUCCACAAGGUCUAAGUGCAUUUUGGCCCAACAAGAAUAAUAAUUACAUAUUGGCUAAACAACAAAAUGCUCUGCAGAAAUUGACAUAUAAUUAAUUCAAGAUUUCCUAAACAAGUGACUAUAAAUCCAUGUGAAGCUCGAGUUUAACAAUAGCAUGGAUGAUACUUGUUUAAACAAAAUGAUAUCUUGAACUAAUAAAUCACAAAAUAUCAAUAAUGAGCAAGCACUUAUGAUUAUUGGUCUAAAACAAGAGUAUAAGUACCUUAAGAAUGUAAGAAAUCAUACUCGAUAGGAGUAGUGAUCCUAUGCAUCUAAGUAACUUUUACAUUUGACCAUACAGAACGUGGAAUGUUGGCUAGGAUCACAAGCACAGUAAAAAUACAUGCCAAUGUGUUGUACCAACAAAAUAAUGUUGGCCUAAAUCGAAAGCACCUCAAAAUUGCAUGUCAAAUGUGCUGUACCAAAACAUAAUGUUGGCCAAAACAAAAGCACCAUAAAAUUGCAUACCAAAUGUGUUGUACCAACCGAAUAAUGUUGGCCAAAAUCAAAAGCACCGUAAAAUUGCAUGUCAAAUGUGCUGUACCAACAAAAUAGCCCCAACCACUUAUUAAAAGUGCUUACUAAGAUUCAACAUAAUUAAUAUAUAUAUAUAUAUAUAUAUAUAUAUACACACACAUAUAUCUCUCGGUACACUAGAAUGAGAAUGAGUACCAAAGUCUCCAAAAGAGUAUGUCAUAUAAUUAUCAAAGUACGCAUAAGAGCAUAUGACAAUAAAAUAGCUCCAAAAAUAUACCAUGAUAACACAAAAGUGCACACAAAAUAUAUGGUAUAUAUAUAUUACUAAGUAGUCUUAAGACAAAGCAAUUGUAUGCACACUCCCACUAAUCUAAUAUACCAUGAUAAUAUUAGAAAUUCAUUAGUGGCAACUAGUACCAAAAUACUCUUAAUGAUACAACUUUUAAUAGUGGUUUAGUGGCUUCAUGGCAAAGUCAAUGUGAGUCUGGAACUCACAAUCUUUUUCUCUUCAAGGAUAAUUAAUUAGAGAGAAGUACAAUAAUGCAGAGUUAUCACGAGAAGUGAUUACUAAAGAAUCACAAGAUGGAGCUCAACAUAUAUACCACAAAUUCUUAUGAAAUUUGUGAUGAAACUAACCACAAACUCAGCAUAUGAGAUUAAAGAGAUUAUAAACGUCCAUUUAACAUUUAUCAACAUAAAAUCUCCUUAUAUUAUCACAUACAUAAAAUCAUUAAAGAUUUUAUCUAAGAGGAAACCCACAAUUUAUAAACAAAUGAGUGAGAUUAACAUCCCUAAUAUUUUAAAUAAAAUAUGAGAUCACUUGUAUGUUUUCAACAAACUCACUCAAAGUUCAAGUGCUACAAUAUAGACAAUCACUAAACACACUUGAUCACAAAGUUGGGUUACCACUAACAACAGCGGAAGCAUAUAGGACCUAUGGUUAAUCAUUGUAGAGGAUAUUGUAACAAGUAGUCUCUAACUCUCACUGUCACUAUAUAUUGUGGGUAAGAAGCAAUAGGUCAAUGCCAAUAUGCUAAUUUGAUAGUUUGACAAAUUAUCUUAACAAUCAUAGGGAGUUAAUUGUAUUCCAAUAUUCCUUUUGAAAGAUUGUAUUCCAAUAUUCUCAAAAGAGACUUAAUAAUAUCCUCAAUAUAGGUCCCACUAUAAAGUGAUAUCUAGUAGUAUAUCACACAUAAGUGUGUCAAUUUUCAAAUUUAACUAAUUGAGCAAUUAAUGGAGUGAGAGACAUUGCAUAACUUCAGUUGGAAAAGAUAAGAGCAAACAAGCCUCUCCCACUUGAUAGAGAAAAAUAGUUGAGUUAAUCAUACUAGAAUAAAACAACAGGAUACUUUAAGUAUUUUUAAAUUAAAAGAAUAGCCAAAACUAUUUUCUCUAUCACACAAUGAUCAUGUCAAGCAAUGUCAUACCGAUAAGGUAUAUCCAUUACUUACACAAUGCAAUAAUAAGGAAAAUUAUAUCAAUAGAUAUUUUAUUCAAUAUAAAUUUGCUUUGCGAUAGGCAAAUGCAAAUCUUUAAGAUAAUGUAUUGUAACAAAUUGCUCAAUUAAUAUAAUGUAUCUAAUCAUAUGUCCCAUAAAAAUUCUAAUAUCGAUAGGAUAGUAGAAUGAAUUGACAUAAGUUAACAACGCAUAAUACAUUACAAACAAAACAACAAAUUACACUAAUAAUAAUAUACCGAUAGAGUACAUUAUCAGUAAUGUAAAUAUACACAAAUUACAAGUAGAUUCUUUAAAGAAUUUAGGUAAUAUAAUUUGUUCAAAUUCUGAAUAACUACGCCCACGAUAGGUGAGAUCGCAGUUACACAAAAUAUAAUAAAGCGCAUGUAAUCACACCAAAGUAUUCUGAAUAACUGCGCUCACGAUAGGUGAGAUCACAGCCACACAAGAUAUAAUAAAACGUGUGUAAUCACACCAAAGUUUGUAUAAACCAUAAGAUGUAUUUUAUAUACAAAGAUUAUAGGCUUUAAUUAUAUAACGACCUAAAAUAUUAGUUCCAUAUACAAAGAAAAUAGCAAACAUAUUAUACUAAAAAUAUUGCUAGCAAACUAAAGAACUGUCUCCAUAAUUUUAAGGUCCAUGAGCCUAUAGCAUAGUAAUAAAAAAUUACUAUUCAAUAUUUGGUUUAUAUAAAUAGGAGCGCACAAAAGAAUUUUAAAUUUUCAACAUGAAACUCAUAUAGCAAAAUUUAGCCAUAAAAUAUGGUAGUCUGAUCACAAUUUAUAUUUAACUGCCACUUUAACAAACUAAGUAAUAACCAAGUAUUACAAUGGUUAAAUAAUAAAUUUAUUAUAGACUUCCAAAAAAAAAAUAUAUGACAUCAUGUCUUAAUUGCCGCACUAAUAUAAUUGCAUAGCUAAAAGAAACAUAAACAACAAUCGGAGAAUUAAUUUUAUUAACGAAAUUCUCCAAACAUGAAAUUAUAUAAUCAAUCAGUAUAUAAAGAUUUUAUAAUCAAAUUUAGAGAGUGUUCCGUUUAUCUUUGUGAGUAGAGCCAAUAAAAUUCAUAAUUUAAUAAGCUCAUGAAACUCAAUAUAUUCUUCUCUUUAAUGGGUGAUACAUUAAACUAUAAAAAUAUAAAAUACUUUUCCAUAUAUAAAAUAUAUAUUAGUGAUAAUUUUGAUUUCAUAAUUGCACUGGUAGAGAAGAAAAGAAAAAACGUGCUUGGAAUGCCAAUUCAUAUUGGUUUUGAUAUUUAAGAGCAACUCCAACCCCAAAAUUCUUAUCUAGUUUCUUAACACACUAUUCAGCACUAUUCCUGUGGGCCCGUACUGCCACAUCAGACUUAAGAAACUCCUAGGAAACUGAAGCAGAUUUUGCUCCAACCCAUGGUUUCUUAAAUUACUAUUUGAAGGGUCCCACCCGUGUCCCACCAUACAACAUAAAUUAAUAAUAUUUAUUUUCACUCAAUUUAGAUUUAACAUUUAAUACUAAAUCAAUACUUCAACUUAAAAAUAAUUUAAUUAAAAUUAAUACGAAUUUAAUUUAAAUUUUAUUUUACUUAAUAUUUAAAACAAUUAAAUUUAAAUAUCGGCAUGUUAACUUGAAACAAAAAUAAAAAAGUACAUUGUGUUUUUUAUAACAAAAACAAUUUUAUUGAAUGAUAGAAAUAAAGACGAAAGAAAAUACAUGACAAUGAAAAAUAAGCAACAAUACAUUUGAAAUGAAAUACAUAAUAACACUUGAAGGUUAAUUUUCAUUAUUCUCGUUUUCGGGAAGCUGCCAAAUAUGCUCCACAAAGUCUACUUGAAGUUGGUGAUGAUUUGACCUAUCAAUUUGAUGUGCUCUUCUUUCCAAGAUAUUUCUAAAAGCCGGAAUAGGACCACUUACUACUUCAGCAUUCAAUAUGUCAUUAUUGACCUGAUCAUAAACAAAAUUACCUCGGUACGUGUUGCGCUCAUCUUCAACAAUCAUGUUGUGCAAUAUGAAGCAAGCAUACAUUAUUGACAUCAUCUCAUUCGGAUGCCAAAAGCGUGAUGGACCACGAACUAUUGCAAACCGAGAUUGGAGAACGCCGAAUGCACGUUCAACGUCCUUUCUUGCUCCUUCUUGUCUUUUCGCAAAUUUUUGCCUUUUUUCUCCUUGCGGCAUUGGGAUGGUCUUCACAAAUGUAGCCCACGGGGGAUAGAUACCGUCUGCUAGAUAGUAUCCCAUGUUAUACAUUGUUCCAUUCACGCUAAAGUUCACCAUGGAAGCAUUUCCACUCAAAACCUCAUUAAAAACCGGAGAUUUAUUUAGCACAUUAAUGUCAUUGUUAGAACCUGUGUAACACCCCGAUUUCGGUGGCGUCACUUUAGUAACCAAAAUAAACUUAAUGCGGAAAAACGUAAAUAUUUUUUUUCGAUAAUAAUAUAAACAAGACUGAAAUAAAUAUAACGCAAAUGCGAAAGACAACAGAACCAAUAUACAAAGUAAAAUACAGCCCCCGCUGUAAGUAACAACCUCGUCACGAGUAACCUCCAGUGAAGGAAAGAAGAAAAGUGUAGCGCCCGUAGGCAAUAUAUACAAACCAACAGGAAAGGUUAAGUGUCCGCAACACCACCUCCAAAAAUGAGAAUAAGUUGGCCCAAUGGCCUGAAAGAAGACCUCCUAAGUCCAACCAACUCCCUGUGAUUCCCGUAAAGAAACCACACAAAAAGCUAUAGGUGGGAAACUAUAAAGUCAAAGCUCAAACAGUAUAAGUAAGAUAGGUGUGCUUGCACACGCUACGCGAGUAAUGGAACAUAUUAUACUGAAAUGAGAAAGAAUGGUUAGAAGGUUACCAUCGUUCUUGCGCUCUCCUGUGACAAACCCCUCAGCUCUCUCACCGUCCAUGGUGUAGACUCUUGCUAUAGCCGCAGAACGCUUUCCACGAGCAGUGUUCACGGUUGGCUCCGUCUUGGGUGCUCUGCACUGAUCGGCAGUGUGCCCCAUUUUGUUACAAUUAAAGCACUUGGGCCUCGUGUCGGAACAAGCGUUAGCAUAGUGCCCCGGCUUCCCACAUCUGAAACAAGUCAUCUCCCUGUUCAAAGUCCGAUCUCCAGAACCACCAGCAGUACCCGUCAUGGGUCGGUAAGAUCCUGAAGUAAACCCUUUUUCAGCAGGGCGCUGAUAUGGCCUCCCGUUCUGAAAUUUCCCUUUGCCUUGAAAAUUUUGAGAACCUGAUCUCAUCGGUCCUCCAGUUCCAGCACGGUUCAACCUUCUAUUCUUCAUUAGCUCCACUUCUGUGGCUUUCUCCACCAACGACUGAAAGCGCAUAAUUCCCAAUGGCCUCACUGAGUCCUCAAUAUCAGGCCUCAGUCCAUUAACAAAGCGCUUGCACAUAUAGCGCUCAUUCACAUGAUCAUGGAAGAAUUGAAAAUGCUUCGCCAAAGAUUUCAGCUUCGAAGCAAAUUCCAGUACAGACAUACCUCCCUGACGGAGUGUUAGAAACUGUGCCUCCCUCUCAUCCCGAGCACUUGUUGGAAAAUACUUUUCCAAGAAUGCGGUCCGGAAAGAGUUCCAGUUGAUCUCUUCAUGGUUGUCUUCCAUAAUCUCCCUGGUGCCCCUCCACCAGUACUCAGCAUCACCCAGCAGCAAGUAAGUUGCCAUGCCAACCUUGGCACCCUCAACAGUUUGCAAAACACCGAAAAUCUUCUCGAUUUCCUGGAUCCAGAGAUCCGCUUUGUCUGGGUCAGUACCACCAGAGAACCUUGGUGGGUUUUGCCUCCUGAAAUCAUUCAGGCCUUUGUUCUGGUCCAGAGUUACUUCCUUCUGGCGCUGAUGCUGUUCACGUGCCUCCUCAGCAGCACGCCUCAUCGCAUUAUCAUUAGCUUAUGAAGUUACAGCUUGGGCCAUAGUGGCCAUCAUCUCAGCUAACUGGUUAGUAUUCACCAUGUUCUGUUAAGUUAAACAAACAGUUAGUACUCAUCAUAAGAUAGCAUCUAGUAUAACUAUACAAUAUGAUUAAGCAAUAACUUCAAUCAAUUCUAUGCGAGAAAUCGCUUGCAGACAAUCAAUUUUCACUCUUUGUAGAGUCACACAACCUAGCACCGAAGACCUAUUCCCCAACAACUCCCGAAAGACUCGACCGUGCUAUGAUACCACAAUGUAUAUAAACGACAGUAAAUCACAGUUAUCAUGCCUCAAGUAGAACUAACAAGUAUCAAACACACUCAACAACUAAGUCAGUAUGCAUGUUGCAUGAGAUGAUAUGCAGGUUAACCCAGUCAACCAAAUGCAUUCCGGAAACGGAUGGACAUCAAACGGAUCAAUCCUAGCACCAGCAACGGUGGGACCAUUUCUGCCCGCGUGCCUCUUACACCACACAAAGGUAGUCAGAUCAGCCGUAACCCGUAGGUCUGCCAUUUCGGUCUGCUACAAGAGUCGUCUACAAACGCUCUUACACGGCAUUCCGGGUCUUAUGACCAUUUUGGAAACCGACGAGGUCCAGAGUACGUCCUGUGUUAAUACCUCAUUAAUGUUGCAUGAAUGCAGGAUGAUUAGUCAAACAACGUCUCCGAAUCUUACUCGACACGUCGCCAUGUGUUCUAGCUAAAUUAAAGUCUCUAAAAGCUUACCCUAAGGUAACAGUCGAUUCUGCGACAAAAGACCCUUCUCAAUAACACAUAGCUCAUGAUGAUCUCCAAAUCAUCCGACUCAUCUCAAUCCGAUGGUCGUAACUGCUCAACGAGCAAAGAGUACCACGUACUCGGAAACUAUCAAUUUCCCGGACUUAUCCCCAGGAUAGCCCAACAACACAGCUGCUCCAAUAGCACAAGAGUAUCCCGCAUUCACAAGGUCUCACGCCUCAGUGAAGCUUCUCGGCUCAUCCCUUGGAUGGCUAAACAAACUGCUCAACGAGCGAAGGAGUAUCAACAUACUCAGAACUUACCAAUCUCCUCAACACUUGGAUCCGACGACACUUCUCGUUUUCCAAAACUAAGAUUCGACUCCUAAGCUUCCUUCGAGAUUAUUAUCAUUACUUAAAGAUUUAGAGGUUGUUUAAGGUCUUAUGAGUUUUCUUCACAAAAUAAUAUCCUUUUAGCCUUAUCGCAAUUCUUAUAAGUUCUCGGGAUCUCCAAAUCCCCAAAUGACACCAGAGAAUGUCUCGAUCCAUGAAACACCAUAACAAGGUCCGAAUCUCAUUCGUCCUAUCAAACUUUCUCAAAACUCUCAAAAUAAAAUCGGCAUGACCUGCCCGCUAUUCUCACUACUCAGAAUCUCAGAUUUCAUAGCAGCAGCAUAAUUAACUCAUCACAGUCAACAACAUAUCAUGUAUCAAUACAUCUCAGAAUAAACACAUAGCACUUAGCAUAUAAAGCAUGCACCACACAUCCUAAAUUACCUAAUUAGCACUUAGCAUGUAAUUCACUCUCAAAAACAUUCAGUAGAUGAAUCAUCUACAUUGUCAGCCGAAGCCUCAGAAAACAUUUUUCCAAUCAAACACAAACAAGUGCAUAAACAGUAAACAAUGUCGAAAGCAUCGACCCUAAGCAUUAUCUAGAGAUUCAGUGAGAAGCCCUCACCUGUAGAUUCUCCAGGGUGAACUUCAAACUCUUCCUCACAAGCAAAGCGUUGCUCCUCAGGAAAUUCCUCAAAAGCUCCUUUAAAGCAAAAACACAGAAAUACUAUCAGAAUCUAUCGAAAACUAAGCUAUCGAUACUUACUAAGGUUACUCGAAGUAGUUCAUACUCCGAGGUACGAUAGUCUAGCGCGAAAGGACAAGUUUUCGGAAAAGGAAAUUUUCCUCCUCCUCCCCCUAUAAGCUCGGCCACUUUAGGUAAUUAGGGGACUCGAUUUUUCUUCGAUCAAACUUGGUUCCUAUGCUAUCAUUAGCCGUAACUAAGGGUAUUCUGAACUCGGAAAAAUUAUCGGAUCAAAACUGUCGCAGGGGUAUUUUGGUCAUGAUUUUUAACUUAUAAUUUCAAAACUGAAAUCCCAAAAACCAAAUUUGACAGGGACGUUACUAACGACGUUUAUGACAACUAAUCCUACUAGCACUAAGCUAAGGCGAUAGUUUUUAGCCUAAAGGUUGAAGCUUUACUCUAAAAACUCCAAAAAUGGGUAUUUAAGGCUAAAAUUGAUUCCGGCGGAAAUCCGGCGACAUUACGGAAAAUCUAAUCCGGCAGAAGUGAUCUUGGGCACAUAAGGAAGAGGUUUAGAAUCAGAAAUGAAAUAUUCAGGAUAGUUUUGCAAAAACCUCAAAACUAUCAGCUCAGAAAAGUCUACAGAAAAGCUAUGGAAAAAGCGAUCAGAGGUAAGGAUUAGCGACUAUACCUCGAAACCUUGGAGCAGCAACUGAUUAAUCAACGAUCAAGCAAGUAAUGAAGAAAAACUCUUCCUCCUUCUCCUUCUCUUGGCCGCGGGUUUGGGUGGGGAAAAUGGGUAGUUUUUUUUGUGUUUUUCUUCCUUUCUUGGCUAUAUAUAGAGGUUGGCAAAACGCGGUAAAAUGAAAGUUUCGCGAAUCUGAUUUUUCCGGCUUCAUUCUCCAUGAAUUCUAAGAUAGGUUUUGGUAACAUAAAUCCAGAACUCAAAAGAGGUUCCCUUGUAUUUUUGGUAACUAAUGCAAAGUCGGUGUAAAACUAUUUUACCCGAUAAGUUGCUUUUUGCAUCGGAUGUCGGAAUAGAAAACAUCCUUCUGAAGAAAGAUUGAAAUCAUCAAGAGAAAUGGGUGUACGCGUGUGGAAUCUUCAUUUGAAGCUCUGAAUAGAAAAAGUCUUCAUUGUCGGUUGAUUCUAGGGUUUUGAAAUACCAGGGAUUCGGUUUCGGCAAACUUCCGAUGAUUGGAAUUGGACGUUCGUAGAUCCUAGAGUUUCGCCUCGAAACGAUUGUGAUAUAUGGAAAAAGAGAAGUUCUAAUAUUACUCUGAAGAUUUUUGGACUAAAUUCCUACAGUGUUCCAAGGGUGGAACAUAGUUUGAUUUCCUAAGGUUCUUGUCCUAGGUUUUAAAACGAAUAUUAGUCGUGCUAUAACUUAAAUCGACUUCGAUACAAUCCUUUGACUUUUCCUGAACUUUCUCCUUCAUACAUUUAUUUCAUUUAAUAAACUCUUGUUCAGGUUUCCCUUCACAACCCAUCAACCCUAAUCGUGAAUAAGAUUUUAUUCACUUGGCAUAAGUUUAAAAACUUGGGCCUUACAUUACUAUCCUCCAAAAAGAAAGUUUCGACCUCGAAACUUAAGGGUCAGUAAAAAGUUCCGGAUAUUAUUCCUUGAUCUUUUCCUCUAAAUCCCAUAUAGCACCGUCCAUGUCUUUGUUCCAAAUAACUUUCACCGAAGCACUCUGCUUUCUGCUAGAUCGUUUCACUAUUCCAGCCCCAAUGCAGACCGACGGCGUCUCAAAAGACAUAUCAUCUUCCAACUCUAUGUUGUCCGGUUCGACCACUUGCAUCGGGUCUCUGUUGGAAAUAAUAUUUGUUGUCAUUCGUGCAAUCGCACGGCCUUUACCACUUAUUCCUUUGCUUUUGUUCGUCCAAAAUGUUGAUUAGAAACUUGGUACAUCUCUAUGCUCCGGAGUGAAUGCUCAACUUCAGUCUUAAUACCUUGUGCAUCACAAGACUCAUUCCCUUUAACAUUAACUUAUCAACAACUUAUAAGCUAAUCUUCAUCUUAAUAUCUAACAAUUCAUUAUUGUAGUCUUCGUCCUCAAAACCUUCCUCACUCAAACCAAUUCAGACUUACUGAAAUCCCUAACACUUCGCAUAAAUCGAGAUUUAUCCUCUAGAAGAUCAAAUCAUAGCUAUACCUCAAGGGACUUAACUAGUCAUUUUAUCAUCCCAUCCUCCAAUCAAUCCAAUACUUCUUAAAUGAAUAUUCCUUUCUUAAUACGAACACUCCUUCCCAAAGGAAAUCAAUUACUCAACACGAACUUUCCUCCCAAAUCCGACUAAUCCUCGACCAAUUCAAAUUCAUCUUACACAUCCUUCUAUCAAAGUCCAUAGCUAGCUGUGAUUCCGAAUAUCACCCCCUCAAUAUUAAGUUGAUCAGGCCUAAUACAUCGAAGGUGGAAAUAUAGAAAAAACCUACUGGAACAGUCAAUGAGUUCCUAUCAUCCAAUAGUCACAAAUAUCUUGAUAUUAAAUCCUCAAUGAUGUCGCUACGAAACUACAUACUCUCGACAUCAUAUGUAUACUAUCCAUACGAAAUCUCUCUAAGAUUCAUUCUUUAACUUCUAGCUUCUGGUUAAACGCAUCGGUACAAGACUACUUUCUAGGCUUAACGUGUUAUGUUAAACCUCGGGUACUUCUAUAGCUAAAAUACGAGCUACGGUCAAAUAAGGUAUUAAUAAGGUAUUAACCUGGCUCUAAUACCACAAUGUAACACCCCGAUUUCGGUGGCGUCACUUUAGUAACCAAAAUAAACUUAAUGCGGAAAAACGUAAAUAUUUUUUUUCGAUAAUAAUAUAAACAAGACUGAAAUAAAUAUAACGCAAAUGCGAAAGACAACAGAACCAAUAUACAAAGUAAAAUACAGCCCCCGCUGUAAGUAACAACCUCGUCACGAGUAACCUCCAGUGAAGGAAAGAAGAAACGUGUAGCGCCCGUAGGCAAUAUAUACAAGCCAACAGGAAAGGUUAAGUGUCCGCAACACCACCUCCAAAAAUGAGAAUAAAUUGGCCCAAUGGCCUGAAAGAAGACCUCCUAAGUCCAACCAACUCCCUGUGAUUCCCGUAAAGAAACCACACAAAAAGCUAUAGGUGGGAAACUAUAAGGUCAAAGCUCAAACAGUAUAAGUAAGAUAGGUGUGCUUGCACACGCUACGCGAGUAAUGGAACAUAUUAUACUGAAAUGAGAAAGAAUGGUUAGAAGGUUACCAUCGUUCUUGCGCUCUCCUGUGACAAACCCCUCAGCUCUCUCACCGUCCAUGGUGUAGACUCUUGCUUUAGCCGCAGAACGCUUUCCACGAGCAGUGUUCACGGUUGGCUCCGUCUUGGGUGCUCUGCACUGAUCGGCAGUGUGCCCCAUUUUGUUACAAAUAAAGCACUUGGGCCUCGUGUCGGAACAAGCGUUAGCAUAGUGCCCCGGCUUCCCACAUCUGAAACAGGUCAUCUCCCUGUUCAAAGUCCGGUCUCCAGAACCACCAGCAGUACCCGUCAUGGGUCGGUAAGAUCCUGAAGUAAACCCUUUUUCAGCAGGGCGCUGAUAUGGCCUCCCGUUCUGAAAUUUCCCUUUGCCUUGAAAAUUUUGAGAACCUGAUCUCAUCGGUCCUCCAGUUCCAGCACGGUUCAACCUUCUAUUCUUCAUUAGCUCCACUUCUGUGGCUUUCUCCACAACGAAUGAAAGCGCAUAAUUCCCAAUGGCCUCACUGAGUCCUCAAUAUCAGGCCUCAGUCCAUUAACAAAGCGCUUGCACAUAUAGCGCUCAUUCACAUGAUCAUGGAAGAAUUGAAAAUGCUUCGCCAAAGAUUCCAGCUUCGAAGCAAAUUCCGGUACAGACAUACCUCCCUGACGGAGUGUUAGAAACUGUGCCUCCCUCUCAUCCCGAGCACUUGUUGGAAAAUACUUUUCCAAGAAUGCGGUCCGGAAAGAGUUCCAGUUGAUCUCUUCAUGGUUGUCUUCCAUAAUCCCCCUGGUGCCCCUCCACCAGUACUCAGCAUCACCCAGCAGCAAGUAAGUUGCCAUGCCAACCUUGGCACCCUCAACAGUUUGCAAAACACCGAAAAUCUUCUCGAUUUCCUGGAUCCAGAGAUCCGCUUUGUCUGGGUCAGUACCACCAGAGAACCUUGGUGGGUUUUGCCUCCUGAAAUCAUUCAGGCCUUUGUUCUGGUCCAGAGUUACUUCCCUCUGGCGCUGAUGCUGUUCACGUGCCUCCUCAGCAGCACGCCUCAUCGCAUUAUCAUUAGCUUGUGAAGUUACAGCUUGGGCCAUAGUGGCCAUCAUCUCAGCUAACUGGUUAGUAUUCACCAUGUUCAGUUAAGUUAAACAAACAGUUAGUACUCAUCAUAAGAUAGCAUCUAGUAUAACUAUACAAUAUGAUUAAGCAAUAACUUCAAUCAAUUCUAAGCGAGAAAUCGCUUGCAGACAAUCAAUUUUCACUCUUUGUAGAGUCACACAACCUAGCACCGAAGACCUAUUCCCCAACAACUCCCGAAAGACUCGACCGUGCUAUGAUACCACAAUGUAUAUAAACGACAGUAAAUCACAGUUAUCAUGCCUCAAGUAGAACUAACAAGUAUCAAACACACUCAACAACUAAGUCAGUAUGCAUGUUGCAUGAGAUGAUAUGCAGGUUAACCCAGUCAACCAAAUGCAUUCCGGAAACGGAUGGACAUCAAACGGAUCAAUCCUAGCACCAGCAACGGUGGGACCAUUUCUGCCCGCGUGUCUCUUACACCACACAAAGGAAGUCAGAUCAGCCGUAACCCGUAGGUCUGCCAUUUCGGUCUGCUACAAGAGUCGUCUACAAACGCUCUUACACGGCAUUCCGGGUCUUAUGACCAUUUUGGAAACCGACGAGGUCCAGAGUACGUCCUGUGUUAAUACCUCAUUAAUGUUGCAUGAAUGCAAGAUGAUUAGUCAAACAACGUCUCCGAAUCUUACUCGACACGUCGCCACAUGUUCUAGCUAAAUUAAAGUCUCUAAAAGCUUACCCUAAGGUAACAGUCGAUUCUGCGACAAAAGACCCUUCUCAAUAACACAUAGCUCAUGAUGAUCUCCAAAUCAUCCGACUCAUCUCAAUCCGAUGGUCGUAACUGCUCAACGAGCAAAGAGUACCACGUUCUCGGAAACUAUCAAUUUCCCGGACUUAUCCCCAGGAUAGCCCAACAACACAGCUGCUCCAACAGCACAAGAGUAUCCCGCAUUCACAAGGUCUCACGCCUCAGUGAAGCUUCUCGGCUCAUCCCCUGGAUGGCUAAACAAACUGCUCAACGAGCGAAGGAGUAUCAACAUACUCAGAACUUACCAAUCUCCUCAACACUUGGAUCCGACGACACUUCUCGUUUUCCAAAACUAAGAUUCGACUCCUAAGCUUCCUUCGAGAUUAUUAUCAUUACUUAAAGAUUUAGAGGUUGUUUAAGGUCUUAUGAGUUUUCUUCACAAAAUAAUAUCCUUUUAGCCUUAUCGCAAUUCUUAUAAGUUCUCGGGAUCUCCAAAUCCCCAAAUGACACCAGAGAAUGUCUCGAUCCAUGAAACACCAUAACAAGGUCCGAAUCUCAUUCGUCCUAUCAAACUUUCUCAAAAAUCUCAAAAUAAAAUCGGCAUGACCUGCCCGCUAUUCUCACUACUCAGAAUCUCAGAUUUCAUAGCAGCAGCAUAAUUAACUCAUCACAGUCAACAACAUAUCAUGUAUCAAUACAUCUCAGAAUAAACACAUAGCACUUAGCAUAUAAAGCAUGCUCCACACAUCCUAAAUUACCCAAUUAGCACUUAGCAUGUAAUUCACUCUCAAAAACAUUCAGUAGAUGAAUCAUCUACAUUGUCAGCCGAAGCCUCAGAAAACAUUUUUCCAAUCAAACACAAACAAGUGCAUAAACAGUAAACAAUGUCGAAAGCAUCGACCCUAAGCAUUAUCUAGAGAUUCAGUGAGAAGCCCUCACCUGUAGAUUCUCCAGGGUGAACUUCAAACUCUUCCUCACAAGCAAAGCGUUGCUCCUCAGGAAAUUCCUCAAAAGCUCCUUUAAAGCAAAAACACAUAAAUACUAUCAGAAUCUAUCGAAAACUAAGCUAUCGAUACUUACUAAGGUUACUCGAAGUAGUUCAUACUCCGAGGUACGAUAAUCUAGCGCGAAAGGACAAGUUUUCGGAAAAGGAAAUUUUCCUCCUCCUCCCCCUAUAGGCUCGGCCACUUUAGGUAAUUAGGGGACUCGAUUUUUCUUCGAUCAAACUUGGUUCCUAUGCUAUCAUUAGCCGUAACUAAGGGUAUUCUGAACUCGGAAAAAUUAUCGGAUCAAAACUGUCGCAGGGGUAUUUUGGUCAUGAUUUUUAACUUAGAAUUUCAAAACUGAAAUCCCAAAAACCAAAUUUGACAGGGACGUUACUAACGACGUUUAUGACAACUAAUCCUUCUAGCACUAAGCUAAGGCGAUAGUUUUUAGCCUAAAGGUUGAAGCUUUACUCUAAAAACUCCAAAAAUGGGUAUUUAAGGCUAAAAUUGAUUCCGGCGGAAAUCCGGCGACAUUACGGAAAAUCUAAUCCGGUAGAAGUGAUCUUGGGCACAUAAGGAAGAGGUUUAGAAUCAGAAAUGAAAUAUUCAGGAUAGUUUUGCAAAAACCUCAAAACUAUCAGCUCAGAAAAGUCUACAGAAAAGCUAUGGAAAAAGCGAUCAGAGGUAAGGAUUAACGACUAUACCUCGAAACCUUGGAGCAGCAACUGAUUAAUCAACGAUCAAGCAAGUAAUGAAGAAAAACUCUUCCUCCUUCUCCUUCUCUUGGCCGCGGGUUUGGGUGGGGAAAAUGGGUAGUUUUUUUGUGUUUUUCUUCCUUUCUUGGCUAUAUAUAGAGGUUGGCAAAACGCGGUAAAAUGAAAGUUUCGCGAAUCUGAUUUUUCCGGCUUCAUUCUCCAUGAAUUCUAAGAUAGGUUUUGGUAACAUAAAUCCAGAACUCAAAAGAGGUUCCCUUGUAUUUUUGGUAACUAAUGCAAAGUCGGUGUAAAACUAUUUUACCCGAUAAGUUGAUUUUUGCAUCGGAUGUCGGAAUAGAAAACUUCCUUCUGAAGAAAGAUUGAAAUCAUCAAGAGAAAUGGGUGUACGCGUGUGGAAUCUUCAUUUGAAGCUCUGAAUAGAAAAAGUCUUCAUUGUCGGUUGAUUCUAGGGUUUUGAAAUACCAGGGAUUCGGUUUCGGCAAACUUCCGAUGAUUGGAAUCGGACGUUCGUAGAUCCUAGAGUUUCGCCUCGAAACGAUUGUGAUAUAUGGAAAAAGAGAAGUUCUAAUAUUACUCUGAAGAUUUUUGGACUAAAUUCCUACAGUGUUCCAAGGGUGGAACAUAGUUUGAUUUCCUAAGGUUCUUGUCCUAGGUUUUAAAACGAAUAUUAGUCGUGCUAUAACUUAAAUCGACUUCGAUACAAUCCUUUGACUUUUCCUGAACUUUCUCCUUCAUACAUUUAUUUCAUUUAAUAAACUCUUGUUCAGGUUUCCCUUCACAACCCAUCAACCCUAAUCGUGAAUAAGAUUUUAUUCACUUGGCAUAAGUUUAAAAACUUGGGCCUUACAACCUGCAAUGCCAAAAAAUGCAUGCCAAAUCCAGAAGUCUUGUGAUGCCACUACUUCAAGCAUGAUUGUGGGCUUUCCAUGAUCACCUCGGGUGAAUUGACCUUUCCACGCAACUGGACAAUUCUUCCAUUCCCAAUGCAAUUGAAUUCAAAUUUUAAUCUCAACUCAAAUUAAAUGUGGAUUGCUAUUUUGUUCGAAAAACUAAUACAAUCCAAUUUGGAGUUGCCCAACAUACCUGGAAAUCCACGAGACUCGCCUCAUUGAAGUAAGCGGGUAAUGUCUUCCUGGUUCGGGCGCCUCAAGUAUGUUUCACCAAAUACUGCACACACACCUUCCACAAAAUUCUUUAAGCACUCAAUUGCAGUACUUUCACCAAUUCGAACGUACUCGUCAACACUGUCAGCAGGUGAUCUGUACGCCAACAUACGAAUAGCGGCGGUGCACUUUUGUAAUGGUGACAGGCCUUGUCUUCCAACUGCAUCGACAGACAUUAAAAAGUACGGGUCAUGAGACCCAAGGGCCCCUACAAUUAUGAGGAACACAUGCUUUCGCAUUCGAAACCUUCGUCGGAAAAGCUCUUCCGUGUACACAGGAUUUUCGGAGAAGUAGUCAUUCCACAACCGCUCGUUCCCAGCUUCACGAUCUCUCUCUAUCACCUUUCUUGUUCGCUUGGGCCUAACGGUGUUGGCACGUCGUUGAUAAAACUCCAUAUCCUCCUGCAUCAUAUCUUCUAUAGUCGUGUCAUUCAUAAUAUCGUCAAUAAUUACGUCGUAAAUGUCCAAGUCGGACAUAUUGUUUGGAUCCAUUCUAUGACACAAUGAGAAACUAUCAGUGUAAUUGGAUAGGAGGAAGACAAUAUGAGAGGACAAAACAACUCUUGAAUGUUGAGAUGAAUGAAAUAUGACAUGUAUAAAUAAGAGAAACAACAACAGCUAUAUUCUCCAACGGCUAUAUUCUCCAACGGCUAUAUUCCACAACGGCUAUAUUCUCCAACGGCUAUAUUCCACAACGGCUAUAUUCCCCAACGGCUAUAUUCUCCAACGGCUAUAUUUCCCAACGACUAUAUAGAACACAUAAGUAGAAACGCAGUACACAUUAAGAAAAAUUCGAAUACUGAAAUUACAACAUUAAUGCAGAAUACAUAAGUAGAAAUGCUAAAAUUACAACACUGAUGCAAUACACAUAAGUAGAAAUGCUAAAAUUACAACACUAAUGCAGAAUCAAUAAGUAGAAAUGCUAAAAUCACAACAUUGGCACACAUUAAGAAAGACAACAACAAGAAUUAAGACAUUCCUAGUUCAUUCAUGGCGAAUUCAACUAGGCGCUGAUGCGUUGCUAACUGCACCUCGUUCAUUUCAGAUGUGUCCUCCAUAAGGAUAUCUUUGUAUUCCUUCAAUAACCGCGCCUUAUGAAGUUUGUUUUUUUCCUUUCUCACCUCCAGUUCUUCGGUCUUGAGCUUCUCAAAACUCGCCAGGAAUCUCAGUUUAGCUUUCCCGAUGGCUAUCAUCUCGGAGUUAGGAACAUAAUCGAGAUCACUUGAAGCUGUGUCUCCUACUUUGGCUUUCCUUUUCUGGUUCUUUUUUCCCAACGGGCGGGUUGCUGGUUGUGUGGCCUCAUAUUCGUCGCCCUCGAUUGAUGCACUCCGGUAAGACGAUGUUGCAUACACCCCAUCUCCUGACUUCUUCUGCCUCGUUGAACUGGUUGUCAUAAAUGUUCCCUUCCACUUUGGUUCAUCCUUCACCAACCGCCAUUCAUUCUCAUGUUUGAAAUCUUUACCCGUAUCUACAUGAUAUAAUUGAUGCGUCGUAGCCAUGAUGUCCUUAUCUGAGUGUCCACUUUUCCAAUGAUUGACGACUUUAGUGUGGCAACCGACAAAUUUUUGAAGAUCAGCAUUCAAUUUAUUAAAACGAGAUUUCAUGGAUAACCAUGUCCUCGAAGGAGAGGCAUCGUCGCGGUACUCCUCAUAUUGGGCUCGGAUCUUAUUCCAAAACAAAUCUGACUUUUGCUCAUUUCCCACGACCCGAUCGGUAGAAACGUUGAGCCAUGAUUGAAGAAGAAGUAUAUUAUCUUUACCACUCCCUUUGGUGCGUUUCUUUCCGGAUUCUUCAAGAUCAAUAUCAUCUAGACCCCGUUGAGUAGAAAAUUCAGGCUCAUCGGGCAUAACCUCACAUUGUGUACUUGAGACUUUUGAACUACUGCUGCUACCAGUAGGAGGUGCUUGGUAUUGUGGUGGAUACAUACAAUAUUGUGGAUUGUUUGGAUAAGGCAUUUGUGGUGGAUAUGGUCCCAUUUGACCCUGAGGUUGGUUUUGAUGGUAGAACGAUUGUGGAAACAUUUGAUACGAAGGAUUUUGAACAUUACCACCGGUGUGAGGAGGUUGGUUUUGAGGGUGACACAUCUGCGGAUGUUGGCUUUGUGGUUGAUACAUUUGCGGAUGUGGGUUUUGUUGUUGGAACAUCGGCAUAGGUUGGCUUUGCGGACGAAUCAUCUGCGAAUGUUGGUUUUGUUGUUGGAACACCAUCAUAGGUUGGCUUUGCGGGUGAAUCAUCUGCGGAGAUUGGUUUUGUGGCGGAAACAUAGGCGAAGGUUGCAAACCUUCACUUGUAGGAGGUGUUUCAUUGUCGAGCAGUGGAUAAUAUUGCUCAUAAGGAUUAGACAUUUUGAGAAAUUUGAGAAUUUGUGGACAAGAGAGAAAUUGUAGGAGUAAAUGUUGGUGUUUCAAAUGGUCUACUGCACUAUAUAUUAAGGUAAAGAAGCUGAGAAUUGAAAAAACGGUCAGAAAACCGGUCAAUUUAAAAAUAUUCAAAAAAAAAUGCCCAAACGGGCAGAAAACCGGCUCCAGCCGGUCUGGACCGGCCCGUAACGGUGGGAUGACCGGCUCAGCCGGUCACCCACUAUAUAAUCUAUUUUUCCUCACUCACUCUCCAUUCCAACUCUCAACCCUAGUCGCUCCUCUCUUCUUCCUCUCUUCUCUCACGCUCAGCUUCUUCUUCAACCUCAAGCUCUUAAUCACCUUCUUCUUUUCCCCUUCCUCUUUCCCUCUUCCUCUUUCUCUGACCUGCAGCGCCUCCUUUUCCCCUUCCUCUCACCCUGACCUGCAGAUCCUUCCUCUCUACCUCACUUCUCCUUUUCUUCUUCCUCUCGACGCCUCCUCUUCUCCUUCCUCUCUCCCUCACUUCUUCUCCCUCGAUCUCUCUGGUCCACGCCUCCAAAGCCCCAGCCGAUCACCAAACAUCAACCGCCGCCACCAAACAACCACAUGCAGUCACCAUCGGCCACCAAACAACCACCACCGCCAACAUACAGCCUCAAUCCAACCCCCACAACCCCUGUUUGCCAGCUUCAAAGCCUUGAAGCUUGCAAAAAUCCUUCCUUUUCACACAUGCAAGGGCCAAUACUCUCAGAUCAGAGCUUCCAGAACUUCACCGGAGAAGUUUUUUUUUUUUAGGGUUUAGGGAAAUAUCAAUUUUUGUGUUUUAAGUUUCAAUUUCUUCAUGUAAAGUUUCAAUUCAUUCAAUAAAAUUGCAAUUUUCGUCCUCUGAUUAUGUCUCUGUUGAACUUGAAUUGUUCAAUUUCAUCCUUUCUGUUAUGUUUGCCUCUGAAAGCUGUUGGGGAAGUGAGAGAAAAUAUAUUAUUUUAAUUAAGAAACUGAAAAAGCAAAGUUGCUUGCAGAAGCAACCAUGCACUAUAGUUAAGAAACUGAAACUGCCAACUGAGCAAGCUCCAAUGGGUUGAAAAGCUAAGAAACGUUUCUUAGCAACUCCAUUUGGGUUAAGAAACCAGCGUUGAAGUUGCUCUAAUAUACCAUCACCACCACAAGGAAUCAGUCAAGGCACGUGCGGUAAAGAAGUGCAUCAUGUGUAACCAACAUAUGUGCCACGUCCAGGAGAGAGAAAAUAAAGGAAAAUAACCAUUUUUGUUUUGUUUUGUUUAAUUUCUACAGCAAAAUAAUAAGAAAUGCUUCUUCUCUGACUCUCUAUUGAAGAACAGAACCCGUAUUGCAAAACAUAGCUAUUCAUGGCAGCCAAUUCAAUUUCAAUGUCUCAUGAAAUAAUUUAGAGCAUGUUAAUCGAAUUUUUAAGCAGAUUAAUAGCCCUCAAACAAAUUUUGAAAACAUGCAUCACAAAGGGAUAAAUUGCAAAUCGAAAAUUUAAGGGUUCAAGAUACUAAAGCAUCAAUUUCUCACAAAGUACUCAACCAAGUCACCCCAAAUUUUAGUAUGUAGGUCGAAUAACAUCAUCAAAACCACCCAAACAAUUUCUAGAAUCAUGCACAAAAUUUGGGAUGAAGAAAUAUAAUUACGCCAGUAACGCCGUUACAGACAAAAUACGCGAACUGAAACGCAUUGGAGUUUUGAUGCUAACAGGCACACAUACGGAAAUUACUUGAUUAAUAAAUCAUUCCAUAAAGCAGCCAUAACCCAUUUCUAUCAAGCUCUGAUACCAAUUGCUGAAUUUAACUGACCAAAUAGAUAAUAUACAUAUAGAUACAUAUUACAAUAUUACAGCAUGUUCUGAUUCAAUAAUGAGAAAAAGAAUUGUGCACCUGAAAGGAUUGAAGAAUACAUGAGUCUGUUGUUUGACCAGAGAAUGAUAGUGGAAAGACACCAGAGGAUGGAACUGCUCUCUGCACCUGGUAAUACAUUCUCUAGAUAAAUUGUCUAAUGGGGAAACAAUUUAUAUAUUACCAGUUGAGACCAGGGUCCCCUCAUUAGACAAAGUUAACUGAUCUAACCCAUCAUAGGACAGUUAAUAACAAAAGUCUAAUCUACCAUCUAUCAUAAUACAUUUAAUUGAAUUAAAUUAAUAAUUCACAUAAUUGAUAUUAAUAACCAAAACAAAAUAUAUCUUAGUUAAUUGAUAAUGUUAACCCACAUAACAAACAAUAGAGAUAGUUAAUUAUAAAUAAAUCUAACAUCACUCCCACCAUCUGAAUCACGGCCUCGCCUGCAACAUCAUCGUCCGGUGGCAAAAGACAUCAAUGGACAGGAACCACAAGUCUGAUGACAGUUACGUUUCUGGGUGAAAUCAUUUUAAUAUUUUUAAAUAAUAUUCAAAACUCUGAUAAUCAUGUGUCAAUUUAUUUGAUUUUGAUUGGUGUGAAUGUGAGCAUACCUAUUAAACUUUUUUAAUUUAGCAAUCAAUUUUAUCUUUUAAGAAAAAUUGAAAAAAUUAUAGUACAUAAACCCACACAAAAUUCUGUAGGUAUAUAUUACUAUUUUUUCUGUAGUUAUUACUUGAUAGGUAGAAAGUGAUAGGAAAAUCGAUAGCAAAUAUAUUGUGUUGGACCAUAGGAAAAUCUAUUGAAAAAUCUGGAUGAAAAUUCACAAAAGAAGUUGUAGAAAAAUUUGGAAAAACAGUAGGAGGAAUCUAUAGAAAAAUUGAUGAAUAAAUUUUCUUAUAAAUUUUUGCUACAAAUUUUUUCUGGGUAAAACUUCAUGAGAAUAUUUGAUAUUUCUCGUGAUUUUUUAAGGAAAUUUGAUUUGUAGAAAAAUUUAUAAGAAAUUUAGACAAGCAAAAAAGAUUAUUUUAAUAGCAAGGGGGGUAGGUUCUUGUAAGUUGGUCGAGCAAAUUAAUAAUAAUAUUUUAAUAGCAAGGGGUAGGUUCUUCGUUCUUGCAAGUUGGUCAGGAAAAUUGAUAAUAUUUUAUUCUUGUUUUCAAAAAAAAAGAUAAUAUUUUAUUCUUGCAAGUUGCUGGAGCAAGUAGCGGCAACCCACCCAGACGGAGGAAUUUAUUAUACACCUCUAAAAACUUGUGCAUAGUUGCACAUUUGCUUUUUAACCUGCAAUAGCAAGUUUAGUAGGUUUUUUUGUUAAAAAAUAAAAAAACAUAUAUAUUAGUAAACUAAUUAAUGAAGGAUUAAGUUAAUUAUUAACUCAGUAAUUAAAACCAAAAAAAAAAAUCUUCUUGCAAAACUCCCCCGAUCAUCCUCACCUUACUCAUCCCAUCUCCAGUCCCUAUCUCCCAGCCCUAACCCUUUCCUCCUCUUCUUUCUCCCAGCCACCGCAACUCCCCAGAUCUGCAACACCACCUUCAUAUCCCAACCUCCUUCUUCCUUUCAGCCAAGAAAAACCCACGCUCACUCUCUUUCAACAUCUUCAACAGUUUUAAGUUUCUUCCCAAAUUUCUUCAUCUUUGACAGAGAGAAGUUAAAUGCACCACCACGCCUUCCACCGCACUGCGCAACGCCUCCACCACCACCACUCGCAGCUUUCCCGCCCUCAGUUCAAGUAACCUCCAUCACACCGUCAUACACAUCCAUACGACCCCAAAGUCCCAAUUUUUCAGCUUCCAAACACCACUUUACGACCCCAUAAACAACCCAGAACCUGGGUGUGUCUCUUCUGGGCUAAAAACAGAAGAAAAAAAACAAGAUCUUGAUGAAGAGUAGAAGGCUUACUCUAUCGCUCCAUCUGAUGGGAACCAGAUCUGUGCGACGAAUCUUCUGCAGUCACUCCAUCGCUCUCCUUCUCGCACCUCUGAUUUUUGCUCCUUCAUCUUCUCUUUGGUUAUGGGUUGGGUUUUUGGGCUUAGUUUCUUGGCGGGGUUGGGGGUGAGGGUGGGAUGGGGUGCGAUGGGCUUCUUCUCUCUGCCACCGCCGUCACGCCUCAUCUCUCCAAAAUCCAUAUCACCCUCAGAUCUUCUUUCUCGACCCACGGCUGUUGAACGAGAUCCAGAUCAAGAGGGAGAUGCAGCUUAACGGCGAAGGCCACCCACAGAGAUGCAGCCCCAACGGCGAAGGCCGGUGCGGUUGGGUGGUUUUUUUUUUUUUUUAGAUCUAGAUUUUUUUGGGUUGUUGGUGAGAAUAACAGAGGAGAUGAAGGAGAAAGGUCUGUGGGGAAGACAAAGAGAGAAGAGGUGAUGAAGGGGGAGAGAGAAGAGGAACAGAUUUUUUUUUUUGAUAAAGAGGAAGAGGAACAGAUUAAGAUUAAGGAUAAAUGUUUUCUUUUUUAAUUAAUUAAAAAUAAAUGCUUAAUUAAGAAAAUAUGUUUUUUGAUUUUUUUUUUAAAAACUUGCUAUAGUGGGUCAAAAGGUCAAUGUGCAACCUUACACAAGUUUGUAGAUGCCCAUAAUAAAUUUUUCCAACCCAGACAAGCAAACUAAUCAAUAUAAUAAUGUAUUCUCCACUAUAAAUACCUAUAUGCAUCAAGCAAUGCAAUCACACCCAAAACCUUGUCUUCAGUUAUUCCCCAUUGAAGCAAGCAAAUUAAUCAUGUUACCUCUAGCAUUGGCUAUACCUGCGUUGCAGCUCCUUCUGAUAAUACUUUUCAUUCUAUCAGUUGCCCAGCUUCUUAAUCCAAAAGAGCAUAAAAAUGGUAGGAAAUAUCCACCAGGUCCCAAACCUCUGCCAAUUAUAGGCAACCUCCACCUGCUGGGUAAACUCCCACACCUCUCCAUUCACGAGCUUGCCAAAAAAUAUGGACCCAUCAUGUCCUUAAAGCUAGGACAGGUCCCAACCAUUGUGGUUUCGUCCCCUGAAACAGCAGAGCUAAUCCUCAAGACCCAUGACUCUGUUUUUGCUAGCAGACCUUUAACUCAAGCAUCCAAAUACAUUUGCUAUGACAGUAAGGGCUUGAUUUUCUCUGAGUACGGUUCCUACUGGCGCAAUGUGACGAAGCUGUGCACCUUUGAGCUCUUAAGCGUGAAUAAAGUUCAAAGUUUUGCUCCUUUAAGGAGUGAGGAAGUACGAGUGUUUGUGAAAUCACUUGAGAAAUCAGCAGCCUCACGCGAGGUUGUGAAUGUCAGUAAGAGAGUUGGGGAACUUGUAGAGAAUGUUGUCCAGAAAAUGAUUUGGGGUCCCAGUAACAUUGAAAAUUUUGAUGUCAAAAGGCUUGUUCAUGACGUUCUGCACCUCAUGGGAGUUUUUGAUGUGGGAGAUUAUAUACCUUGGGUUGGGGCAUUUGAUCUUCAGGUACUUCCAAUACAACCACUACUAGCAUGUUUGAAUCUACUUAUUUCGCUUCAUAAUCAUUUCUUAUAUGCAACAAUUAAACUUUUUUCCUAGAAUCAAUUUUGCCUUUAAAAGGACUAUAGAUCGAUUUUCGUACAUGUACUAUUGCAUCUUGUUCAAGGUUGUCAUCGAUUCUAAGUUUCUAGGUCCCAAAAAGAAUCAACUAGCAAGUAAACUCUAAAAUUUCAAGAAUCGAGCAAACUCUUGUUAACUUGGUAAACUCGCAUAGGCUUGCGAUUCUACACCAAGUUAGUCACGGAAAAAACAAAAACAAAUUUUUCCCUAAAUCCUGAAAUUAAAUGGAGUAAUUUUGGAUUUUCACAAAAAGCUUUCAAUUAAGACCGAGAGAAAAAUAGGAUUUUCUCAUUUUAAUCCAACAUUCUCAUUCACCUUCAAACUCUUGGAGAAGAUGAGACAUCAGCGCUGCAAGUCGUCGUCGCCGCUUUAAAUUUUUAGCUAUCUCCAAGACUUUAUUUUGAAUUAUGCAUUCUUGGUACUUUGAAUCUUUGAUCGUUUAUGUAUUUUAUUGAACUUUACUUUAUUAUAAAGUUGGUUGUUGAAUUUAUUUGAUUAUUGUCUCCUUAGUGGUUGUAUUAUGUAUUCUUUUUACACCAUGACAGGUUUUAUCAAGGUUUUUAUUUUGGUAGACUCUUACGAGUCUACGAGUUAACUUGAGGAAACGAGUUUACCUCCCAAAACGAGUUUGCGUAGACUCUCGAGUCUGACAACAUUGAUCUUGUUACUUUUGAUUCUUAAAAGUCUUAUGUGACAAACCUAGGACACAUCAUCAGUUAGUCCGUAGUGGCAUUCUACAAGGCUUUAUGAGACUGUAUGACACACCAUGCUACAUGCUGAUGUGAUAAUAUUGACAAUAAUAAAAAUCUCAAAUCUUUACACAGUGAUAAUUCGAACAUGAGACCUCAAUAUUUAUAGGACUUUGAACAUAUUUAAUCCUUAUUCUUAUCCUAAAAGAUUUUACAUUGUCCACUAAAUCUGACUUAAUAUUUAAUCCAUAUCUCAGGGACUAGUAAGAAAGUUCAAGAAAGCGCACGAGGAAUUUGAUCAAAUGUUAGAGCAAAUCAUCAAAGAUCAUGAGGCUCCUUCUCGUCUUAGCGACCAGAAAAACGGGCAAUCUAUUGACUUCACUGACACAUUGCUAUCACAUAUGAAGCAAUCAAAGGACAAACAUAUUAUUAACAAAACAAAUCUCAAGGCUAUUUUGUUGGAUAUUAUUAUCGGAUCACUUGACACAACUAUCAUGACGACUGAUUGGGCUAUGUCAGAACUACUGAGGCACCCGAAGGCUAUGACGAAACUUCAAGAUGAGUUAAAGAAUGUAGUGGGUAUGGGGAGGGUGGUAGAAGAAGAUGACAUACCAAAGUUGCCAUACCUCAAUAUGGUGGUGAAAGAGACCUUUAGGAUACACCCACCUGCACCCCUCCUCGUACCUCGCGAGUGUUUGGAAGAUAUAACAAUCAAUGGUUAUUUCAUUGCGAAAAAGUCACGGGUUUUAGUCAAUUCUUGGACAAUAGGACGAGAUCCUAAAAUUUGGUCAGAUAAUGCUGAGGAUUUUUAUCCAGACAGAUUUCAAAACACCGACACAGAUUCUCAUGGACUCCAUUUUCAAUUUCUACCAUUUGGUUCCGGUCGUAGACGCUGUCCCGGGAUGCAAUUGGGUUUAACUACCGUUCCGUUGGUUCUAGCUCAGUUAGUGCAUUGCUUCAAUUGGGAGCUUCCAUUGGGCAUGUCUGCCAAUGACUUAGACAUGACGGAGGAAUUUGGCCUUACAACGCCAAGAGUUCAAAAUUUGCUAGCGAUUCCAACUUAUCGCUUAGUAAAUGAAGGUAAUUGAAUGCAUCAAACCUCGUGACAAAGCAAGAAACUAUUUUAAUGUGUUUUUCAAUUUAUGUCUUUCUUUGUUUGUCUCUUAAUAAGAUCUUCAUGUGCGCACAGAGCUUCUUUGCAGCCCUUGGAUCGAUCAUACCUAAGAGAUUAUGCUGAUUUUUUUUAUUUUGGCACUGUAAUAAUUUGAUAAUCCUAUUACUCAUGAUGGGUUUCAAUACGUUAAGUCGGCGCAUAUCAUCAUGUAUUUGAACAUUGCAUGUUAUUUUCCUUUAGACAAAUCUCUCUAGCCCAACAACCAACAUAAAAAUUGGUUUCAAAACAAACAACCCAACACAAUUGGUAGCUAGAUAGCUGAGUUCGUUAAGCAUUUAUUUGAGAGUUUGAUUCUUGAGCAGUGUAUAUAGAGAAAGAUUUGUUGAAAAAGACUUACCCGCUCAAUCUAGAGCUGGGUACAAGGGUGGCCCACUCCGCACAAGCCUGCUUCGUGUUGCUUCGCCCCGCGUAGGCCCGCAUUUUAGCAGUCCUCUAUUUUCCGGGCUAUAACCCGCAGUAGUCCGCGGUUUUGCGGGCCGAUCCAUGGACUUUGGCAUCUCUUACCCCUUUUUUGCCUUUGUAGGCCUGCCCCGCAUUGACCCCCCCCCCCCCCCGCACUGGCCCGCUUCGCGUAGGCCCAUAUUUUAGCGGUCCUCUAUUUUCCGGGCUACAGCCCGCACUAGUCCACGGUCUCGCCGGCCGGCCCGCGUACUUCGACCCGCUUACCCAGCUCUAGCUUAAUCUAAUCUCAGAUCAUUGAAUAGAUUAGUCUUGGUGCUGCCAACUAUCAAAUACUUAAUAAAAAAUGGCUUAAAAGCACUUUUGGUCCCACAAAUUUCUAUUGUGUAAAUAGAGUCUUUAAUCUUUAAAAAUAUCACUCUUAAUCCCCAAUGUUACCCUCCAUCAACCUUCUUUGCAAUGGCUGAAGCUUGAAUUUUAUUUUUUUGAGGACCAUAGUAAAAUUUUAAUACGCAUAUAUACUUUCUUGGUUAUUUGGUGAGUUUCAGAUCAAAUUUCAGUAAAUAAACCAAAAUAUCUUUAUUAGAAAAACACAUAUGUAUACAACAAAAAUGAAAAAGAUUAACCUAACUUAUGUACAGGAACAAUAGAAAAUUACUAUAAGUUGUACUAAUAAUCUUUGAAAUUUUCUAUUUAGUUUUUUUUUCUUCAAGUUUUGGAUUAUUGGUAUAUAUAUUUUUUCCUUUAGAUAGCAUUUUUAUAUUUAUAAUCAAAAUUCUUUCUCUUAAUAAAAGAAUUUAUUCUUUAAUUUUUGGUUAUUAAUUUUUUGGGACAAGCUUCCAUAUGCCAUUUUUCUGAAGAGGCAGGGGUGCCCCCCUUUCCUAGCCAUUGAUUUAUAAUAUUUUAAUUGAACGAUCCGGAUCAGUUGAGGAAGAUAAUUAUGGCUUGGUCCUAUGCACUAGUCAAAAUAUAUCUCUGGUCCUAUUACAUUUUAUAUUCACGUAAAUGACUGUAAAGUUUAUGCAAUCCAUUAUAGACCCUAUGAGUUUUCAUAUCUAAAAAUUAGUCCUAACUAUAUAUACACAAAACCAUGAAUUAAAUUCAUUUUAUGCAUCCAAAAUCUGAAGGAUCCAUUGCUCUUCUCUCUUCUCCAAACUUACUUUCUCCUUCUCCUACAAGUGACAAUGGAUUAAAACAAAUGAGGAUGGAGAGUGGUGGAUCCAAAAGUGGGGAUUGUGCAUUGAUGAGUUGUGGAUCUAAAACUGGGGUUGUCCAUGUCAAAAAAUAUGUUUAUGGUUUUGUGAUAACAAUCUCAUAGAUAAGUAUAGUGAAAGAAUAGAAAAAUAAUUGCAUAAAACUAUUCUCACUUUCUGGGUUCCAUAAGUGGUAACUAGUUAGGAAAAAUAAUUUUAUGUUGUUGUUUGUUCAAUGUUUGGUGAGAAUUUGUGCAAAAUCUGUGUCUCCUUGAUGUUCCUCGUCAAGUCACAGUCCCAACAAGUCAUACUAGAGCUUUGAUGGUGACUCGAGGUGGUCGGAAUCAUCAUUUUCGAAAAUGACCCAUUUUUAAAAGUUCCUGAAAUGAAAAUCUGAGGUCAUAGAUGGAUUCAGAAGGUUGAGACGAGUCCGGAACAAGUUCCGGAAUCUCAAACGGAGCCUGGACGAAGCUACACUCUCCCGCACUUGCCGGCGAGGUGGCCGGAGAGUGAGCCCACUCUCGGCCACGCGCUCCACUCGCGCUAGAGGAAGAAGGAGAGUGGCGGCCACUCUCGGCUAUGAGACACACGCGCCUGAUGACGUCAGAGACGCUGAUACGGCUUGUUCUCAUGCUGACAUGUGACAGAAUGUGUUUUUUGGAAAUUUUGGGUCAUUUUUAUCCGUUUUGGGUUCAAGAGGAGUCGAUUCUAAGGUUUUCGACCGUUCCGGACGCAAUGGUGUGGUUCUUUUCUUGAAAAUCUUUCCAGAUUUGCAAAUAGGACCAGAUAUUGGCCUUUGAAUAAACUUAAGUAAUGUGUUUUUUUAAUAAAUUUGGUCAUUUUUAUCCGUUUUGGGUACAAGGGGAGCCGAUUCUAAGGUUUUCGACCAUUCCAGAAGCAACGGUGGUAUUCGUUUCAUGAAAAUCUUUCCAAAUUUGCGGAUAUGAUUAGAUCAAUUCUAAUAUUUAAAUGAAUACUAGUGAAUUGAUGGAUAAUGACACUUUUAACCUAAUUUAGUUAUUCUAAAGUCUACGUUAAACUAGGAUUAUCCAUUUUAAUGACCUCUUAACUUAACGUUAGUUAUUCCAUUGACCCUUUUAAACGAAUGUUAGUUAUACUAUUAUCUCGAUUAGACUAGGGUUAGUUAUUCUAAUGACCCUCCUAACUGAAGCUUAGUUAUACUAUAGUCUUAGUUAGACUAGAGUCUGUUAUUCUAUAGUCUCAGUUAAACUAGAGCUUGAAAUUCUAUAGUCUCAGUUAAACUAUAGCUUAAAUCAGGUUUAUCUAUUAUAGUGGUUUUCUUAACUUAAGAUUAGUCAACUUGUGUUAGCGCAAAAAAAAAAAAUCAAAGUAUGAAAAAAAGGGCCAUCAGCCAAACAAAAUUCCAACAGAAUUGGCUAAUGCAAAAAAGCCCAGAUAUGCGUUUUUUGCACCAAAAAAGGAGGGGUCAGCAGCAAAAAAAACUAGCCCAAGAAAAAAAACAAUCAAAUCCUUAUAGAAAAGUGAAGGGCCAUCAGCCAAACAAAAAAAACCAACAAAAUGGGCUAAUGCAAAAAGGCCUAGAUAUGUGUUUUUUACACAAAAAAGGAGGGGCCAGCAGAUGAAAAAAAAAAACCUAGCCCAUUUUUGUUUUUUUUCCGAGUUCUUUUUUCUUCUGAUUUCAUUUAUUCUGAUUUCAUUUAUGAGCUUUUUCUAAGGAUUUUUCAAUAUCAAAAACAUACUUUUGAGACUUUAAUUCACAGUUUUUGAAAUUAAUAAAAUCUCAUUUUGAUUGAUUAAUCUGAGUUAAAAUAAAUGAUUAACUAACUGUUGGUUGUUAUUAUAAAUACUCUUAAUUAUGUUGAUAAUCAUAAUAAGGAGGAGGGAUGAAAAAAUGAACUAAAGAAGAUGGAGAGGAAUCUUAUCCUUCUCGACCACUUUAAGCAUUAACUUCAUGAUGAUUAAACUCUUUGAUUUGGACCCUCGAGAGUUACGACACACCUCAGAGAACCCAAUGAUGAAGAGGAAACUAUAGAACAUUUACACUUGGACCUUGAACUAGGGUUAGUUAUUUCAUAGUCCUGAUUAAACUAUGAUUAUAUGUUCUACUAACUUUAAUAACCUAAGGUUAGUUAUUCAAUAGUCCCUAGCUAGGGUUAGUUAUUCUAGUUACACUCUUAACUUAAGGUUAGUUGUUUUAAUAGUUCCGAUUAAACUAGAGUAUCUAUUCUAAUGACCAUCUUGUUAGGACAGGCCACAAUUAUAGCAUCUAUAAAGAAUAUUCGAUCAAGAUGAACCAUAUGGAUGAUCAAGAUGAAACAUGUGGAUGAUCAGGAUGAACAUGAUGGAUGAUUGUGAUCUUGAUGAUGGAUGUCAUGAUGGGUGGUCAAUAUGAUCAUGAUAGAUGAUUAAGAUGAACCCGAUGGAUAGCCAGGAUGAAACUCAUGGAGGAUCAAAAUUGUCACGAUGGAUGGUCAAAAUGAAAUUGAUGUUAGAUUAUAUUUAUAUAAAAAGGUCAAGAGUGACUUGUCAGAAAGUCGACCAUGUUGAACAACACAUCGUUAGCUAAUCUCGAUCUUAAGUUCCUAAUAUUAGCUAGUUCAAGCAAGAUUAUUGACAUGUCAAAACAACAUAACCAGGCAUAUAAAGCUUUUAAGUUUUUAAGAUUAGAUAUUUCGGUUAAGAUCAACUUGUCGAAACAACCUGAUAAAGCUUUCAAGGUUGAUAAGUUACAAAGAUUAGCCAACUUGACGUGUUCAUACAAUCAAAAGAUUAAUUGGAUGUAUGUGUAAAGUGUAAACAAAGUUUACACUGUCGGUGCAUACACAUUUAAUCAUUCAAGUAAAUAACUGAUUUUAUUCUACUAAUAAUUAAAUAGAGAUUAAUUUUCAUGCACUGACAGUGUAAAUGAGUUUACACAGGUUCAAUCAUAUCUCAAUUUUUUGGCUCAUAUUUAAUUUUAAAUUUAAUAAUAUUUAAAAUAAGAAAUAGAAUGUUGUGAUUGAAUGAUUGGGUAAAACCUUUUAUACUGUGAGUACAUAAAAAUUAACAUGAACGAAAUAACCUGAUUUUAAUUUUUGGCGCUCAAAAUUUAAAUUUUCCCGCUCAUAUUUUGAUUUUUUUGAAAUUAAAACACUGAUUUUAGUCAAUUGAUUUUACGUGUGAGCUCCUCCUUUUUUGGCUUAUUUUAAUCUUUAUGCUCCUUUCAGAGUUCCCGCUCUUCCUUCUUUUAGUUUCCCUCUCUUUUUCAUCUGUCAAAGUAUUCAGGACUCAAUUGGAGAAGAAAAAUUAAAAAAUUCUAGAAAUCUUAUCUCUAUCCUACUUGAGAUUUCCUAUCUCACUAAUCUGUCCUUUUCAUCUUACUCUCUCACAUUUUCACUAUCUCUUUAUCUCCACCUCUUCUGCAUCUCCUUAUCACUUUACAGUCGGAUCCAGUUCCUCUCCUGCCAAUCUCUCUCCGGCGUCUCACCGCACACGGCCGUUGAAGCUCAUGACCGCCGUCUCCGCCAAGGACCCAAACAUCGUCGCGUCUCAUCGUUCUAUCACCGCUCUCGGCGCUGGCCUGAUCACGACCGCCUUAUCCCACCCAUUGUGCCUCUCGCUGACGAAGCAAACCCAACCGCGUCUCGCCGUCUCCGAUUCUCUCAUUCAAUUUGUCGCCGUCAAGCUCAAGCCCCAUAUCCUUCAGAACGACUACCCCUGGUUUCCAAUUUCAAAUUUAGGAACACGAAACCUGUAACAUUGUACAAGAGGAAUGCAUAUUGUCUUGGCAUUUUAGAUUUUUUGUGGUUGUACCAGAGGACAUGACUAGGUGAAGAGUAGUACCUCGGACGGUGAGUUCAAUUUCCUACCUUCCGCUCUUAUGUUCAAUUUUUAAUUUUACUUCCUCUGUUAUUCAUCUCUUUCUCAUUUGGCUUACCAUUUGUCAGGAAAACAAAAUUCUGUGCAUAUGCUAAACUAGCCAUUAAAAAAAUUGACUUUGAUAUGAGGGUGUUUUUUUGGAUGAUUGGUCUAUCUUGGCUUAGAAACUGAUUUUUGGUGAUUUGUUUUCUGCAGCAAAAAGGGUUUUCUGUGAUACUUUCAGACAUGCGUCCAUCGGUUUCUGGAAUCACAAUCGGUUGUUGGCAGUGCUGCUUCUUCUGUUCAAGCUUCAGCUGAUGAUGAUGAUGAUUAUAUUCGGGAGGAGCAAAGUGUUGAUGAUCCAUCCGGUUCAAAUGAUAAGGGAGUCUUGCAAGUUGGAGGGAACCUUAUUAUAAAGAUUUUGGAGAGUGAAGAUUCCAAAGGUGGUUCAUUUUUCUCAAGACUAGUUUUAUUCCAGCUGAUUUGGUUGCGUAAUGUGUUUAUUUAAUCUCUUUUGAAAUCUUCUGCUGCAGAAAUCAGUCAGAUUUGUAAACCAUUAUUUAGAAAGUCAUCGUAGCUGAGGCCUAAAGCCACAAGACCUUCCUCAAGAGAGAUCUAUUUGAUAUGUCAUGGUUUAAAGCCAGACGCAAAGACAUAGGUUGUUUUAUACGAUAUUCUUUGUCUGGGUGAACAUUAGGGAUGAACAACAUACAAAACUCACCUUCUCCUUUAUUUUUUUAUGUUCAUUUUCAUUACUAUAUUUGUGCUUGAUUUUGUUAAAAGGGUGUUCUACUUUUGGGCUCUACUAUGGUCAUGGGAUAUUUUCUAUUCUUAAUUUAAUUAUAAUAAACUACUUUUAAGAUCAGUCGGGGACCAUAUAAGAGACUAUCAAAUUUUUUACCUUGUGCUCAAACUGGAUUUUCUAAUAUUUUUGUUAUGAUCUUAUGUUCCUGAUUUAAUUUAUACCAUUUUAAACUUAAAUUAACAGGAUCUGUUGCAACAAUGGGUAAGAACCAUUUGUGAGUUUAGUGACAUAAUUUGAUUGUCACCUUGGUUUCAAUUGUGCAUGACACUCAUUUGUUUCUUGCCUUGUUUACUUUGUGUUUUCCUGAAUGAUUUUCUUGUUUGCUGUCUGACAAGUUUUUAGUUUCAGGCACACUAGUUGUUCAAUGAAAUAGGAUAAAUGUGCGAAAGCAAGAAUCAUGAAGGUGAAAGAGCAACCCGUUUUAGGCUGAGUAGCACCUUAUUGAAUCGCACCUCCAAUAUUUUGUUCAUUGUGAGAGGUCCAUUUGAAAAAUCUGGGAAUUUUUACAUUAUUCCUUCGAUUUGGGUGCCUCUCUCUAUCUCUCUCUGUCGAGUUCACCAAUUUCUUUGUCUAUCAUCACUAAUUCCUUUGUUUAUGUUCUGCAUAGUGAGAUUAAUUGAUUGCUUUAAAGAAGUCAAUUUAUGAGACUGGGCAUUCAAGGGAGUUCCAGUGAUUUGGUUACCGAGGUAUAUGGACUAUGUAGUGGAUUAUCUUUCACAAAUCGUACCGACUGUCUAGCGCAAGUUGAUCCAGGUUUCUCCUUCCUCGACCUUUCACAUUUUUUUAUGUGAAUUUAAUUUACAUUAUGAAUUCUUUAUUGAUUUGGGUUUGUGGAAAGUUCAGGACUUUCAUGUUUUAACCAUGUGAUGUGUCCAAUUGCAAUGAGUAAUGUUCAAAAUCACUCUUUGUCAUCAAAUGUUGGCACAUCAAAUUUGCGAUUGAAAUUUAAGAAACGUGAACUUUACUACGUAAUGCAUCCAAAUGGUAAAGCUCUUAAUUCAUUGUUGAUUUUUCUUUGGCCAUUCUCAUGAUUUGGUACUGUUAAAUUGUGCUAUUAACUUUUGAUUUUCUAUAGUGAUUGUGCAUGUUUUGUCUUUAUCUACUUUCUUCUUUCAUCUGUUUGUUGGCUACUUAGAUAUAUGACAUACUCCUAUUUUCUCAGAAUCAAUUAAUUUCCACACAUGCGCAUAGUGUGCUACUUGUUUCUAAUUUUGUUUCAUUGACUCCAUGUUCUGUGGUGCUAAAAUUAACUUGUGGCAGUUUGUAGGAGGAAAAAGGGUGGAUGGUUUCGUGUCUGAGAUCAUUUGGUCAUGCUAAUAUUGACUGUUUAAUAGGGAGGAUAAAGGAUAAAUUGUAAUGCUGUUUGGAAUGAAGGAGGAUAAAUUGUAAUGAAGGAGAUUGACAUCUGGUAUUGAUUGUAUUUGUUUAUAUAUGGUAAAGUGGCCAGAAAUUUCCUUUAGAUCAGAAAAGUAGAAAUGAAAGGUAGAGUGGAUCGUCUACAUUCACUGAGUGCAUGUUUGUAAAUUUAAUAGAUUUUCUCAUUUGGGGGUUAAAUGAUUCUGGAAGAAGCUAUCAGAAGUAAUUCUUACAUAGGGAAAAAUGAUCAUGAGAGAGUUAAAGUAGAUCCAAAAAUGGUGAAAAUUAGCUAUAUGUAUUACAGAGGAAAACAUUUUGAGGAUUGAUCGAUAAAAUUAAAUUAUCGCAUGAUAAUCCCAAUACAAGCAACCAGGAAACUCUAUAAAUGUCUAUACCAGCUUUUCCAUUUCUAAGUAUCUAGGAGAAUUAAAUUUAGUAGGUAUACGCAUAAUGUACAAUAUUGUUUUAAUUGCAUUAACAGUACAAAAAAGAAGAAAUUGUUUGUUAUGGAAUACUGGCUUAACUUUUCCUUCAAUGAAUUUCAUAAUAAAGUACAAAAAAAUGUGGAUUCCAUACAUUAAUUCAUUUGUGGGGCACUAUGAUCUAUUUGACUAUAGUAUAAGGAUCCAUCUCACACAUAACAUUACAUGUGCACAUUUCAUAUUAGAUGAUUUAGUUUCUAGCUUACUUUUUAAUAUUAUCAGUGUUACUUUUUAAUGGCUUACUUCAUUUUUGAGUCACUUGGUAUUCCAGUUCUACUGAGCUAGGUGUAUAUAACUUUGCUGUUUUUCACUGUUUCUUGGUGCAGAAAUUAGACCUAACACAACUAAGCCUUUGGAUUCUGAGUGUUUUUCCUCAAAAACUUGUGCUUCCUAGGCAAUUCUAUUUGCUUCAUUUUUUUUAUUCUCAACUAAUUGGAUCAAUUGCAUGAUUUAGUGAAGUUCCAACCCUGAUUAUUUGUUCCAGCCUUGGAACCACCUUGAAAAAUGAAUUUUGUCACUGACAUUCCUCCAGUCAGUGUUGAGAAAAAUAUUUUUUUUCUUCUCUUUUGAUGCCAAUCCUAUAAGAUAGCAAGAACAUGAACAUUUUUGGCAGAGAAUCAAAUAGCUUAUGGAGGAAUGUUGUGGUUGAAAGAUAUUCGCAAGACCCUUUGUCACUGCUCUGGCACUUAGAAUUAUCAAACCCUUCGGUUGGAUCCAUUGUAAUCCGGGACACUUAGAAUUAUCAAACCCUUCGGUUGGAUCCAUUGUAAUCCGGGACAUAUGGAAGGUGCUUAUAAAUGAUGAUUUGAUUUCUGCCGGUUUCAUGGAAAACCUUCUGGUUGUUGUGGGAGAUGGCAAGAAAACGAAGUUCUGGAAGGACCCAUGGGUAACUGAUUCUGCCCUUUGCAAUGUAUUCCCUAGACUGUAUGCUUUGAGUGAAAACAAAGAAGCCAGAAUUGCAGAUGUGGGCUCUUUCUCCAGAGGGUCAUGGGAUUGGUCAUUAAUAUUUCGCAGAUCGUUUUUUACAUGGGAGGAGGAACUUUACUCUUAGCUCCUGGUCUCGAUCAACUCCAUUAUUCCAGCUUCCUUGGGGGGGAGAUUACCUGAUAUGGUGUCUUAAUCAAAAGGGCUUCUUCUCGGUUAAGGAGCUUUGCAAUUAGGCUGAAGAUCAAACCUUCAUUAACCGUACUUGGCAAGUUCCUAAAAAUGUAGCAAAACUUAUUCCUCCCAAAGUUGCUCUCUUUUUCUGGCAGGCACAGAAGAACAAAAUUGCAACUAGAGCCAAUUUAAUUUCUAGAGGUAUUGAUCUAGCUGACUCAUCUUCUUGCCCUCUUUGCAUGACCAUUACAGAAACUUGCUCUCAUCUAUUUCUACACUGUAAUUACACUUGGUCUCUGUGGUGCUCGAUUGUAAAUCGUGAAGGUUUUUAUUGGGUUGUUCCUUCGUCUCUAGAAGGACUCAUCUCUGAAUGGGACCAUUUACCCAAACUUUCUGACAAGCUGCUUUGGAGUUUAAUACCAUAUGCGCUAUCAUGGUCAAUUUGGAUUGAAAGGAAUAAUGUGUGCUUUAAUCAGAAGACUUUCAAUUGUACAGAAGUAUGGGAUCUUCAUCUCUCACGAAUUGGGUGGUGGACGCAUGAUUUGCUCCUUCAAAAUGCUUACAGUAUUGAACAAUUGGCCAGGAAUUUUGAGCUAAUCAGAUUUGGGUCCAAAUUGCCUACUGCAAGACAUGCUGGCUGGACUCCUCCUGAAGUGGGUUUAAUUAAAAUUAACGUAGAUGGUGUUGCCAGAGGAUCACCGGGAAGAUGUGGUAUCGGUGGUAUAUUUCGAAAUAGUGAUAAUGAGAUUCUGGGUUUUUUCUCUAAACAUGUUGGGGAAGGCUUUGCUUUUGAAGCUGAGGUGUGGGCGAUCUUUGAGGCACUUACAAUCUGUGUUAACCGACAAUUGAGAAAUCUAACAAUUGAAAGUGAUUCUUCUCUAGCUGUCGGUUGGGUCAAUAAUCGAAGCAACAGACCAUGGAAAUUGUUGAACAAGCUUAACCAGAUUGACCUGUGGGUUGCGGAGGUAAAUUGUUUAUCGGUGAAACACAUUUUUAGAGAGGCAAACGGCGAAGUUGAUAAAUUGGCUAAGCGAGGAGCUGAUCAUCCGAGGGACUUAUAUUACUUCAAGACUUCCAGCCAUCAUCAAUAGUACUGGAUUUUUUUCUCCGAGGGUCGAGUAGUAGUGUAAACCGUGUGGGAAUUGUAUUCUAUAUUGGCUAGCUUUCCUUAUCUUUCUAGUAGGUUGUUUUAAGCUUGCGGUUUCAUGUACUUCACUUUGCCUAAGUUAUAUCUCCUCUGCUUGUUAUCUCUGUUUUGUGGUUGGUUGCCUUGGUUAGAGUACUCUUUUUCCUCUCCUUGGGUUUUUCCCACUGGGUUUUCCCUUGGAGAGGUUUUGAUGAGGCUUUCUCCUUGGCCGGGUUUCCUAACCACAUCUCUUUAGCAGUUUUGUGAGACUUUUUGUCCACAUGAGAGGAUUGUUCUCAUGGCUUUAUUCUUCAUUUUCUAUAUAUAUAUAUAUAUAUAUAUAUAUAUAUAUAUAUAUAUAUAUAUAUAUAUAUAUAUAUAUAUCAGUUGUUUCUCAAAAAAAAAAAAAACAAUAAAAUUAUUUUGUCCAAUUCCUUGUGACAGGAUUUAUUCUUAACUAGGUAAUAUGGGAUAAUUAUAUCUUCACACCUCAAAAAUGAGGUGUGGAGAAGUGGAGGAAGAGAGAGAUAGGAAGAAAGGAGAGAGAAAGUAAAGAUGUGAUAAAUGAUUUGAUUGAUAGAAAAAAGAGAAAUAAAUAGAAAUAAAGGUGGAAAAUAAGUGGAAAUGUGUGUAUAUAUCAUAAUUCGGUAAUAUGUGAUAUGUAGGGGGCGAUAAGUAACAAGAUCAAAUUUAUAAUAAAUUCUUAAACUAGUUUUCUUUGCACAAGACAUUGUUAGGAAUUGGAUGAUACUUGACCGAACUGCAAAUAGCAUAUUCAGGCUCUCAAUAUAGUAUAGCUUAAAAUCUAGUGUUUCACAAAGUCACCAACAAAUUUUGAAAAAAAAAGAAGAGGUGAUGAUUCAAGUGCUACACAAAGUCAAGAAACUACUAUGUUAACUCAAGAUGCGCUUACAGAAGUAAUGACACUUUAAGCCAAUUUGGCAUCAAUAAUUCCACUAGUUUAUUUGUUGUACAAAUUUUAUGAUCAUAGGGUUCUUUAAUCACAUACAGCUAGUGAAAAACCAAAUCUCAGCAAUCAGAGAUGGCGUAUGAAUAUAGAAGAGUUGAGAUAAGGUCCAACGAAAUAUGUGAGAGGAUGUGUUUAAGUGCAUUGUUAAGUGUGUGGAUAUGAAGUGAUGGAGCACAAUGACAUAAAGUUAAAGUGCAUCAGGAAGCGUGUCGACAUAAAGCUGACAUAAAGAUGAUGACAUCGUGUAACGUGUUGACAUAAAUGGUAAAUGGUGUAACCUAAUUAAUUGAGUUAGGAUUUAUUUACACCUUAAUUUCACUUUUACUUCACUUUUUUAUUUAUUUGUCUCUUAUCUUUCAAUCAUAUUAUCACAUAUCACAUCUCUUUUUUUUUUCUCUCUCUCUCUUUCUUCCUAUAACUCUAUUCUUUCCACCUCUUUCACACUUUUGAUGUUUCUGCAAGGUGGCUUAGACCACAGGCAUAUCAAUGUGACGUAUUGGUAGCCAAGGAAAUCCUAUAAUGCACCCUAAACACACACGUGGUUUCACUUGCACCAUUCAUGAAUGUACUUCAAUGCAAGAAAUUCUAUUUUAUUUAGUCUGUCCAGUUUUUAGACUUGGAGUGUCUAUUGCACAAGGACUGUCAGAUUGAUUUGAGGUGCAUUUCAUUAAAGCGCCACUUUACUUUGUAACUUAUGUCCCUUUAUGCAAUUUGGUAAAAGAAAUAUUUAUUUACUAUUAUGAGUAUUCUCCUCUUUCUCUUUUAUAGCAACGAAUAAUAGCAUUAGGUACAGAUUGUAAUGUACAAUCUUAAUGCGCAUAUGGAGCUCACUUUUACAAAAUUUGGUGCAAUAUUGGGCAUAUUCACAAAACUAUGGUAUACAGGAAAAUUGAAAAAAGAGAUGGCUUCUGAUUUACGUUGUUAGCAUAAUAAUUAAAUCUAGUCUAAGAUCAGGAAGCAUAUGAAUUUCGAGGUAGCCUUGCAAUUAAGAAUGGUGGUCUCUUAAAUUUGCACCCAGGAAUAAUUACAUAGACAGUUCUUGUUGGUCUUUAAUGGUCCUAUUGGCCUAGCUUACUACCUCUGAUAAAGUAGUUUCAACAGAUCUGUAAUACAAACUUCAGCCCCUUUGACUUUAAAUUUAAAUUUACAUCUUCCUAAACCUUUGUUUUUCCCCGUUUCAAAUUUAUCCCUUUUUUUUGGGAAAAAAAAACCUGGCUUUGUUGUUAAAAAUAAAAGGGUUAAUGGUCAAAUUGGUCCCUGUGUUUGUAGUGAAUUUUGAUUUUAGUCCCUCCCCGGAAAAAACUAGCCGAUAUCUCCCUGUAGUUGCAAGCAUUUUGGUUCUAGUCCUCACAGGAGGUCGGAGCUCCGGUGAGAGUACUGAGUGGCAGGCCAGAGAUGACAUGGCAUUAUCCACGUCAUUUUCAAUUUAUUUAUAUUUCCACGUAAAUAAUUAAUAACUAAAUUAAAUAAAAUUAUUAAUUCAUUCAAAAAUAAAAUCUAGAAAAUAUUGGGAAAAAUUAAAAUCAAAAUUUUAUAAACCCUAAUCCCCCUGCAUCUUCUCAAUCAAGCCUCUCUUUCUCUUCCCCACCCGGUUCCCAAUCUGAGCAGCAAAAAUCACCACCAUUCCAUUCCAGGAAUCAAAACCAACUCAAACCUCAAAACGGUGGUUUGACCUUCUCGCCUCACAACUCUCUUUCUCACCUUUGACCUUCCAUAAUCUUUUACGCGCUGGUGGUUUCAAUGGAGGUGCCACCUAGAACGGUGGUCGUGGCUUGGUGCGGUGGGUCGUUCAUCGUUGGAAUGAGAGCUUAGGUCGACGGAAAUAAAGGUUGUGGCAGACUAGCGGUGAAGGAGCAGAACCAGAUCGAGACCCCACUCACCCAGAUCGCGAAUCCGGUUUCUUGCGAACUCAAAAAGCGAAUCGCCCCUGGAUCCGCCUUCACCACCCCAUGUCGCCGCCGUUGUCGUCCUAAACAACCGAAGAGCCUUGAUGGGGAUACGUUCCAGUUGCUCAGUCAUGUCGGUUUUCUGGGUUUUGAUAUGUGUGGGUUAUGAAUCUGGAUUUUGUGGAUUACAUGGAUCUGGGUUAUGUGGGUUUUGAAUUUGGGUUUUGAAAACGAUUCAAUUGAUCUGGGUUAUGUGGAUUCUACGGAUUUGGCCAUUGAGUUUCUAACUAGAAUUUGUGUUGUUUUCUGGGUUUUCAAUGUUUGGCCAUUUUGGACUUUUUUCGUUUUCUGGGUUUGAUGAUGAGUUUGAAGAUGGAGAUGAUUAAAGAAGGAUGAAGGGGAAGAAGAUGAAGAUGAUUAAGACAUUUGAGCUUUUGUAUUUUUCACUUUAGUCAGGUCUGAAGUGUGGGCGUGGAUGGUAUUAUGUCAUGAAAUAUAUGAUGAGGAAAUAACUGAUAUGUUGGGUGCUGCAGAAAUUUUGUUAGGCGCACAUAAGGUGGUCAUGGUUGCUGAAAUCGUGGAUAUGGUUCUAAAUCUACCUUGUUAGGCGUGGAUAUGGUUCUUAGUACUUUGAACAAUUUUUGAAUUAAUUAAUAAUUUUAUUUCAUUUAGUUAUUAAUUAUUUACGUGGAAAUAUAAAUAAAUUAAAAAUGACGUGGAUAAUGCCAUGUCAUCUCUGGCCUGCCACUCAGCACUCUCACUGGAGCUCCGACCUCCGGUGAGGACUAGAACCAAAAUGCUUGCAACUACAGGGAGAUAUCGGCUAGUUUUUUUCGGGGAGGGACUAAAAUCAAAAUUCACUACAAACACAGGGACCAAUUUGACCAUUAUCCCAAAAUAAAAUUAUACAAAAAGAAAGUAGUACUUAGGGAACUAAUUCUUUGGAAAUUAAAUGGACGCAAGACUUGUUUAACUAAGGUGAGAAAAGAAAGUUGAACAGCCACAAUAACCGUUAAAAACUGGCCACUAUAAUGCUAGUCAUUCCACUAAAAAAAAAGACAAUCUAGAGAGCUGAAUCUAAAAGUUAAAGUUACAUUAAAAAUGUAGGAGCUUAAUACAGUGACACACAAUAAUUACCAUUCUGACAAAGUAAUGCUACUAAAUUAAGGGUAAAUAGCUCCCAACUUGCACAAAUUUUCUUCAAUUUGAGGCGAAGAAGAGGAAGAACUAUAGAACUCUCCUACUAAAAAUAAUAGACAAAUUAUAUGAGUCACUUACAAAGAACACAUUUGAAAAGUAAAAGCAACGUAAACAAAAUUUAGAUAAGAGGCUAACUUUGCCGGUUAAUAGUGGAGGCAUAAAAUCAAAGUGUAUGGAGCAUAAAAUUUCAACAGCAAUAAAAAGAUAAACAUAACAUUAUGAUGAAAUGUAACUCAUGGAAACUCAAAAACUUACUCAAUGACUCUUACUCCAUGCCACCAAGAACCAUUUUUUUCAACGAAUAAAAAUAUUCACAUCCCAAAGAUGAAUUUCCGAGGAUGAAUCUCACUUCAAACACAAACACAAAUUCAAUUCAUAAGACAAAGCAAUCACUGAGCCCAUACUUUGUUAGCUUCCAGCACUGGUCUUGCAUCAAGCUUAUCAAGGGUGAAAUCACAACCACCACUUUCCCAAUUAACAAUGAGGAAUCUGAAAGCACAGGGACUUACCUGCAUAGAAAAAACCUUCCUGUAAAUAAAUACACAAUUACUAAGAAGCACACAAGAUUAAUCAGAGAGAAAUAACAAAACCAGAUCCUGUUGCAGCAAGAACAAGACAAUCUUCAUUUGCAACCCAAGCAGCUAGGGCUUCCUUCUGAAAACUUUUCAAUGCUGAAAACCAAAAAUGCUUUUGCAACAACUUGCUAACUCUGUGCUCCCAAUCAGAUGCUACAUCCAAAUCUCCAUUCACAUCAGAGUCGCUGACGACAAAGGGAAACUCCGGGACGGUCUCGAUGCGGUGGCCGCGGGCGGGCGAGGAUGAAUGACGGAACAACGGAGGUUGCGAUGGCGGAGACCAGGGCGUGGCGCUUCUGGUUCACGUUGAUCUUGCGGUGCCAGCGACGCCAGAUCUUUGUGGGAGCGAACAUGUGACCACCACGACACAUGUUUCCGAAAGCUCCCUGGCCAGCAUGGUGGGUACAACCACCGGGGACACGGGGGAUACGGGAGAAAGCACGACCAGUUCCUCAAGACUCGGCGAAGCACUGGUGGCCGGCGCGACGGGAGACGGCGAAAGGCUGGCGGCUAUUUUUGGAGAUGUUGAAAUGGGCGAAAUUUUCGAUGUCAGGACGGAUUGAAGCUCUCAUGACAUUAGGGAUGGAAUGGUGGUGGCAGCAUCGGAGGACGCAUCGUCUCUUUUUCUGGUGGUGUGGCCGUGGCUGUUGUGGCUCGCCUGGAAUAGAGGAGGAUGUUGUGGCUCGCUUGGAACAGAGGAGGAGACGAUGGUGCACAACUCUGUCGAGGAAGGAGGAGCCAUAGAAGAAGAGUGGAACAUGGUGAUGUUUCAGCAGAAAGAAAACGAGAGAGAAGGAGAGUGAUGAGAGAGUGAGAGCAUGAAUCAGUUAGAUGAGGGAGAGAGUAAGCGGAUCUGAUUUGAUGAGAGAGGAGAGAUAUGUGCUUGAGAUGAGAGUAUUGAGAUAAGGAGGAGAGAGAGUACAUAGGUGCCUACAUCUCAUUGGUUGAAGGGGAAAGUUGAGAGGGAAAGUUAAGAGAGAAAAUUGGGAGGGAAAGUUGAAAGGGAAAGUUAAGAGGGAAAGUUGGGGGGAAAGUCAAGAGGGAAAGUUGAGAGGGAAAGUUGAAAAUUUGAGCACCUAAAAUCAGGUUGUUUCAGCUAUUUCGUUUGUUAAAUGAUUAAAGAUAUAUGCAAUGAUGGUGUAAACUUUGUUUACACAAACAUCUAAUUAAAUUUGGUUUGGUCAAAAAAUGUGUUUUUAUUUUAAUUGAACUUAAAAAUGAAUGUAAUUCUCUUUUCUAUGUUGUAUACAUUGAUUAGAUUGUUUCAACAAGUCGAGUUGGCUAAUCUUAGUAACUUAUCAACCUUAAAAGCUUAAUUAGGUUGUUUCGACAGGUCAAUCUUAACCAAAAUAUCUAAUCUUAAGAACUUAAAAGCCUCAUAUGCUUAUGUAAUUUUGGCAUAUCGAUCUUGCAUGAACUAGUUAAUAUUAUGAACUUAAGAUCAAGGUUAGCUAACUAUGUGUUGGUUCAAUAUCGGGUUCGUCCUUAUUAUCUAUCGGGUUCAUUCUAAUCAUCCAUCAGGAUCAUAUUGAGAUGGUGAACGAUCUCCUCAUCAUUAAUCACAUGCCACGGCAAUGUCUAUAGCUUAUGAGAUGGUGAAGAUUAAACUAAUACUAAUUGAUAUAUGAAAAGGAAAAUUCAAAUGCAUUGCACCAACAAUAUCUAUAGCAUAACUAAUUAGAUAGAUAUAGCUUAUCUUCUUAAGUAUCUAAUUUAAAGUUUGAUCUUUGAACGGAAUGUAUGAAUAAUUAUUUGUUGAGAGAUAUAUACUUAAUGCGAUCUCAGAAUCUCGAGAGAUUAAUAAUAUCAUUACCAGUUGUGGAUAUACCUUGUGAAAAAAAUACAUUACGUCAAAUAAUUAAAUGAGUAUCUUCAAGUAAUUAAUUAAUUAAUAUUGGAUUAAACUUAAGUAGUUUGAAAAGACAAUUAGUCUGCACCACUUGGCUAAAAUUAAAUAUGGUAAACAUCACACGUUAGGUGCCCAAUCAAAUAGUUAACAACCACUAAUAUAUGAUGUGAUCUGUGUUAUGGGGUGGUAGAUCAUAGGUCUUAUUCAAGCUCAAAACUGACAUGGGCUUCAACUUCACCUUUUUAAUGUACAUGCUAGAAUCCAAAAUUAAGAGUUAAAACUAGGAUAAGUUCAUUGUGAUCAAUGGUCGAUCCCUUCAUUACAGUACAACUAUAUAGAGCUUACAUUGAUAUAUUUACAUAUCUAUGAAAACAUAUGUAUAUAUGAACAUCAAUUUAAUCAGGGAAAUGCGUGUUGGUUAUAAUUUUUUCUUUGUUUUAAAUCAAUAUAUACUCAUCGGAGUGAAUUUUGAUCAUUUAGAUUUUCGCCAAACAACUUGUUCUAUGUUCCUUUUCUCAUGCCUUGAAUAAUGCUUAUUAGAGCAUUGUUCUUUCAUAUUAUCAAUGAAUAACUUGUGUUUACAUUGUUAGAAGUUCGUUUGACAAAAUACCAUUUUGCACUACUUUGAUCCAAUUGGAACACUAAACGAUGAAAUAUGAUGUUUAUAGGUUUUAAAAAGUAAAAACACAUAUAACUAGAAUUUACAAACCACUUGCCUUGAAGAGUUUAAAAGUAUCUAUCUUUACCUAAAUCUUUAAGUAUAUUUUUAUUUAUUUCACAUGUAAGAAAUAUGCAUUUUAAAAUACAUAUGUAUCUGUUAAUCUAAAUAGCAAAAAGUUGAAUUACAUUUUUGUGGUCAUUUGGCCACCAGUCUCCACCGGGAAAAGGAGAAAGUUCAAUUUCAUUAAACAUAUAGUCUUCAAUUUAAGUUAUAUGAAUAAGAAACACUAAAAAUGGUAGGGAAGAAUUAACUCCAUCUAAACGUUACUUAGAUUAAUUAGGAUUAGGAAGUCGCUUUGGCGCUUUGCCAACGCAAUUCAAAUUAGCAAAAAAAACACAUAUCUGGGCCUUUUUGCAUUAGCCCAUUCUGUUGGUUUUUUUUGUUUGGCUGAUGGACCUUCACUUUUCUAUAAGGAUUUGAUUGUUUUUUUUCUUGGGCUAGUUUUUUUUGCUGCUGACCCCUCCUUUUUUGGUGCCAAAAACGCAUAUCUGGGCUUUUUUGCAUUAGCCAAUUCUGUUGGUAUUUUGUUUGGCUGAUGACCUUUUUUUUUAUACUUUGACUCUUUUUUUUGCGCUAACACAAGUUGAUUAAUCUUAAGUUAAGAAAAUCACUAUAAUAGAUAAACCUGAUUUAAGCUCUAGUUUAACUAAGACUAUAGAAUAACAAGCUCUAGUUUAACUGAGACUAUAGAAUAACAAACUCUAGUCUAACUAAGACUAUAGUAUAACUAAGCUUCAGUUAGGAGGGUCAUUAGAAUAACUAACCAUAGUCUAAUCGAGAUAAUAGUAUAACUAACAUUCGUUUAAAAGGGUCAAUGGAAUAACUAACGUUAAGUUAAGAGGUCAAUAAAAUGGAUAAUCCUAGUUUAACGUAGACUUUAGAAUAACUAAAUUAGGUUAAAAGUGUCAUUAUCCAUCAAUUCACUAGUAUUCAUUUAAAUAUUAGAAUUGAUCUAAUUAUAUCCGCAAAUUUGGAAAGAUUUUCAUGAAACGAAUAUCACCGUUGCUUCUGGAAUGGUCGAAACCCUUAGAAUCGGCUCCUCUUGGACCCAAAACGGAUAAAAAUGACCAAAAUUAUUAAAAAAACACAUUACUUAAGUUUAUUCAAAGGCCAAUAUCUGGUCCUAUUUGCAAAUCUGGAAAGAUUUUUAAGAAAUGAACCACACCAUUGCGUCCGGAACGAUCGAAAACCUUAGAAUCGACUCCUCUUGGACCCAAAACGGAUAAAAAUGACCCAAAAUUUCCAAAAAACACAUUCUGCCACAUGCCAGCACGAGAACAAGCUACGUCAGCGUCUCUGACGUCAUCAGGCGCGUGUGUCUCAUAGCUGAGAGUGGCCGCCACUCUCCUUCUUCCUCUAGCGCGAGUGGGGCGCGUGGCCGAGAGUGGGCUCACUCUCCGGCCACCUCGCCGACAAGUGCGGGAGAGUGUGGCUUCGUCCGGGCUCCGUUUGAGAUUCCGGAACUUGUUGCGGACUCGUCUCAGCCUUCUGAAUCCAUCUAUGACCUCAGAUUUUCAUUUUGGGAACUUUUAAAAAUGGGUCAUUUUCGAAAAUGAUGAUUCCGGCCACCUCGAGUCACCAUCAAAGCUCUAGUAUGACUUGUUGGGACCGUGACUUGACGAGGAACAUCGAGGAGACAGAUUUUGCACAAAUUCUCACCAAACAUUGAACAAACAACAACAUAAAAUUAUUUUUCCUAGCUAGUUACCACUUAUGGAACCCAGAAAGUGAGAAUAAUUUUAUGCAGUUAUUUUUCUAUUCUUUCACUAUGAGGGACUGAAUAUGAAUCAAACAGAAAUAAGGGACUGAAUAUAAAUCAAACAAAAAUAAGGGGCUAAAAGUGGGAAGCAGAAUUUAAUUUUUAAAUAGGCCCCUGACGCAUUUACAUUAAUGGCGCCGAAAAAAUAAUAAUUUGACUUUCAGUCCUUUUUUUUUGGGGCACCUGUGCCUCUCCAGAAAAAUGGCAUAUGUAAGCUUUCCCCUAAUUUUUUAAGAAAAAUUUAUCACUAAUAGUCUAAAAUUGUUAUGUUCCAAACUCUCAUUUAUCUAUAGGAAAAAGAAAUGUCAUUAAAUUAAAGUGCAUUUAAUUUAAGCUUGUGUAGUAUACUUCUUUUUGUGUGGUAGACAAACUAAAAAUUUAUAAUUAUAGUACAAAGGUCACCAUUAAGAUGAAGGAUAAGUUAAAUUAAAAAAAGAAGUCAAUGAUAAAUCCUAUAAAAAUUAUGGAUGAUAAGUCUUAUUAUAAGUGCCAAAUUGCUAAUUAAUGAAAAAUGGAAAAAAGUGGGAGUUACGGUAAAAACCCAAGAUGGAAAUCUCGAACCUAUCCUUGGUGAUAUGCAAACUACUAUCCACCAGUACAACAUAGAAACAUACAAAACGAGCAAUUAAUUUUGUUGAUUUUUGAAAAAGUUGAGAAAAUAUGUGGGGUUGGAGUUCCCCGGCAGUGAGGAAGAGGUCAUUCAUGAAUUGACGGAAUUCCUUAGAGAAAAUGAUCUUGUUUGCUCGUAGUGGUCUUUUGUUGAUCUGUGGCUUUUGAGGCGCUUGGGGCUCUUGUUGUUGGGUUUGGGUUGUCUUGGCUUUGAGCCUUUUAGGGCUUUUGGAGUUCUCAUUGUGGUUUAGUUGUUGGUUGCUUUUCCAUGGCUGGGUUCUGUAAUUCUUUCGCGUCUCCUCUUUGAGAGAUUGUACUUUUCUUUUAAUUUUUAAUAAGCUCGCUCUUUUGCUCUCUGAAAAAAGAAAAAGAAAAAGCUCUUUGAGAGAUUGCACUUUUCUUUAAGUAUUAUUUUCUCUCAUCAUUUAAACUCUCACAUUAUUUAUGUUUUCCUUUAUUUCUCAAAAUUUAUUGCAAGAGGGUAUUAUUGGAAAAAAUAUAUUUAAUACAAUCUUAAAUGUGUAAGUCGUCAGUUAAAUAAAAACAAUUUUUUUCAUCAAUUGACAGCUAAAUAGUAACGGAGACAUGGUAGAUUCUAACAUGUUGCUGCAAUGCAAGCAAGCAAGCAAAUUAAUCAUGUAUUCUCCACUAUAAAUACCUAUAUGCAUCAAGCAAUGCAAUCACACCCAAAACCUUGUCUCCAGUUAUUCCCCAUUCAAGCAAGCAAAUUAAUCAUGUUACCUCCAGCAUUAGCUAUACCUGCGUUGCUCCUUCUGAUAUUACUUUUCAUUCUAUCAGUUGCCCUGCUUCUUAAUCCAAAAGAACAUAAAAAUGGUAGGAAAUAUCCACCAGGUCCCAAACCUCUGCCAAUUAUUGGCAACCUCCACCAGCUGGGUAAACUCCCUCACCGAUCCAUGCACGAACUUUCAAAAAAAUAUGGACCCGUCAUGUCCUUAAAGCUAGGAAAGGUCCCAACCAUUGUGAUUUCAUCCCUUGAAACAGCAGAGCUAGUCCUCAAGACCCAUGACAUUGUUUUUGCUAGCAGGCCUAUAACUCAAGCAUCCAAAUACAUUUGUUAUGACAGUAAAGGCAUAAUUUUCACUGAGUAUAAUUCCACUCACUACACCAGAAAAGGGCUUUUACAGCGCCCCUUUUACAGCGGUUUAGGUGGCAGCCGCUGUAACAACACAAACACGGAGCGGUUGAUGGGCUAUUACAGCGUUUUAUUAAACUAACCGCUGUAAAAGCAUUACCUUUUAACAGCGGUUCUCUUAGAAGGCGCUGUAAACACAAAAACACGGAGCGGUAAUAGGCUUUUAUAGCGGUUUAUAUACUGACCGCUGUAAAAAAUAGGUUCCAAUAUUUACAGCGUUUAUUAAACUAACCGCUGUAAAAGUAACGUAAAUAAUAAAAAUCAAGAAUUCAGGUUCCGUGGAUCGAACCCAGGUUCCCUUAAUAAAACGCAGGCUUAAUUGCAGUUUUGCUCCUUUAUCUUUCACCUAUGUGUGAUUUGACUCCUUCAUGUUUAAAACGAGCACAUUUACUCCCUUGUCUUUCAAUUUGUGAAAAUUAACUCCUUCCAUUAGUGAGUUUUUUUAAAAUUGACGGAAUUGACUGACGUGAUGUUCAUUAAAGGACAUGAUUCUGUUAAAAUUGAGCAUUUGGAUGUCAUUUCACUAAAUAAAUAAAAAAAUAAUUAAAUAAGUAAAAAAAUAAUUAAAUAAAACUGAAAUAUUAAUCCCUAAUUAAAUAUGAGUGAAUUUAGUUUUUUUAAUUUAUUUGUGUCAUUUUUAUUUUGUUUAUUUACUUAUGUGUCAUUUUGGGAGGUAAGUUACGUCAUCCUUGAUCGUGGAACAAGCAAAUUCCGCCUGAAAUUAGACGGCAAAUUGACAAAGGGAGCCAAUUUUCACAAAUUAGAAUUUUAGGGACCAAAAUCGCUCAUUUUAAAUAUGAGGGAGCAAAAUCACACAUAGGUGAAAGAUAAGGGAGCAAAACUGCAAUUAAGCCUAAAACGCAAUAGUCUUUCCACUAGGCUAGAUUCACUUUAUGGUAGAUAUGUACAAUUUAUAGUAUUAAUAUAAGAUUUAGUUGAUUUCUUUAAUAAUUGGUUCAAAAAAUGUUCUGUGUGGGAUUCGAACCCGAGGCACCACAGAAAAUAUAAUGAGUCCUUUCCACUGGGCUGUUACACGUUUUUUAUUAGUUUGUUCGUUUUGUAUAUAUAAGUAUUAUUUUCUUUAUUGAUUUUGUAAAAUUACAUCUGUAACUGCAAACCCUUAUUUUUUACCAGUUACAUCUUUCACCAAUCUGCUACCUCACGACGUAAUCUCGACCUGCUACUUCUCUCAAAGCCCUCGCCACCUCCUGCCUCCGCCGUCCUUGCCGUCGCCGCCUCCAUCCCUUCCGCCGCCGCCGCCGCCUCUGCCUCCGUCCCUGCUGCGCCGCUGCCUCUCUUGUUUUGGGUCGCUUCCUGCACGGUUGUUGCCCUGUUCUCAUUAUCAUCCUUUCGAGACUGUAGCUUUGAAGAGCGUUGCUUCCACCGUGUAAAUCAUGAUGUGGAGACUCCAGGUAGCUUCCAUUGCUCAAUGUUCAUUAUUGUUCUAACUCUUGAUCUUGCUCUUUGUUCAUCAUCGCUCCUAUUCUCGAUCGUGCUCUCUUUGCUGUUUGAUCUUGGAUUUAAUGCUCUAACUCAAUGGAUCUCAUAGGCUCUAACUCAAUGGCUCUAUUCGCUAUCAAAAAUCCCUCUUAUGCAGUAUUUCUCGCUCAAUUUCAUCAAUCUAGGUCUUCUCAAGAUCUGAUGCCUUAGUUCAAUAGAUAGUUUAGUCGAAGCUUGUUGUGUUUUAGAUUAAUGUUAGGGUUGUUUUUUUUUUUUUUUGCUAGAUUGACAUUUCAAUUAACAUUGCUUUGUUACUUUCAUCGAGGUGAACAAUGUAUGGUUAGAGGGAACACCCAUCAGUUCCCCUUUCAGCGCUCUGGAAGAGCGAAUUGGCGAAUGAGAAAACUAAGAACCGGAGAUGGUAGAGGCUAGCGAGAACAAGAAAGGAGAGGAUCUCAUGCUACUAAAAAUCGAAUGCCAAAGGGUGGUGGGAGAUGGAGUGUGUACAUACUCUGUUUUUUUAGUAUGUUUCUUUCUUGCGCCAUCACCUCCUGCUUUUCUUUUACUCAGAUUUGAUAGAUUGUGAUUUUGAUGCAUCAAAAAGUCAAUUUUUGUGUGAUGUCUUAUUUUCUAAUACUAGCAUGGCAAGAUGAUAAAGAAAAGUAAAUGAUUGAGUGAAAAUGUUAUGCUAUGCUGCUUGAUGCUGAGUUGCUUUAUAUUUGUCUCACCUUUGUUAUUCAGUUUGAAUUUUUAAAUAUUCUGAACUGUUGAUGCUACACAUGUAUGCAGAGGAUCAGGAGGUAUUCGCCGACUGAAAUUGAAGGCAUACACAAGUAUUUUUAUAACUUCGUAUAUUAAGAGAACAUAUUGAGUACCCUCUCUGGAAGCUAAAUAUUUGCAUGUGCUUGACAAUUUUUUCAGGAAUAUAUACGAGAUGGCAUUGACUGGGCUAAAGUUGAAUUAUACCUGUACCCUUCCUUGGAUGCUGUCAUUUCGGUUCAAACUGAUUUACGGAAGGCACACUUCCAUUAGCAAUGGAUUCACUCUUCUCCUUAUCUCUCUAUGUGGAUAAUGAUGUCUUAUGCUUGAUUGUGUUGUGUUUAUUAGGGUUUCAUUUCGAUUACAUUUCAAAUUUGUUGUUUUGUAUUUGAUUUAGGUUUGAAAUUGAUAUCGUUAACUUAUAAUUUUUAUUUCAGAUCUUUCUCUCUUUGAAUGCUGCAAUUUAAGAUUUGGAUUUGUGGGAGAUGGUGAUUCCGGUGUUGUGUUGCAGGUUUUGGAUGCAUGUGUCGAUCAUAAGAUGCGUUCAGUCUCUCAUACAAUACUUUCUUGAUUCUUCACUCUACUCCACCCUCACAACAUCGAUUCUCAGAAUUGAAGGGAAUAUGAAGAACACCUCUGUCCAAGCAUAGUUGACUAUGCUACAGUCCCCGGAAAAGAAGCAGGUACCACCAGUAUAAAUAAUAAUGCUAGGAAAUCAUCUUGCUCCUGUUCAGGUUUCUAUUUGUCUAUUUGUGUAUUAUUCCUAAUCUAAAGAAAUUAAAGCUAGGAAAUUCCAGAUAAAUUUUGUUAUAGAUGCAUGUGUCUCUUAGUUGGAUAGUGAGUCUAAAUUUUAGAUGUUAAUGUCCUAUAAUGAUAAUUCCUAUGAUUUCCAUCUCAGCUUACAUCGUCUUGUGACUUAAAUCAUAAACAGGUAUUGAUUUUGCAGCAAUAUAUUUUGCAGCAAUCAUAAAUCUGCAGUUGAUGUCUCAUGUUUAAGGUUUGCAUUGUUAUAAUCCAAACUCCACUGAGAAAAACUUUGAGAAAGUUGUUGUAUAACUGAUUUUGUUCUGAGGGAAAUUCCCUCAUCCGGUGGCAAACUGAGGAGAUGUUUUAGAAUAUCUUUCAUCUUUCCAGAACGUCCCGGGUGCAAUAAAAGAGAGAAUUUUUUCGAGACAAAGUCUCGGAGAGUCUGCAAUGCUUUCUGGGUUUCUUCAAUUUUGUAAAUGCAACCUAUGGGUAGCAACUAAAAAUAGAGAUUCAAAUGUGAGAGCACAGGAGCAUAUAAGCCUAUUAAGUGGUUGUAUUGUUGUUAAAACUCUGGAAUGAAACUUGAAUAAGAGUUAUUGUAUGUUUAAUGAAGCUGUGAAUGGAUUUGCAGAUGAUGGCUGGUCCAUGUUAGAGAGUGAUGGCAUUGAUGAUGUCACCCUUCUUGUGAAUUCAUCACCGAGCAAGAUGAUGGGUGCAAAUCUUGGAUAUAACAAUGGAUUCCCAUCCAUGACCAGUUCUGUGCUAUGUGCCAAAGCAUCCAUGUUGUUACAGGUAUAAUUCUUUAAUACUCCAUAAUGUGGACUAAUGCUAUUGCUUAUUGCUCAGCUCUUAGGAAUUGCUUUUACUUUCUAUUGUUUUCAAGCAAUUGAUUUCCAUGUAUUUAGUUGUCUCAUGCUCUUUUUCUGUCUUUGUAGAAUGUCCCUCCAGCUAUUCUUCUUAGAUUCUUGCGGGAGCACCGAUCAGAAUGGGCAGAUAGCAGUAUUGAUGCUUACUCAGCUGCUGCCAUUAAAGCUGGCCCCUGUAGCUUGCCAGGGGCCAGAGGAAGUUUUGGGGGUCAGGUUAUUCUUCCACUAGCUCACACAAUUGAGAAUGAAGAGGCAAGUUGUUUUCUCCUAAUUUUAUAAUCUAGUACAUAUUUACUAUUUAGAAAUUACCAUUUAAUCUUCCAACAUAAAAUUGAAUACAUGUUAACUUGGCUUGUGGAUUAUAUUAACUUUUUUGUGUUUCUCUUCCGGCAUAUUACAUACUAACUGACACUUUAUCUCUAAAAUAGUUCAUGGAGGUUAUUAAGCUUGAAAACAUGGGCUACUAUCGGGACGACAUGACUAUGCCUGGUGAUGUUUUCCUCUUGCAAGUAAGUACUGCUCCAUGAUGCCAUUCUUUUCAACAUAUCUAUGUCCAUACCUUACAGCAUCAUGGAAAAAUUCAUAAAAUUUUAAUUGAGGGAAUGCCUUCAAUUAAAAUCCAUUAAUAUUCUGUUGGUUAAUUUUUCUCAUUCGCUAACUAAUCGUCCCUGGCUUCUAGAGUUUGCAAAGGAUAAGAUGCAUCAAAUAUCAUGAAUGGAUUUGCAUGUAGUUAUAGGAAUAGUCAGGAAUUAAGGAUCUAUAUGAAGUUUGAUUUUAAUUGAAUAGCUAUAACACUUGCGCCUGCAUAUAGUUCAGAAGGUUUAAUCCAAUAUCAAGUUUAUAGCUAACAGUGUUUGUUGCUGCACCUGUCAUCAGCUUUGCAGUGGAGUGGAUGAGCAUGCAGUUGGCACCAGUGCAGAACUAGUUUUUGCUCCAAUAGAUGCGUCUUUCUCUGAUGAUGCACCCAUUUUACCUUCCGGUUUUCGUAUUGUACCUCUUGAUUCUGGCACGGCAAGUCUUUAGCUUGACACAUGAUUUGAUUGUGUUGUUUUUGAAAUUUGCUUGCUUGCUUUAAUUUUCCCUUUUUCUUUAAGUUAGGAUUCUGAUUUCUGUCUUAUAUAAGAUGCAGGAUGCUGCUAGUCCAAACCGGACACUUGAUCUUGCCUCAUCACUUGAGGUUGGAACCACAGCAAACAAAGCUGCUGGUGCCAAAUACAGACAAAAAAAAAAAAAACAAAUUACAGCGGUUCCGUGGUGGAACCGCUGUAAUAUAUAUUAUCAAAUACAGCGGUUACCGGCUGAAACCGCUGUAAAAGAAGACUCAAUUACAGCGGUUAUUCUAGAGAACAGCUGUUGUAGGUCUGUAUUUACAGCGGUUUUAUUAAAUCAACCGCUGUAAAUAAUGCAUCUUUUACAGCGGUUAGAACCGCUGUUAAGGCUUUUACAGCGGCGAGAUCUACAGCGGUUCUGGACCGCUGAAAACCGCUGUAAAAGGCAAAAAAAAAACCGCUGUAAAAGCCAUUUUUUGGUGUAGUGACUACAAAAAAACCUGUUUUUAGUGGCACUAUAUUUGUGGCAUUUAUAAAAGAAUGCCCCAAAGUGAUAUUAAUCUGGCAUUUAAGUAGAAUGCCACAAAUUUGAGAACGCAACCCUAGCUAAUUAGUAGCUAUUUGGCAGCAAAUUACUUGUGGCAUUUAUUUAGAAUGCCACUAAUUUAGGAUCAGAUUCGCAGCUAAUUAGUAGCUAUUUGGAAGCAAUUUUUUAAAGUGAUGAUAUCAAUCUUUUUUUUGAACGUGAUGAUAUCAAUCUAUUAUUUAUAAAAUUGAUAUUGUUAGAAUAUAUAUAACAAACCUCACUGUUAGAAUAUAUAUAUUUUUGAAAGACCGUUAGAAUAUAUAUAUAUAUAUAUAGAUAAUUUAACAUUCAAGGUUUCUUUUUUUUCAUUUUAAAAAAAUGGUUUCUUUUUUUAAUUUCAAAAAAAAGGUUACUCUUUCUUAAAAAAUAUCUUGCUCGAAAAUCACUCAUUCAACAAAAGUGAACAAUAUAUCUAUAGCUAAGUUGAAAAUCACCCACUGAACAAUCAUCGAACACACGCAUUCAUCUCUCACUCGCACAAACUCUGCAACUCUGCACCGAUCGAAAUUUCAGCGUCGCGCAUCAUCGCCGCGCAUCACCGCCGCGCAUCGGUUGUCUUCACCACCGUGACAGAGCUUCCGGAACACCACAACCCUCGCCUCACUCUCUUACUGGUUAUCUUUCUCACUCAUCUAUAUCUCUAGGGUUUUUCUGUUUGCUUAGAUUCCAAUGUGUGUGCGUCUUCUCCUCUAUAAUUUUCCGAUUCUGAAUUCCGAGUAUUCCAAUUUUGAAUUUUGAGUUUUCCAUUGUGCGAAAAUGCAGAAUCGAAGAACGACAAGGAAGAAGAAGGGAAUGGAAUUGAGUUGAUUGUGUGUGAGAACCGAACAUGACAUCGUUUGUUGCUCACUGAAGUAGGUAAAAUCAAACCAAACCAAACCUUCUUGACCUUAAUUUCAUGCUUUAAUCUCUCACUCGAUGUGUUUGCUUUCAUUUCUAUGCAUCGCUACUUGAUUGUUGAGGAAAUCGUGUAAAACAAGUGAGUCUAUGUGCGUUUGCGUUUGCGUUUGUGCCAGCGCAUGCAUGCCAGGUGUUUGAUGAAAUUAUUGCUUCAUAUGUAUCCCUGUUUUUUAUUGUUGAGAGUGUCAGAGAUCUGUUUCAUGAGUCUAAUUCUUGUAUCAUGAGAUCAUGUUCUGUUUUAAGGUGAUUUUGGUACUAUCUUGUAUAUACUUUUCAUUACAUUGCUGAAUUAUGCUACUGAGGAUUGGCCUGCUGAAACAUGUACUCUUAAUCCUAAUCCUACUCUAACCAUCAGAUUGGUCCAAGUAGGAUUAGGCCAUUAGUUUCCCUGGUGAAAACAUUUACAAGUUUGAGUAAUUUUAUGUUACAACUUCCCCUAUUUGUUUUUUCUUUCUAGAAUUGAGUCACUAAACCCUGCACAUUAGAACGAAUGCUGAUGGUUAGUACUGUCAAUUUAUUAAAAGGCAAUGGCUAUUACAAUUUGCUGAACAGGGCAAUUAAAUUGCUCACUUCAAUUUGUUGAAAAACAGAAAAAAGUUGUUCUAUAUCCAUUUAGACUUAGUUACAAUUUUAAUCCUUUCUUGCCCUGAUUUUCUUGUCUCAUUGUCUAUAUCCAUGUAAUCUGUAGCUAUUGUUAGUUUGGGUCUGUAUCUUGCCUCUGUAUCAUGCAUAAAAUCAAGUGAUCUAAAGCUAAAUUGAACUGCUCUCUCUUCUCGCUCCAGCAUGUUUUUUUUUAAUUACUUUUGCUGGAUAUAGUAAGUAAUUCUCUCUCUUCAUUGCUCUCAUUUCCUAUGCAGAUUCUGGUCUGGAACGAACUGCUUUCUUUCUUUCUCCUUCGUAAGGAUCUCUCUCGGGUUCACAAGGUACCCUCUCUCCCCUACUUGCUUUCGGUUUCAACUUAGUUACACGAUCACCAAAAUGGAUAAAUCAUGGAUUGAUAUGCCGCGAAACACAGUUGAAUAUCUUGAGGGGUUAGAUAAGUUUCUAAACUUUGCGUUUGAGAAGCGGUCAGUUGAUGGUGUAAUAAGAUGUCCAUGUCCUAUAUGUUGCUGUAAUAAAUGGGAAAGUAGAGAUGUAGUGCGUGACCAUUUGAUUUGCAAGCAGUUUCCAAAAAAUUAUAAGGUUUGGAUAUGGCAUGGUGAAACAUAUGAAAGUAUGACAUCAAGGGACACUGAAGUAAUAUCGGAGCCACUGCAAAAUGAAAAUCCAGUACUAGACAUGAUUAAUGAUUAAGUGCGGAGGGCCAGUACAUUAUCGUUGGAUGUAUCCAAUUGAGAGGUUAUUUCUUUUUAAUGCAUUAAACUCAUUUAUUAUUUUAUAUAAUUAUUAAAUAUGUAAUAUAUUAUUUUAAUACCUUUUUGUGAUCAUAGGUUUUUAGGACAUUUGAAGUCCUUUGUACGAAAUAAGGCGCAACCGGAAGGUUCCAUAAGUGAAGUUUACUUAGCUGAAGAGACACUCAAUGUGUAUUCACGAUAUGAAGGUGUUGAAUCGAGGAUGAAUAGGAGUCGCCGUGUUGAUGAUAAUCCAAAUAAUAAUGAAACUUCUCAAAUGUCCUCCAUUUAUCCUCAAUUAGGUAGACCAGUGGGGAGUUCAUCAACUUUCACUUUGGGGCCUUUAGAAAAAAUACAAGCGCAUCGAUUUUUGCUGCUGAAUUGUCCAAGAGUCAAGCCAUAUGUUGAGUAAGUAUUCUGAGGCAGUUCAUGUGAUUAUGAGAGUAAGAAUAUAUUCGUGCAUUAUUAACAUAAAACUUUUUUUUGUAGUGAAUUUAGAGCAUUCAUUAGGAAGAGGAGUAGAAAUCGAAGACCUUCAGCUACAGACAUAGAGAAGAUAGUUGCUAAAGAUUUUGCAAAUUGGUUUCCUCAACGGGUGAUGAAUCCAGACACUACAAACUCAAUUCCAGAUGAAAUCAAGUUUCUAGCCAGAGGUCCAAUGUCGUGUGCAAAAAGAUAUAGUGCAUAUAACAUCAAUGGGUUCAAGUUUAGAACGGUAGAUAGAGAAGAGGGUCUACAAACUCAAAACAGUGGAGUUUUUUUGACUUCAAACACACCAUGUGUUGCAAGUAGUGCUGAUGCAAAUUUAAGGCGAGCGGAUUUGCCAUACUAUGGUAAACUUGAAGAUAUAAUUGAGCUCAACUAUUAUGGUUAUUUCCAAGUUGUCCUUUUCAAGUGUAAAUGGGCAGAUACCACACGCGAUAGAGGGUUUAGAAAGGAUGCUUGGAAAUUCUCUUCAGUGAACUUUUCUCGAUGUAUUCACACUGGUGAUAGGGAAGAGCAUGAUCCAUAUAUCGAAGCUUCACAAGCACAAUUAGUGUAUUAUGUGGAUGAUGAGGUCAAUAAAGGUUGGAGUGUUGUGGUGCAUAUGAUGCCAAGGGAUUUGUAUGACAUGGGAGAAAUUAUGGAUGAUAUUGAAAGUGAGGCAUACCAAGAGCAAGACUUAAGCAAUUUAUUGUCAAAUGAAGAUGACACAAUAACAUUGGCUAGAGAUGAUGUAGAUGGUGAAUUCAUAUAUGGAAAUGCAGAGAUGAAUGAGUAGAAAAAAAUAAAAAGGGAAUAUCUUUGGGUAGUAUGACACAUGUUUUUAAGUUCAUUUAACUUAUGAUUAUUAUUUUAUACAUGUUGCCAUAUGGGCAAGCAGCAGUACUUCUUUCUAAAGCUUGUGGAUGCAUUGCUAGAGACCCUGAUCAUGUUCCUAUCAAUUUUGAAAGUUGGAAAGCAGUACUUGAUGAUUACAAAAAGGAGUGCUUUAAAAUUUUGAAGGUACGCAAAUUAUAUUGUCAAAUGUGUACUUUUAUGUUCUAUUUUUCUGGUUUCUGUUCUGUUUCUGUUUCCUGUCUAUGUACUGCUGGGAUGUUGCAUUUUACACUUGGUAUCAGAGCCUGAUGGGGAAGUAGGAACAUGCUAAAUAUGUUAGAUAUAAGUUAUUUCUCUGUUCUGUUCUUAUAUAAUUAAGCACUAUGGUCGGGAACUGGACUGGUAGUACACUUUGAACUAAACUAAAAUGAAAGCUCUUCUGAAAACCUUCUAGGAUUAUUACUAUUCAGACUUAUGAUCAUCUCUGCAGCGGAGGCGUUGAAGGCAGUAAGUCCCUGUGUGGCAGUAAGUCUAUAUUGGCCAUACUACAGACAUGUUAUUAAGUUCUGAAUAUUUUUAAUGUCCUUGUUUAGUUUCUUUUUGUGGUGGCUUAAGUCUGAUCCAGAUCUAUACUGCUCAACUAUUAAGAACAACGCAGAACCUAACUUAUAUUUCUAAUUUAUUUAUCUGUUUCUAUAGAACCAGGUGAUGGCGAUGAUACUUACGGGUAAGGAAGGUCUGUCUUCUAUGAUGCUUCGCUCUUUCUCUUCUAAGCUUUCUUUCAGAUCUUCCCAACCCUCUUCUUCUUCUAUCGAUCAUCCUCAUCAAUCCAAUCAAUUAUCCAAAUCUGUCUUCAAAGAAGAAAUUCAUUUUGAAGAUAUCAAUCAAGAUCUCGACAACUGGGAAAUCCCUAAAAUCUCUCAUGCUGAGAUCUACAAACCAAACGGAUCCUUUUUCAAACGAUCAGACUUCAUCAUCAAAACCGUUGAGCAAACCUACAAGCUCAGAUCUGAUAAUGAAGAAAUCCAUCUGCUUUCUGAGAAAAGCGUCAAAGAUCAUAUCAGCAAGAACUUCAACUAUCUUCACAUAGAUCUAACUGUCAGUCUGGAAGACAAAAACAUCCUUGACGUUCUCUUCCUAAAUAUCAAGCUUCACGGCCUUGAUAUGAAAGAAGAUUCCAUACCAAUCUCUUUGAUCUACAGGGUUCAAUACAAGGUAAUGAACUCUAUCAAAUCUUAUUUCUUGCGAACCAAUUGUGAGAAAUCCGGAGAAACAACUCUUUUCCUUACAGAUUAUGAUAAGGCAAACGUUAUUGUUCCCAAAACCAUCCAAUGGAGUGAUAUCACCCUUCCAGAGAAAUGGUCUUUGGAAAAGAAACCCUUUCUAACCUGCCACCUAAAACUCCUUUCCUUCUUAAAGGAGCUCAAUCUACACCUGUCCUAGCUUCUCCCUUCAAGACUAGAAAAGAAGAAGGGGAUGUCACUGGAAAAGACAUCAAAGACCUCAUGGAACAAUCCAAUUACACCAAUAAAUAUCUUCAAAUUCUUGGAGAAUCCCAAGUACAGGAUUCCUCUUCCAAGAAAGGAAAAGAAAAGGUCAAGAUUGAACCUUCCUCUUCUAAUCUUGAUAUCCCUAAAGGAUGUCAACUUGAGAAACCCCUUUUCAAACCUUUUCAAAUCAGUAGCCGUUCCAAACACUCGGCUCAAACUCUUCGAGCAAAAAAGGAAUCUGACAAUGAGCUCCUCCAAAAAGUGGUAGAGCAACUUCAGCUUCUCAAACAAGUUAUUCCUGAGACUCCGGAACCUCCUGAGACUCCGGAACCUACUCCGGAAGAAGUUUCUAAUCCCACUAUUACUGCUCUUCCUCCUCCAAAAACUCGUACUUCUACUCGUAAUACCUCUACUUCUUUAAAUAAUAUUGAAGAUGGUAAGGUUGAGUCUGAUUCUGAUAUUCAAUCUGACGUUCAAUCUAUCAAAAGUAUUCCUGUCAAUACUGUCAUUCACAAUUCUAAGAAUCAGUGGAGGAAAGAAACCAAGCUCUACUAUCCUAGAGCUACUGCUCCUGAUCUUCUUUUAGAAGAAUCUUCAAACUUCAAAAGCUUCAGUGCCAACAAUGUCUAUGAAUGGAACAUUGAUGGUGAAAAUGAGUAUGGUAUCACCAAAAUCCUCCAAAAUAUGACUAUGGUAGCCACUGCCUAUGUUACCGCCAACAAUUGUCCUGAAUCUCUUAUCGUUGAAGUCUUGGUUGCUGGUUUCUGUGGCCAGCUCAAAGGUUGGUGGGAUAAUUAUCUCACUCAAGACGAGAAGGAUCAGAUCUUGACUGCUGUCAAGACUGAUGAAGAAGGUAAUCCUAUCAUGGAAGAUGGAAAAUUCAUCUCUGAUGCCGUCAACUCCUUAAUCUUCACCAUAGCCCAACAUUUUGUUGGAGAUCCUUCCCUCAUCAAGGACAGAUCUGGUGAUCUUUUGUCCAAUCUUAAGUGCAAAUCUUUGGGUGAUUUCAGGUGGUAUAAAGAUACCUUCCUAACCAGAGUUUACACCCGUGAAGACAGCCAACAAGCCUUCUGGAAAGAGAAAUUCCUGGCUGGUCUUCCUAAAUCUUUUGGCGACAAAGUUCGUGAGAAACUUAGAAGCCAAAAUCCGGGGGGAGAAAUCCCAUAUCACACCCUUAGUUAUGGACAGCUCAUAGCUAUCAUUCAAAGAGUUGCUCUCAAAAUCUGUCAGGAUGACAAAAUCCAACAGCAACUCACUAAGGAGAAGUCUCAAAAUCGCAGGGAUUUGGGUACUUUCUGCGAACAAUUUGGAAUUCAAGGUUGUCCCAAGAAACCUAAACCCAGAAAGCAAGAUCCUCCUCCCAAACAACAAUGGAGAAAGAGAUCUAGCAGGAAUGAUCAUAGGAAACCCAAGCCUAGAUCAAAACCCCAAUCUUCGCAAAUUCCAAAGAAUCCUCCUGAGACUAGACCUUCUCAAGGAAAAGAUGUUACCUGCUACAACUGCGGCAAGCCGGGCCAUAUUAGCAGGUAUUGCAGACUCAAAAAGAGAAUCUCUGAGCUUCAUCUUGAACCUGAAAUUGAAGACAAGAUCAACAAUCUUCUCAUUCAAACUUCUGAUGAAGAAGAAUCUAAUCCUUCGGAUUCUGAGGUCUCUGAAGACCUAAAUCAAAUUCAGAAUGAUGAUUCUCAAUCAUCAUCUUCCGUCAAUACCUUGUCUAUCAAUACUUUGACCAAUGAACAAGAUCUUCUCUUCAGAGCUAUUAAUUCUAUCCCUGAUCCUGAGGAAAAGAAAAUCUAUUUGGAACGCCUCAGAUCUACUCUUGAAGAUAGGCCUCCCAAAAGUCCUAUAACCACCAAUAAAUUCAAUCUUAAAGAUACUUUCAAGCGUCUUGAGAAAUCUACGGUCAAGCACGUUACUAUUCAAGACCUUCAAUUUGAAGUCAAUUCCCUCAAGACUGAGGUCAAAAGUCUCAAGCAAAUCCAAAAAAGUCAGCAACUUAUUUUGGAGAAAUUGACUAAAAAUUAUGAAGAAGAUGAUUCUUCUAUACCUGAUUCCAAUCCUGCUCCUAACAACAAUUGCGAAGACUUUCUGGAGAAUAUUAACCAGGUCACCAUUCAGAAAUUCUUUAUCCAUGUUAAAAUCCUCAUUGGAGAUUUUGUUCUCGAAAUCCCUGCCCUCUUUGACACAGGGGCAGAUUCCAGUUGUAUCUCGGAGGGACUCAUUCCCACCAGAUAUUUUGAGAAAACAACUGAGAAGCUCAGCGCUGCUGAAGGAUCUAGACUAAAGAUCAAGUAUAAAAUCCCCUCAGCUAUCAUCAAAAAUGGUAGUCUUGAAAUCGAAACUCCAUUUCUGUUAGUCAGAAAUUUGAGUCAAAAAAUCAUUAUAGGGACCCCUUUCAUUAAGAAACUCUUCCCCUAUAAUACUGACGAAAACGGCAUCACUGUUCAGCAUCUUGGACAACCUAUCUUGUUCAAAUUCUCUGAACCUCCCAUAGAUAAGACUUUGAACGUCAUAUCCUACAAGGAGAAGCAGAUCAACUUCCUCAAGGAAGAAAUCUCUUACAGAACCAUUGAGGAACAAUUGCAACAACCUUCUGUUAAAUCAAGGAUUGAGGAUAUUUUGGAAAAUAUUCAAUCCAGCAUCUGUUCUGAUCUACCCAACGCUUUUUGGGAAAGGAAGAGCCAUAUGGUGGAACUUCCUUAUGAAAAAGAAUUUUCAGACAAACAGAUCCCAACCAAGGCUAGACCUAUUCAAAUGAAUGAAGAACUUCUUCAUUUCUGCCAAAAGGAAAUCAAUGAUCUCCUUGAAAAGAAACUUAUUCGCAGGAGUAAGAGCCCUUGGUCCUGUGCAGCCUUCUAUGUCAACAAACAAGCUGAGAUAGAACGAGGAACCCCUAGGCUGGUUAUUAACUACAAACCUCUCAAUCAAGCCCUUUGUUGGAUCAGAUAUCCUAUCCCCAACAAGAAAGAUCUCUUAGCCAGACUGCAUGAUGCUAAGGUCUUUUCAAAAUUCGACAUGAAAUCUGGCUUUUGGCAAAUCCAAUUGCAAGAGAAGGAUAGGUAUAAAACUGCUUUUACUGUUCCUUUUGGGCAGUAUGAGUGGAACGUUAUGCCUUUUGGGCUAAAGAACGCCCCUUCUGAAUUCCAAAGGAUUAUGAACGAAAUCUUCAAUCCUUAUUCCAAAUUCACUAUUGUCUACAUUGACGAUGUUCUAAUCUUUUCCCAAACUCUUGAUCAACAUUUCAAACAUCUCAAUACGUUCAUCUCUGUAAUCAAAAGGAAUGGCUUGGCUGUUUCCAAGACAAAAGUCAGUUUGUUCCAAACCAAAAUCCGAUUCCUUGGUCACAAUAUCCACCAAGGAACCAUCAUUCCGAUCAAUAGAGCCAUCGAGUUCACUGAUAAAUUCCCUGAUCAAAUCAUUGACAAAACCCAAUUACAGAGAUUCUUGGGUUGUCUCAAUUAUGUUGCGGAUUUCUGUCCUCAACUCAGUACCAUAAUCAAACCCCUUCAUGAAAGACUCAAGAAGGAUCCUCCACCUUGGUCCGAUAUUCAUACCAAUGUGGUCAAACAAAUCAAACUUCGUGUCAAGAAUCUCCCUUGUCUUUAUCUCCCUAAUCCUCAAGCUUUCAAAAUUAUUGAAAAUGAUGCCUCUGAUAUUGGUUUUGGUGGCAUUUUGAAACAAAAGGUUUCUGACAAAGAACAAAUUAUUGCUUUUACUUCAAAGCAUUGGAACCCUGCUCAGCAGAAUUAUUCUACUGUCAAAAAAGAAGUUUUAGCAAUCGUUUUGUCUAUUUCAAAAUUUCAAUCUGAUUUGAUCAAUCAAAAAUUCUUGGUUCGAGUGGACUGCAAAUCUGCCAAAGAGAUUUUACAAAAAGAUGUCAAAAACUUAGCUUCAAAACAUAUCUUCGCCAGAUGGCAAGCUAUUUUAAGUGUUUUUGACUUUGAAAUUGAAUAUAUAAAAGGAUCUUCAAAUUCUCUCCCUGAUUUCCUCACUCGUGAAUAUUUGCAGGGCAGAUCAUAAGAUGGCCUCCAAAGGCUCUUCCUCAUCCAGAGGAAGAGGCAGAGGUUCUCACAAGAACAAAGGUAUUACAAUUUAUGACUUAAUCCUCUCUGGGCCCACUGCCCAUCAAUCUGGACCCACUGUCCAAAAUCAAAAAUCUGAGCCCACUGCUCAAAAUCAAUCUCCCCAACCAAAACAAACCAAAGCAGAUUAUGCUUUAUCAAUUCCAACUCUCCUUGCCCUCAAACAAGCAGGCCUGGAUAAUGUUCCUCAGGGACUCAUCAAUUUACCCAAAAAAUCCUGGGCUAGCAUGACAGAAGAAGAUGAUGACCUUCAAUCUCUCCAAGCCAUCAUUGAUAAAACCAAAACCUUAGCAACUCAUUGCGGGAAAAAACCCGUUGUUGCUCAACCCAGUCAACCCAACCAAAAUACCGGUUAUCUAGCCAAAAUAAACUCCAAAUUCCAAACUUUUAUUGAACCAGAAUGGUGGGAUAGCUCUGGAGGAGUCGACCUUGCCAACAAAAUUGGCAUUAAACUCUUCCCAAAUCACCUUGAUCCCAUUCACCCAAACAAAUCCCAAAUUUUCUAUGAGUUUAUCCUUAUAGAUACAAACAGUGUAGAAAUCAAACACUUUAGGGAUAAAUCUGAUAACUCCCUUAUCACUCAUUCUACACUCCAAAUUCUCCGUGUCCUUCGUCCCACUGACUUUGGACCUAAUCCAAAUGGUUACAAAAAAUUCUCUCAGAACUUUGACCCUGUAGGUUUCAACUAUUGGGACUAUAUGAAAGCUUGGGAGAAUACAAUCCUUGGUCUACAAAAUCAGAAUUUCAAACACUCUUGGCUCAUUUAUUUUAAAUGGUCCAACAAAUAUUCUUUUCCAAAUUGGUUUCACUCUUGGUGGGAUUUCUUUGGACCUACUACGGAAAUCUUUCCCUCUGAAGUUCUUGAGGGUUACAAUCAUUUUUUAAAGCAUUGGAAUAAAGAUUUAAACAAUUAUCCUGAUUGUUUGAAUUUUUACACAAUCUUUUCCCUUUCUUGGGUAUUUGCCUGGCGUUAUGGUCUCAAGACAAAAGCCCAACCAAUUCUCCACAAACAACCCUUAAUCAAAUGGUGGAAGGUCUUUGAUGCUUCCAAAGCUCAUAAGGAGAAUGUCAAUCAGUGGUUUAAGUCUAACCAAAGGUGCCUUAAGCAUGCCAAUCCGCAAUCUAGUCUCUUGCUCAAUCAAAAGGCCCACAUCACAGCGGCCCUUGCAGGAGCUUCAACAGAAGAAGACUUGCUGAAGAAUCUCCAAACAGCUCUGCAAUUAUUGAAAGAAAAGGAGCCAAAGGAGCAGGCCUCAUCCUCAAAGGCCCCUCAGCAGAAAACUUCCUCACAAUCUUCUUUCGGGUCAGAUCUUGUCCCGGAAACACUGGAAUCAAGUGAAGAUGACCUCUGCUAAAGCUUUGUCGUCUUUUUUCAUUAUGUUUUGUAAUAAUUCAAUCUCAAUUAUUGUAUUCCACUGUAGCAACAGUAGAACUUUUUACUGUAGCAAAUAGUGCCCGUCAAAUAGUACCGUCUACCGGAACUAUUCAACCGGAACUAUUCAAACAGUGACCAAAUUUUUCUUUAAAUAGGCAUCUUCUGAGCUUUGUUAGGCAGAGUUUGGCAUAGCCUAGAUAGAGAGUUAUAGAGAGAGAAAACACUGAGAGUCCUUCUGUAAGUUCUCUUUCAGUUUUCCUUUCUUCAAUCUUUUCAGUUGUUCAGUUUUUAUAUUUCAGUUUUUGUAACCUAUGUUUAUGUAAUAUAUUUCCUCCAGUUUUAUUUUUUUGUUUAUGGAAGGCUGAGCCUCCUGUUUUAAUUCCUGUCUUUUAAUUUCUGCAAUUUAAAUUUCUGCUACUAGAAGCCCCUCCGUGGUGGCGUCCUACUUCUCUUCUUAAUCCUCAUCUCAUCCCCCUCCUUCUGUAUAUAUAUAUAUAUAUAUAUAUAUAUAUAUAUAUAUAUAUAUAUAUAUAUAUAUUUGGUAUUUCUAAAAACAAAUUAUUGAGUAUUGAAUUGUCUUUUAACCUUAACACUAACAAUUAUCUUUUUUGUUGAAGAAUCUUUUUCAUUUUCAGGCACCGGAGUUAAUUGCUAAGCGUUAUUGCUUUCUUACCAUGGGGAAAAAGUAUAGUGUAAAUUCAGGUUCCCUCUGACACGAUUGUCCUGCACGAUGCUGGGACAAGAGGUUCGACAACUGCUUAACAGUGAAACAAAACUUAACAACAGAAACAAUAACACACAGUAAUUGUUAACCCAGUUCAGUGAAAACUUUCACCUACGUCUGGAGGGUUUGCACCCAAAGAAAGGAAAUCCACUAUCUCAAGAUUCAGGAAUUACAGACACUCAUGAACACCUCAGUUCAUAGUUCACUUCCUAAUCUACCCAGUGUAUUUCUACUUAGAAUCUCAACCUAAGUAUGAGAGCCCCUCUCACUUCCUCUCAAUCACUGCCACAGUGAUUGGUAAACACAAUGAACAAUCAGAGUUUGAAUGUAAUCAAACAACACAGAACCCUUCUUUGCUUUAUAGAAUCAGUGAGCAAAGAGGAUUCACAAAUAACAAGAACGAAGCACAAUAACAAAUCCUAAAACACUCGAUCUCUCUCUAUCAGCUUCGGUCAUCUUCACGUUUUAGGUCUUCAUCCUUUUAUAGACUUCAGCAGCGGUAGCAUGGGCUUUAGGGUUGGCACGGGCUGAAGAAACAGAUAUCAGUAACAGCAAUUCAAAAACACAAUCUUGAUAGAUUCGGUUUCUUAUUGCACAAGUAACGAUAGAAACCAAUCUUUUAGCAAAGAUUGUUUCAACAAAUAACAACCCCACAAUUAAAACCCUUCUGGAUAGCUACUUGCUCCUCAAGUAACUCAAAAACAUAUCUUCAGUAAAUCUUCAGAGGGCCCACAAUAUAAACACAAGCUGAGGACUGAUGUCCUAGCCUCACGAGGUCAGAUGCCACGGCAUCUGCUUCGACAAUUAGUUGUUUUGACAAAAUGCAAGGCAACAUGUUCCAACAAUCUCCCCCUUUGUCAAAUUUUGUCUAAAACAACUCACAAUCAGAGAGGAUAAAAACAAGAGAAAUAACUCUCCCCCUUAGUCAGAGCUCCCCCUCAAACAGAUGCAUCUACACAACCAACUACCAUACUUCAGAAGGCAUAGUCGGAACAAACACAUUUUAACAUCGCAAACACACAACCAGAGGUACAAUCAACCUUAGCACAUGAUGUCUUCAAAAUGGGUCAGCUUGGACAUCAUCAUAUCAAAAAUACUACCAUCAGAAGCUGGCAGCACAUACCCAGAAGUACAGCUAACAGAAAUACUGCUCAUCAGAAGCACCGUCAGAAAUACAACUCAUCAGAAGUAACAUUUCAGAAAACAAACAUAGCCAUCGUCUUGAACUUGUCUUCAGACCAGAGCUAACACUAUCAGAACACACGUAGCACAGUAGAAACAGAAGCAACUUCACCUAACUUCUGAGAACAUGAACAUCUGAACCACAACAAACUUCUGAUCUGCGAACAUCUGAACAAAAACAACUUCUGAACCACUAACUUCUGAACAGAAACAUCUGAAAAAAAACUCUUCACUAACUUCUGAAACCUCAAAACAGCUGAAACAUAGAUCUUCACUUAAACAUCUGAUCAUAAAACACAUGCAUACUACUCCCCCUUUUUAGCACAAAUUUGCAAAGGGUGCACGAAUACAGCAGAAACAAAACACACUAGUCUUCAGAACUGGAGUCCUUUCCAGAUCCUUCUGCAUUUUCCUCUGCACACUCUUCAGAUCCUUCCUCCUCUUCAUUACUCACAUUCGGAGCAGCAGCACGUUGCUCACCAUCUUGACGUUCUUCUUCUUGUAGCUUGAGUAGCAACGCAUCAACUUUGAGCUUCCUGGCAGUGCUCACCCUGAUUGUCUCCUGCAAAGCCUUGGAAACUUCCAGUAAUUCAGCUAUGAUGGCCUUAGCGUCAGAUUCAGUCACAGGAGGAGCAGAUGUUCUGCUGGUUGGUAAGGCAAUGUCUAGAACAUGUGGCUCCAUAAACAAACGGUGAUCCAAAGUGAUUGGAACUCCACGAGACAUAGCCACAUCAUCUGCCCUCAGAAUCUGAGGAUGUUGCUUUAAGAUUAUCUCAGUAAGAAGUGAAGGAAAUGAAACAGGCAGCUUCACAGCACAAGUAUCAGCAUGCUUCAAUGUCUGCUCAAACACAAAAGUUCCAAAGUCAAAAGCCAUAGACUUGCCAAUCCUAUAGAUCAAUUUGGCAAGCGUUGCAGAAACACCAGAAGUAUGUUGAGUAGGAACCCAAUUCACAGCACCAAUCCGGUUAAGAAUAGCAUACUUCACACUCAGAUUUCCAGGAGACAACAACUUCUUGCUGGGCCACUUCUUCACAUGACCGGCAGUAAGCUCCUUGGCAACAUCAUCCAUGGACACUUCUUCAUCAACAAAUUCAAUAGCACUUCUUCCAUGUGCUUGAUUGAUCACAGCAGGUGAAAACAAUACACAUUCAGCCCGUACAUAGACUUUUCUGAACUCUGCACUAUCAGGAAGUCCCACAUCAACAGAGAGAUUCACCAGGAACUCUCUCACAAGCUUCUCAUAGCACCUUCCAACAUUCUGAAUAGUCUUCAUCAGACCUGCUUUCUCAAUAAGUGCAAUAACAUCUCUGCAUUCAAGAACAUCAGAACCAACAUCCCUUUCCUUGGCCAUUCUCCUCUUGCAAACAAACUUCCACUUCUGAACAUUCUCUUCUAAGUGGAAAGACACUCUAUCAAUAGGGACAGCAGGAACAUUCUGAGGAACACGCUUACCAGAAAACUUCUUUGUAUCAGAAGAUCGAAUGUCCUGAACACCGACUUCAACAUCUGACUCAGAGUCUUCAACUUCAACUGGAAUCUUCCUCUGCUUGUUCUCAGUGGGAGCCUUUGCGUCCUUUUGCUUCCCCUUACUCUUCACACUGACAUGUCUAGAUUUCUUUGAUGGAGUAGGUGUGAUUUCAGGAGAAGAAAUCCUUCUUUUCUUCUUCAUUCUCGCAGCAACACUAUCAGCAAAAGUCUCAGUCAGAGGAACAUCAUCAGAAGCAUCAUCAGAGAUGUUCUGAACAGAGGCUGGAUCAGCAUCCUUCGAAGAGGAUGAAACAGAGAUAUUAGGCGUGGUAGCAUCGCCUGAAUUUUCAUGAGAAGUGGAAUCCUUUCCAGGAGUUUCUUGAGCAGAACUUUCCUUAGACCCAGUUGCCUCAACAUCAGCCACAACAUCAGGCACAACUUCAGGAGGCGAUUUCACUGGAGAAUCUUCAUCAUUGAUUUCUUCUUCGUCAGGAACAUCCUCAAGGAUAGAAACAUUUGGGGCUUUGCUGUUCUUGACCUGUGAUUUGUAGACCUUACAUGUUGGGUUUCUUGAUCGCAUCUUCUUGGAGGCUUUCUUGGACACAAAAGACGGUUGAGAAGGAUCACUCUUCAAACCCAUACACUUGACUCCUUUAGCAGUUCCUUCAAUCUUGGCCUUGACAGAUUCCUUCUUUCCUGAACUUUGAGACAUGACGAAUCGAGAGGAAAUACAAACAAAGUUCAGAACAAUGAAACAAAUUUGCAAAUGAGAGAUGAUGAGUCUUGAAGAAGAUAGAUGCACAAGCGGUUGAGAGAACACAAUAUGCCCGUUGGAGGUAGUUAUAGGAUAUGUGAACCAUGAAGUAACUUUCUCUCUGCUGAUGUCACAACGGCUGUUAAUGAUGACCAAGAAUAAACUAGCCGUUGACACACUAGGGCACGCUAAUUGCUAUGCAUCAGAAAGACAAAUCCCUAUACUUCCUCUUAAUUUUUCAAAAGUGAUAGCAUCAAGGGGUUUUGUGAAAAUAUCAGCCAACUGCUUGUCAGUUGUCACAUGAUCCAAAUUAACAAUUUUCUCCUCCACCAAGUCUCUAAUAAAAUGAUGUCUAAUGUCAAUAUGCUUGGUCCUGCUAUGCUGUAUAGGAUUCCUUGAAAUAUUAAUUGCACUGAGAUUGUCACAGUACAAUGUCAUGACAUCCUGUUCAACAUCAUAUUCCUUCAGCAUUUGCUUCAUCCACAUGAGUUGAGUACAACUACUUCCUGCUGCAAUAUAUUCCGCUUCAGCUGUAGACAAUGAGACACAAUUCUGCUUCUUGCUAAACCAUGAAAUCAAAUUAUUCCCUAGGAAGAAACAACCACCAGAUGUGCUUUUUCGAUCAUCUGCACUACCUGCCCAAUCUGCAUCACAGAAACCAACUAACGAAGAAUUUGUAUCAUGAGUAUAGAGAAUACCAUAGUCACUCGUGCCAUUGAUGUACUUGAUAAUUCUCUUGACUUGUAGCAGAUGACUAGCCUUAGGAGCUGCUUGAUAUCUUGCACAUACACCAACUGCAAAGGUGAUAUCUGGUCUGCUAGCAGUGAGAUACAACAAGCUUCCAAUCAUGCUUCUAUAGAGACUUUGAUCUACAUCUUCCCCCUGUUCAUCCUUGGAGAGUUUGAUGUGUGUAGCAGCAGGAGUUCUCUUGUGACCAGCCUUUUCAAGCCCAAACUUCUUGACUAACCCUUUAGCAUACUUGCUCUGUGAUAUGAACAUAGAAUCCUCCAUUUGUGUGACUUGUAGUCCUAGAAAAUAAUUCAAUUCACCAACUAGGCUCAUCUCAAAUUCAGAUUUCAUUUGUCGGACAAAAUGCUCCACCAUUGAGUUCGACAUUCCUCCAAAGACAAUGUCAUCCACAUAAAUCUGUGCUAUCAUGAGCUUACCUUUGUCAUUCUUCACAAACAGAGUUUUAUCAAUUCCACCCUUGCUGUAACCAUUGCUUACAAGAAAGUCAGUUAACCUUUCAUACCAAGCCCUAGGUGCUUGCUUCAAACCAUACAAGGCCUUCCUCAACUUGUACACAUGAUCUGGAUGAUGCGGAUCUGUAAAUCCUUUAGGUUGUUCAACAUAGACUUCUUCAUUCAAAUAGCCAUUCAGAAAAGCACUCUUCACAUCCAUCUGAUAAAGUCUGAACUUCAAGAGACAAGCAACACCUAACAAGAGUCUUAUAGAUUCCAGUCUAGCUACUAGAGCAAAGGUCUCAUCAAAAUCAACUCCUUCAAUCUGAGUAUAUCCUUGAGCAACAAGCCUUGCUUUAUUCCUUGUGACUGUUCCAGUUUCAUCUGACUUGUUCUUGAAGAUCCACUUAGUGCCAAUGAUGUUUACUCCUUCAGGUCUAGGCACUAACUCCCACACUUCAUUUCUCCUGAACUGUUCUAGCUCCUCUUGCAUAACAUUUAUCCAGUAUUCAUCAGUGAGAGCUUCAUUGACAUUCUUGGGUUCUGUCUUAGAGAUGAAACAACUGUGAGCAAUCAUACUCCUGGAUCUGGUAGUCACCCCUUCUUGAAGAUUACCAAUAAUGUUUUCUUGAGGAUGAUUCUUCUGAACCCUAAUUGAUGGAGCUUUGGUUGAUGUGAUAUCUUUGUCUUCCUUUUCAUCAGCACUUGUUUCUGACUCGUUGUCGAGGGCGGUUGCUGGAGCAUCGGCUGGAACAUCUGCAUCAUCAUCAUCUUCAUUCAAAACUGCUUCUUCCUUCUUGCUUGGUUCAUCAUCCACAGUCACAUUCACAGAUUCCAUCAUGGUCCUUGUGCGAGAGUUAAAAACUCUAUAGGCUUUGCUGUUCAUAGAAUACCCCAUGAAAAUUCCUUCAUCACUUCUAGGAUCAAGCUUCCUCUUAGGAUCACGAUCUGCAAGGAUAUAACAUUUACUUCCAAAUAUGUGAAAGUAUUUUACAGACGGUUUUCUACCUUUCCAUAGCUCAUACUGUGUGGAGGAUGUCCCUGCCCUGAUGGUGACUCUAUUAUGUAUGUAACAGGCAGUACUCAUAGCUUCAGCCCAGAACUGGUGUGGAAUCUUCUUAGCAUGUAACAUUACUCUAGCUGAUUCCUGGAGAGUUCUAUUUUUCCUCUCAACUAUUCCAUUCUGCUGUGGAGUGAUAGGGGCAGAAAAUUCAUGGCUAAUACCUUCUGUUCCACAGAACUCCAAGAAUUUUGAAUUUUCAAACUCCCUUCCAUGAUCACUUCUGAUUCUCACAAUCACACAGUCCUUCUCAUUCUGAAGUCUCAUACAUAGAUUCUUGAAUAUUUCAAAAGUCUCUGAUUUUUCUCUCAUAAACUCAACCCAUGUAUACCUUGAAAAGUCAUCUACACAGACAAACACAUACCUUUUUCCUCCCAAGCUUUCAACCUGCAUGGGACCCAUGAGAUCCAUGUGAAGCAAUUCCAGAACCUUUGUCGUGGUCUGAUGCUGGAGCAUCUUGUGUGGCACCUUGGUUUGCUUACCAAUCUGACAUUCUCCACAUAGCUUUCCUUCUCCCAAGCUCAAAUUGGGCAAUCCCCUUAUUGCUUCAUCUGCAAGAAUCUUUUGCAUGCUCCUGUAGUUGAGAUGUCCUAGUCUUUGAUGCCAUACAUUCACCUCAUCUUCUUUAGUUAACAAACAUCUGGAAACAUGAGCUUUAUCUUCUGAUGUCCACAUAUAACAGUUGUCUUUUGAUCUGACUCCUCUCAUCACAACUCUCUCAUCAUCAGUGGUCACAACACAUUCUAUCUUAUUGAACUUCACAUCAUAUCCUUGAUCACACAGUUGACUUAUGCUGAUUAAGUUGGCUGUUAAACCAUUUACAAGUAACACAUUGUUCAAGUUAGGAGAUUCUGUGCUAACAAGAUUUCCUACUCCCUUGAUCUUUCCUUUAGCUCCAUCUCCAAAAGUAACAUAGUUGGUGGAGUGACUUCUGAUGUCUUGCAAGAAGCUCUUGUUUCCUGUCAUGUGCUUUGAACAACCACUAUCAAAAUACCAAUCUUCCUUUGAUGAUGCUCUGAAAGACGUGUAGGCUACCUGACAUCUGACUUCACCCUUGGGCUUCCAUUGCUUCCUCAUCUGAACAGGCUUUUUAUCGUGCAUCUGAGGAUAACCAUAUAACCUGUAACAGUAGGGCUUUAUAUGACCAUUCUUACCACAGUAGUGACACUUCCAAGGUACAGUUUUAUCAAGCUUAAGCCGGGGUUUCACAUGCAGAGGUACAUGUCUGGGCAAUGAAUCUGACAACUGAUAAUUUCUAGGCUUCUUGAAUUCAGUUUGUUUCGCAGCAGACACAAAUUUCUUUGAACCUUUCUGAUUUUCUUUGUUUGCAGUUCUAUAGUCAAAGCCAAUUCCCUUCAAACUCCCUCCUUGCUUGCUAGUUUCCUUCAGAAUUUCAUCAAGCAUAUCAGAACCACUGUUCAACAUUCUAACAGAUUUGUGAGUAGCUUCAAGCUUUCUUGUCAGAGUUGCCACUUCCUCUUGAAGUCCUGCAUUAAUCAACACUAGAUUAGCCUUUUCCAUAACAUCAGCAUUAUUAAACUUACUUUGCCAUUCCUCCAGAUCUUCCUUCAGCUUUGUGCUGAGCUCUUUCAGCCUUUCAUUCUGAGAGACAAGUUGUUCUAUCUCACUUUGCUUUUCUCUCACAAGUUUACAUGCUUCUUCCCACUUGAUGUGUAGCAGCUUGUAAGUCUCAGCCAGUUCCUCAUCUGUAAUGUCCUCAUCACUUGUAUCAGACUCAUAGACGGUUCCAGAGAAAGCAUUGACUUUGUUUGCAGAUAUCUCCUCCUCAUCUUCAGUGUCUUCAUCUGACCAAGUUACCAUCAUACCUUUCUUCUGCUUCUUUAGAUAAGUGGCGCAUUCAGAUCUGAUGUGACCAUAUCCUUCACAUUCAUGACACUGCACUCCUUUAUUCUGACCAGAUUUUUCUUCUUCUUUGGUCUUCCUCUGUGAAUUAGUAAAUUUGGGUUUGUUAUCGAACUUCAUGUCCUGGACAUUAGGCCUGGUUCUUUUAUCAAUCUUUCUCAAUGCUCUGUUGAAUUUUCUUGCUAGCAUGGCUAGAGCCUCAGUCAGAUUUUCACCCUCACAAUCUUCAUCAUCACCUUCAUCAGUGUUUGACACAAAAGCAAUACUCUUAUUCUUCUUCUCAGAUUUUCCACUCAGUUUCAACUCAAAUGUCUGCAAAGAGCCAAUAAGUUCAUCAACCUUCAUGUUCUCAAUGUCUUGAGCCUCCUCAAUUGUAGUGACUUUCAUAGCAAACUUAUGAGGAAGAGAUCUCAAGAUCUUCCUUACAAGCUUCUCAUCUGACAUAGGCUCUCCCAAAGCAAAUGAAGCAUUAGACAAGUCACGGACACGCAUGUGGAAUUCUGAAAUAGUCUCUUCUUCAGUCAUCAUAAAAUUUUCAAACUGAGUAGUAAGCAUCUGAAGCCUUGACAUCCUUACUCGAGUAGUUCCUUCAUGUGCAGUUUUCAGAAUUUCCCAAGCAUCCUUUGCCACAGUACACGUAUUGAUCAGCCUAAACAUAUUUUUGUCAACUCCAUUAAAGAUAGCAUUUAGAGCCUUUGAAUUUCCAAGAGCAGCUUCAUCUUCAACACUGGUCCAUUCUUCUUCAGGUUUUUCCACAACAGUAGUAGAGGUGCCUUCAACCUCAGCCUUAGUGGGGUGCUUCCAACCCUUGACAAUAGCUUUCCAAGUCUUAUUGUCAAUUGACUUGAGAAAGGCUGUCAUGCGAACCUUCCAAUAGUCAUAGUUAGUACCAUCCAGAAUGGGUGGCCUAUUAACUGAUCCUCCCUCCUUGUUAUCCAUGAGAACUUGAAUAAAAACUCCCUGGAGCUCACCCAACCAGAACAGGGUGCCUGCUCUGAUACCAAUUGUAAAUUCAGGUUCCCUCUGACACGAUUGUCCUGCACGAUGCUGGGACAAGAGGUUCGACAACUGCUUAACAGUGAAACAAAACUUAACAACAGAAACAAUAACACACAGUAAUUGUUAACCCAGUUCAGUGAAAACUUUCACCUACGUCUGGAGGGUUUGCACCCAAAGAAAGGAAAUCCACUAUCUCAAGAUUCAGGAAUUACAGACACUCAUGAACACCUCAGUUCAUAGUUCACUUCCUAAUCUACCCAGUGUAUUUCUACUUAGAAUCUCAACCUAAGUAUGAGAGCCCCUCUCACUUCCUCUCAAUCACUGCCACAGUGAUUGGUAAACACAAUGAACAAUCAGAGUUUGAAUGUAAUCAAACAACACAGAACCCUUCUUUGCUUUAUAGAAUCAGUGAGCAAAGAGGAUUCACAAAUAACAAGAACGAAGCACAAUAACAAAUCCUAAAACACUCGAUCUCUCUCUAUCAGCUUCGGUCAUCUUCACGUUUUAGGUCUUCAUCCUUUUAUAGACUUCAGCAGCGGUAGCAUGGGCUUUAGGGUUGGCACGGGCUGAAGAAACAGAUAUCAGUAACAGCAAUUCAAAAACACAAUCUUGAUAGAUUCGGUUUCUUAUUGCACAAGUAACGAUAGAAACCAAUCUUUUAGCAAAGAUUGUUUCAACAAAUAACAACCCCACAAUUAAAACCCUUCUGGAUAGCUACUUGCUCCUCAAGUAACUCAAAAACAUAUCUUCAGUAAAUCUUCAGAGGGCCCACAAUAUAAACACAAGCUGAGGACUGAUGUCCUAGCCUCACGAGGUCAGAUGCCACGGCAUCUGCUUCGACAAUUAGUUGUUUUGACAAAAUGCAAGGCAACAUGUUCCAACAUAUAGGAAUGGAAAGUUGAAAUUAUGGAAUUCUAAAGAUAACCCUUGUUAUUCUAGAGAACAACUUAUUGGUAAUGUCCCUAAAGGAGUUCCUAAAGAUCAAUGGUCAUCAUUUGUUGAUUAUCACUUGAAGCCAAAAUAUAAGGUAUAAUUUCCUAGUUGUUUGUUAUCUAUAAUUAUCUUUUUCAGAUUAUAUUUUAGUUAACGUGUUGUUCAUAUAAUAGGAGUUAUGUCAAAAGAAUGUGGAGGCGCGUAAAAAGCAAACAAUUCCACAUACCGGCGGAUCUAAACUUUUAUCAAGGAGACAACAUGAAAUGGUAUAUAACUCAUGUUAUGCCUUGUUAGGUCUUAAUAGAUUGAUCUAAUUAUUUUUAUUUGAUAUUUGGACUUAUAUGAGUCACACACAUAUGUAUAGGAAAUAGAGGUUGGACAUGCUAUAAGUCGAGGAGAAUUAUAUAUUGCAACUCACAAGAGAAAAGAUGGGUCUUAUGUCAAUGAGGAGGCAAGGUUUGUAGGGGUAAGUUACAAAAUUAAAUGUUUAUUCCCCUGCUACUGAAAUUGGAAUUUAAAACCAGAAUCUUGCUGUGCUUUUUUUUCAAGAAAUAGAAUCUUUGCGCUGCUGAUUUAGAAUAAGUUAAAGUUAAUGACAUGCUAUCAUUUUACCCAAAUGACAUGUAGGAGCAGGUUGAGCAAGAACUAAGUCAAACCAACAAUUUUGUAGAAGUUUCAAAAAAUGAUGCUCUUUCCAAAAUUUUGGGUCCAGAUAGAGCUGGAUGUGUGCGUGGAUUAGGCUUAGGUGCUCUUCAUAGUGUUGCAUUUGGAUCGACUAGUGGUAUAGCCUAUAAUAGCUCAGCUGAAGUAUCUCAAUUGAAAGAAGAACUUAAUUUUGUAAAGAGCAAGUUAGCAACUUCUGAAGAGAAUAUUUCAACAUUGCAAACUAUAAUGUUUGCAUUUAUGCAAAUGAAAGAAUUAAAUAUCUCAGCAAACUUGGGUGCUUUGUUCGCGACUUUUACUCAAAUGGUAAUGUUGCUUAUUGAUUUAACUAAGGUAAUAUGUUGCAGUUUUUAAUGAGUACAAAUGUUGAUUUGGUGUGGUUUUAAUUUUUAAGGACAAUGCCAAUGCUAAUGAUGAACCAGUUCAAACUGCUGAUCAUGCAAAGGGUUUUCACUAAUGUUAGUGAGGUUAGUCAUGUUUGCUACUCUACUUUGGAAAUUUAGUUUUGAAUGCUGAAUGUUUUCAUUUCUGUUUCUCCAUUGAAGUGAUUACUUGAUUGGGUAAUAAAUAAUAUGGUAAAGUCAUCCUUGAUUUGCCUUAAUAUUUUAUGUACAAGAUUACAGCCAUAUUGAUUAAGCUACAUAUCUAUGUCUAUCCCCCUGCUUGACUAAUCAGAAUUAGAUCCCAUUAUCUAGAAAUGUUUCUAGUCAUAUCUUAAACGAUGCUGUGACAUCCAAAGCUGCAUCUAAAUCAUAUUUUAUCAGUUUUCCUGAUUUUAGUUUCAGCUACUGAUUAGAAAUUUGACAAAUGUCUACCCUUUUCAUUGCAGGGUCAAUUGAUGACAAUAUAGAUAUAAUGAAGAAAUGUCUAAAAAUAAUCGAGUCUUUAAAUCCUUAUGUACUCAAAUUCAAAUGUUGGAACCAUAUAUUUCCUUUCAUGUUCAUGCCCAUUUGUGAGUUAGAUUGAACCUUGUGACAUCUUGAGGCAUACUCUGAAUUUAGUAAAGAUGUUGCAUAUUUGAGAUAUGUAAGUGAAUUGUAAUUUUUUUUUUGAGUGACUGAACCACCUUUGUAGAGUGGUCUUGCAAUUACUUGUAGCAUUAUCAUGCUCAUGCUCAUGCUUUUUAAAAUUCAUUAUGUUCUUUUUUAUCCUAUUCUCUCUUUGCUUAAUUUGGUGUUAGUUUAAUCCCUAAUCACCAACAUAUUAGAGAUUUUAAUAAUUCAUUUAAAUUGAUUCACAAAUAAAAAAAUAAAAAAUAAAAAAUUCACUUGGAUGGGUCAAAACCUGAAUUAUGCAUUUUGUGGCACUUAAAGGAUGCCAGUACUGUUUGAGCCUAAUUCAAUGGUUGGUGUAUUUCGUGGCAUUUAAAAGAUGCCAAUACCAGUUGUGGCAUACAAAACCGGCAUUUAAGCAAAAAAUGCCACAAAACAGUUGUGGCACCUGUAAUAGAGGCACUUAAAGGUGAAUGCCACUAAUAACACUUGUGGCAUUUAAUAAAUGCCACAACUUAACAAUAUCAAUGCCACUAAAAAUGCAUUUUUUUGUAGUGUUCCUACUGGCGCAACAUGAUGAAACUGUGCAUGUUUGAGCUCUUAAACAUGCCGAAAGUUCAAAGCUUUGCUCCUUUAAGGAGAGAUGAAGUAGGACUGUUUGUGGAAUCACUUAAGAAAUCAGCAGCCUCACGUGAGGUUGUGAAUGUCAGUGAGAAAAUUGGGGAUGUUGUAGAGAAUACUGUCCAUAGAAUGAUUUGGGGUAAAUUUGAUGAUAAAUUUAAUUUGGUGUAAAACAGCUUGCUCGUGACGUUUUUCUCCUCAUGGGAGUUCUUGAUCUGGGAGAUUAUAUACCUUGGGUUGGGGCCUUUGAUCUUCAGGUACUUCAACUACAACUACUACUAGAUGUUUGAAUCUACUUAUUUCCCUUCAUAAUCAUUUCUGAUACGCAAUAAACUUUUUUUCCUAGAAUCAAUUUUGCCUUUAAAUGUGAUUGAAGAACGAUUUGCAUACAUGUACUAUUGUUACUUUUGAUUGUUAAAAACCUUAAUUUAUGUGGCUAACCAAGGAGGACGAAUCAUCAGUUAGUCCCUAGUGGCAUCAUCAGUUAUGAGACUAUAUGACACACCAUGUUAUCUGCUGACGUGACAAUAUUGACAAUGAUAAAAAUCUCAAAUGUUAAUUACAAAAUGAUGAUUCGAACAUGAGAUCUUAUAGUGGUAGAUUUCUCGUGUUUGAAUCCUCACUUUGAAAGUUUUGGAAUUUUAAGUAGAAUGUUACUAUUAAAGACUAACUAAUUAUUUGUCAACCGGCUACAUGUCAUCGGUUAGCCACGUUUAUUUGCAAACACCAAUAAUACUUUGUUCACAUACCUUUUUCCAAUUUCACUUUAAUGAUAUAAGAAAAAAAGAUUGAGAAAUGAGUGAUAUAAUAAGUUUUUGUUUAUUAGUGAUAUAAUAAGUGAUGUGAAAAUAUAGAGGGAGAUAGAAAUAAGAAAAUGCUAUUGUACACGAUUAUAUUUUUUACGACAAGGCACGACUUAAUUCCCACCGUGUGAUCUUAAUCAGAUUGGGGUUUUUAUCAUCAGCCCACAAUCCUUGUUUUCCAUCAAAACGUGCAAACUACAAUCAUCUCCCGUCGUGCAUUGAAUUUGUCAUGUGAUAUAGAAAUUCUCUAGAAAUAAAUGAGUGAAAACGAGAUGAAGAAAAAAUGGAGUGUGAGUGAAUCAUUAAUCUCUAUUGCCUUUUUUUUUACAUUUAAAGACUUAUAUUAAAGAAAUUGAAAUGUCGGGAGUAAAACCAAAUAAGCAUUCCUAUUUUUAAAAACUCCUAUUUUUAAGACUUUGACCAUAUUUAAUCCUUAUUCUUAUCCUAAAAGAUUUUACAUUGUCCACUAAAUUUUACUCAAAUUUAAUCCAUAUCUCAGGGACUUGUACGAAGGUUCAAGAAAGCGCACAAGAAAUUUGACGAAGUGUUAGAGAUAAUCAUCAAAGAUCACGAGGCUUCUGCUCGCCUUACCGACCAGAAAAGCGUGCAAUCUAUUGACUUCAUUGACAUAUUGCUAUCACAUAUGCACCAAUCAAAGGAUAAACAUGCUAUUACCAAAACAAACAUCAAGGCUAUUUUGUUGGAUAUAAUUAUCGGAGCAGUUGACACAACUAUCAUGUCGGUUGAUUGGAAUAUGGCAGAACUAAUAAGGCACCCAAGGGUUAUGAAGAAACUUCAAGAUGAGUUAAAGAAUAUUGUAGUGGGUAUGGGGAGGAUGGUAGAAGAAGCUGACUUACCAAAGUUGCCAUACCUCGAUAUGGUGAUGAAAGAGACCUUUAGGUUACAUCCACCUACUCCACUCCUCCCACCUCGUGAGUGUACGGAAGAUUUUACAAUCAAUGGUUAUUUCAUUGCGAAAAAGUCACGAGUUUUAGUCAACUCUUGGACAUUAGGACGAGAUCCUAAGAUGUGGUCAGAUAAUUUUAAGGAUUUUUAUCCAGAAAGAUUUCAUAACACCGACAUAGAUUCUCAUGGGCACAAUUAUCAAUUUUCACCAUUUGGUUCCGGUCGUAGACGCUGUCCCGGGAUGCUAUUGGAUUUAACUACGGUUCCGUUUCUUCUAGCUCAGCUAGUGCAUUGCUUCAACUGGGAGCUUCCACCGGGCGUGUCUACUGAUGACAUGGACAUGACUGAGGAAUUUGGC